rnacentral:lncRNA from 1 species
CAUUCCCCACCAACGCAUGAGUUGGAGUUGUAGUCAUAAUAAGGCUUCUCCCCCACCCACAUGUUCACUGCAUCGGUGCCUGUCAAUGAAGGGGUGCCCCAGGCAAUGUUCUCACCGUAAGGCCCACUUGAAUGCACUAAAUUGCAAUCGCCAAUCCUCUGGUUAGCAUAGUUCUGGGCGUAGGCAGCUACAGUGUCAUUCCAUGUCAUAGAUUCAACACCAACUUCUGCACGCGCGGCAUUGUGAGCAUCGAGGAAGUCUUGUGGAGAGUUUUGGGCAUAGGAGAUGUGAGCAAGGACUAACCCCAUGAAACCAACAACUAGUGAAGAUGAGAUCUUACACAACCCCAUCUUUUAGUUUCUUAAUCUGUGUAUGCAAAGUGAGAGUUGAGAAAUGAGCAUAUAUGGUUUGAAGGGAAUGAGAAGAACUUGCAAUUUGGUCAGUCAAAAGCAUCAUUAAUAAAGCUUACAAGCAAUCUUUAGGCCACCAAAACUGGGCGCCCAUGGGCUGUUACGUGUGAAGGACGUUGAGAAAAGGAAAAUUCUACGAAGUGGGUACGUACCUCCAAAAUUCCUGGCCGUUGGAUCAAAAGAUUCCAAUCAAGACCAUCCAAAUGAAAAAUAGAUUAAAAUAAAAAAUGCAAAAGAAGGGUGCAAAAGGUUGCCAGUAGAUAUGCCCCCCUUUAUCUCCCCUCUCUCAAUUUUUGUCACACAUGUCAACAUCAAUUUCAAAAUUUUAAAUUAUUAAUUCUACAUUUGUUUUAUCUAUUUAUAACAAAUAUUAUCUUAGAAAGUAAAUUUCAAUCAAUUAUUAUAUUUAAGUAAAAGUUAUUACUAUAUUUUGAUCUAUCUUACAAUGUUUUUCAAUAUAAUAGGAAAGUGUAAAUACAACUAUCCAAUUACAAAUGCCCUCCAAAAUUUAUUUAAAAUCUAUAGAUUUUUUUUAUUUUUUUAUUUUACUUUAAAUAUUAAUAAAAUUGUUAAUUCGUAUAAUUUCACUUAGAAUUCAUAAAAAAAAAUAUGAGGAAAAAAUAAAAAAUAAAAAUAUUAAAAUUCUUACCCUCACUUAAUUUUAAGAAAUUUUUUUUUCAACUUCAAAUGCCAAUUAAAUUGUUUUUUCAUACUAAUUUCAAUUAGGAUUUUUGAUAAGUAGGAGGGUACGAAGAAGUGUUAUUCGUCAUUUUUAUCAAUUGUAAGUAUAAUUAAUAUUAAUAAGCACUAUUAGUACUAUUUGAAGUAGACAAAAAUUGGUUAAAAUUAAAACAAAUAGAAAAUUUGGAGGUACAAAGAAUAUGGGGAAAAGUAUAGAGAAUGUGAGGAAUAAUAGUGUUUAUUCCUCCCAUUUUUGUACCUCUCCAAUUUUGUAAUUUUUCUACUUUUAAAUUUUUAUUUUUUUAUUUUUUUUUUGUAGUAUUCAUACCCUCUCCAAUUUGGUAGUUUUUUACUUUUAAUUUUUUUUAUUUAUAAUUUCGAUCAAAUUUAAGUAUAAUUAGUAUGAAUAAAUGCUAAGAAAAAAAAAAUCUUAAAAUUAAAACAAGCGUAAAUUUGGAGGAUACGAAGAAUGUGGGAAAAUAAUAUUCACAUUCUUCACACCCUCCAAAAUUUUCAAUUUUCUAAUUUUAAGAAUUUUUUCCACUUGAAAUAACAAUUAUAUUGUGUAUACAUACUAAUUACAUUUAAUGAUGAUAAAAAUUAUGUGCAAACAAAUUUAAAACGAAAAAUACUAAAACAUUGGGAAGGGACGUAGAAUAUGAGACCCUUUAGAUUUUUCAUUUUUUUGAAUUUUAAGAAUUUUUUAAAAAUUUAUUUUAUUUUUUAUAAUAGUUAUAAUUGUCAUUUUUUAUAUUAUUAGAAUAUAAUUCAAAUUUUUAUUAUUCAUAGCCUAAAGUUAUAUAAAAGAAAAAAGGGAUAGUAAAUUAAUAAAUGUCAAAACUCGUAUAGGUAGAAACUAUAUAAUUAAAAUUUUAAACAUAUUUCAUCAUUAAUACUGAUAGAUUACAUUAUGAUAGGAUAACAUGAAGAUUUAUUAAAAUUUUAGUAUUUCUAAUGUUAUUAAACAUAUUUAACUUAUAGUUAUUUUUUUAAAUGAGAUUUUAUUAUUUAAAGUUGUUUAAAUUUUAAUAGUUAUAUAUUUUAUCAUUUUCAAAUUUAUUAAUUGUUUAUUUAUACUAUUUUGAUGUUUAUUAUCCUAUAAUAUUUGAUAAAUUAUAAAUCUUUAUAUUUAUUUUUAAGUUAUGAAAUUAUAUUACAUAUAUUUUAAAUACAUUUAUAUACACCUGUGGACCCCGCAUUUCGGCUCAUGCGUUUCCCACUCGAUGGCGAGCUCGAUUUUAAUUUGAAAAAUUGAUCUUUAUUGAUUAAGAAAAAUUGACUUGGAGUCGCCACUUAUUUUUAUUUUAUUUUUAAAGGGUAAACAAAAUAAGAAAGAAAAACCCUAAGUGUGACUCCUUGUUUUGGAAAAGGUGGUCUGUGAAAAACCGGAUCGGGUUCGGGGGUCAGGUUACUUAUCGGGAAGGUACGGUAGAGACCGUAGCACCCCUCUAAGUCCCUAAAUUCGGGUCUCUACUAAUAAAGUGAAACUGACGUGGCAAUCGAAUAAGAAAGUCAAUGGAUACUCACAUCAAUCAUGCAUAUAUGAGAAUCAGAAUAUGUAUACUGAAUGAUCAGAAUGAGUGAAUGCGUACCUGGGCAGCAAAUAGCAAACAGCAACGCGCUAUCAUGGAAUGAGGUUAGUGAAUAAACGCAAAAUGAUUAUAUGUAUAUCAAGGAACAAAGUAAAUCGAUCACACAUGGCAAAUGAAUCGAUCAAUCAGUCAAUCAAUCAUGGAAUCUCAUAUGUGGGACCCCCACCAAAGCCCAUUCUAUUUUGCACGAAUUAGUCCCACAAAUUCCAUUAUUCUGGAAUUAUGAAAAUAGCAUUCGUGCUUAUAUAAAAUCAAGAGAAACCGAAGAUUAUUUGAAACCCGAAGAGAAUUAAAACUGUUAGAGAGAAAAUUGGAUUUUUGAAAUUUAUUUGAAAAUUGGAGUAUUGGGAAUUAAAUUUAAGAGUUGGAAUUUUAGGAUGUCAAACUUGAAAGAAAUUAGAAUUUUAGAAAUCGAAAAUUAAGUUUGGAAAUUGGGAUUCAAAAAAAUGUUUAAAAAUGGAAUUUUGAAAUAAAUAAAUGGAAUAAUAAUAAUAAUAAGGACGAAAAUAAUGAUUAAAUAAAUGAAUGGGAAUGCUGGAAUUUUUGAAAUUGGAAAUUAGAUUUGAAGGUCGGAAUUGUUUAAAGAAUGAAUUUUUGAAAUAAAAUAAAUAGAAUAAUAAUAAUGACGAAAGUGAUGAUUAAAUGAAUGAACGGAAUUUUCGGAAUUUCUUCGUAUUGGAAAUUAGAUUCGGAAGUCGGAAAAUUGGAACUGCUUCAUGAUAGAAUUUUAAAAUAAGCAAAUAAAUAAAUGGAAUAAUAAUAAUAACGAAAAAAUAAUGAUUAAAUAAAUAAACCUGAAUUUUGGAAAUUUUGAAAUUGGAAAUUAAAUUCGGAAGUCGGAAAUUUUAAAGAAAUGUUUAAAAUAGAAUUUUAGAAUGAAUAAAUAAACUAUUAGUGAUAAAUUAAUGUGAAUGUGAGAAUUUUUCGAGAUUAGGAAUUUAAUUCGAAAAUCAAAAGUUUUAAAGAAUUGAUUUAAAAUGGAGUUUUAAAAUAAAUGAAUAAAAUACUAAUGAUUACAUAAAUUAAUGGGAGUACGAGAAUUUUCGGGAUUAAGAAUUUAAUUCGGAAAUUAGAAGUUUUAAAGAAUUGAUUUAAAAUGGAAUUUUGAAAUAAAUGAAUGAAAUAUUAGUGAUUAAAUAAAUUAAUGUGAAUAUAGGAAAUUUUGGGAUUAGGAAUUUAAUGCGGAAAUCAGAAGUUUGAAAAAAAUUUGUUUAAAGAUAGAAUUUUUAAAAUAAAUAAAUAAAUGGGAUAAUAAUAAUAAUGACGAAAAUAAUAAUUAAAUAAAUGAACGUGAAUAGUGGAAUUUUUUUAAAUCGAAGAUUAAAUUUGAAAGUUGGAAUUGUUUGACGGUGGAAUUUUAAAAUAAAUGAAUGAAUAAAUAGAAUAAGAAUAAUCGCAAAAAUAAUAAUUAUUAAAUAUGUAAAUACGGGAAGACCUAAAAAGAAUCUAAAGAUGAAAUAUUAGAGAGUUGAAUUACUUAAAAACUAGAUUUUAAAAAAAAAACAAUUUUUAAAAUUGGUGGGCUUUGGAAGUGGGCCAAGCAAGGUGGCCAUGCAAAGGUGGAGGAAAUAGGGUUGAUGGGUAUUUGGAAAAUGGGUAUGUGGUGGGCUUUGGAAGUGGGCCAAGAAAGGUGGCCAUGCAAAGGUGGGUUGAUGGGUAUUUGGAAAAUGGGUAUGUGGUGUAGAGAGAUAACCGGGUAGGGAGUAGAAAAUGAAUGAGUUAGUGAGAAAAUGAGGGCUUGGUGGUAGUGGGUAUGAAGAUGGGAGGAUGAAAGACGGGUUUAAUAGGUAUGCAUGGAGAUGACUUAGAGAGAGAAAAGGGUAUGAAGAUGGGUAUGGGGGGGAUGAGAAUGGUGGUGAGUAAAAAAAAAGAUGGGUAUGGAGAUGGUUGGCAUGAUGGAUGGAUAUGAGUUGUAGGGAAGAUGGGUAUGGGGGGUGAGUGUGUUUAUGCAUGCAUGAGGGUUGGUGGUAUGGAGAAAUGAGAAGAAUGAAAGCGGGUAGCGAGAGAAACGGGAAAUGGGUUUAUAUUCUUGUACAUGGGUGGCAUGGGUGAUGAGAUAUGAGUAUGAAGGUGAUAGGAAGAUGUAUGCACGAGAUUGGUGGUAUGGAUAUAAGGGAGAAAUGGGCAUGGCAUGGCCAUGCAAGAGUGGGGAGAAAUGGGUUUGGCUGGUAUUUGGGAAAUGUCAUGAAGGGUGCAUGGUGUGGUGAUGAGAGAGAAAAGGUGGUGAGAAAAAAAAUGAAGGCUUAGAGAGAGGAAUGGGUUUAAGGGGGGUGUAGUUAAAUGAGGAUAUGUAUGGGAUGAAAAAUGAAGUAUGGAUGAUGGGCUUGGGAGGCCCGUGGUGUAGAGAGAGAGAGUGUGUGGUGAUGGGUAUAUGAAGGUUUAGGUGGGCUAUAGUGAGGGUGAACACGUUAAUGAAUGGAUAUGGAAGACAUGGGAUGAGAUAAGUGGAAUGGGUAGUGGGAUGAUGACCUUGUGCAUGAAAGAGAGGUUGAAGGGAUGGGUGAGUGACUAUGCAUGUGCAAGGAUAGGCUGCGGGUUGGUGGAGUGAGUAGGGUGGUGCAUUUCAAUGACGGUGAGCAUGGGCACGGGUAUGAAGGGCAGUGUUGACUUGUAGGAUGAGGACUCCCUUUCUAACAGCUUCCUGCAGCUUUUCAGCUAUUCCGGUUGGAGCAGAGACACUAGGGAGUUUACUUGAUGACAUAACCCAAUAAAUUGCCUUACAACAUUCAGCAUACCCACAAACAACCAUGAGCCUUCAUUAACCAACACAAGUAACUUCUCCACCAAGAUUAAUUACACCAAUGCACUGAAAAGUUUGACAAUCUCGCAUCCUCAUAGUCUCAUCUUCACUUCCAGUAUAAGGCUUAUCCAACCCAGACGGCAAAGUAAUCCCAAAUACAAAACUUCUAUUCAACUCCAUGGCCAAUAUUUUGGACUAAUAAGCUAGAGCACAUAUAUAAUCACAGAAGCCCUCCAUUGAGUUCAUGUCUCUUCACAAACUCACUUCUUCAGUCUCGGCAAUUUGGCCAUUGGUCACCUCAGUCCCACCACCAACAAGAAACAGAGCAAUACAUAGAAAGGAGAAUCAACAGGAAACGAAACAUGAUCUUUAUAUAAUCGGGUUCAGGGAUGAAACUAUACAUCAGAUACUUAAUGAGGGAGUCGAGGAAACCAAGAUAAAGUCAAACAAAGCAUAUAUGCACACAAACAGAUUCAGGAAAACAGGCCAGUAAUCCUAGAUGCCCAAACCUAUCAAUGAAUCACACCCAGGAAUAUGCAGAAAGAUUUAGCAGAAUAGUGUGAUAACAGGAAAAAGUGAAAAUCAUAGGGACGUUACCUGGAAGUUUCUUCCUCGAGCAGAGUAUGCUUGUCCUCAAGCACUCUCUCUCCCUCCAAAAUAUCUCACCCGGCCAUCCCCAGCAUCACACUUCUCCCGCUCCAAAAAAUCAUUGUAUAGAAACCUCCGAAACGUUUUUUUUUCACCCCUCUCCGGCUCGCUCUCGUCUGAAUAUCUCCCACACGGACGUCCUCUGCCUCCAGAAAAGCCCCCCGUCUCCUCUGCAGAUCUCCCCUUCUUUUCUUCCUAUCUAGCCUCUUUUUUCUUUUUUUUUUUCUCUGUUCCUGUCUUCCUGCGCAAGCCAGCCAUCCUACUGCUACACAUCCCAUCUGCCGCCCCCCAGAGCAGCCCACUCGAGAGCCGUCAGAGAAAACCGCAAAAAAAUAAUCAUAAUCCCCCGAAAGCUCUGCUCUUCGGGUGGGGGGGUCUACAACACCCUUGUCUUUUUCCCAAUAAAGACCCAAUUAAAUCCUCAUUCCUCGUCCUUCCAUGCCUUUUAAGCAGGUUCGUCGAUUGACCCUAUUAGGUGAACCGAACUAGGUUAAGGUCCGGGAUUCGGGUUUGAUCCGAUUUUUAAAAUAUAGACUGAACAAAGAAUCAAUGUUUUAAAAACCGGACCGGUCAUUGAACCGAAAAAGUUACCGGUUCACGGUUCACUGGUCGGACCGCCGGUCGAACCGCUAUCGAACCGGUGACGUCAUAAAUAUAUAUUUUAUUAUUUUUUAUAAUAUAAAAAUUAAAAAAUUAAUAAAUUCUAUGUAAAUUUUGAUAGCAUCUACUUUGUUUAUUGAGUAACUUGAGUUUUGUCACAAAAUUUUUUACCUGUAGAAGUCAUCAAUUAUCAUAUAUGAUAUUUAUAACACAAUAUAAGAUAUUAUACAUUCAUAAUGUCAAUAAACUCAAUAUUUAUCAAAUAAUCAAACCAUUACUAUCCUAUAAUAACCAAAUUAUCAAAGAGUUGUUAACUUAACACAUUGUCCAUAACAAAUAAUACAAAUGUCAAUCAUAGGUCCACAACACUUAAAUAAUUACUCAAAAUAAAAACAUAACAUGUCAAUGUUUGAAUAUUCAUGAAGAUUUUUGCAUACUAAUAAAUAUAAAAUUCAUGUCUUCAUUUAUUUUGGAAAUUGGAAUAUGGAGAUUGAAAAUGAGCAUUUGGAAAACCAAAAAAAAAAUUAAAAUAAUUUGAACCGGUUUUUUCCCUCAGAACCGGCCGGUUCGUCCGGUUCACCGGUUGGACCGCCGGUUCAAACGGUCCAAUCCCGGUUCGGUCUCCAUCCGGUCUAAUGACCGGACCGAACCGGAACGAUGACCGGUUGGCGGUCCAACCGGUCGGACCGGCCGGUCCGGUCCGGUUUUUAAAACCAUGCAAAGAAUUGUCCUUAUCCUCUUUUCCCUUUUCGGCGAAGACUUGAGUCAUUUGCCAGAUUUAAGUCGUGAAGGUCUACAGAUUCAGUCUCCUAAGAAAUUGGGCAUGAAUCGCAGCCACCAUUCUUGACUUUUUGCUUUGUUUCGCAUGAAUGCGCAUGUACUAUCUAAUCAGACUGGGGACAACACAUUUACCACCAUUUUUGCCCGGGAGACUCGGUUUGUUGGGUCAACGGUGGAAUCCAAGUCUACUGAGAAAUAAUAUAAAUAUUAUAAAUAUAAUCUGAACAAAAUAAGUACAUGGUGAUUUUUUUAUAUUUAAAAUAAAAUAUUAUAUUACAAGCAUUAAAUAAGUUUUAUUUAUUGGAUCGUUAUUAUAAGUAAAUAUAUUUUUAUAUUAAUAAGUAAUUCUGGUAUUACUUAUAAGCAUAUUAGACCGUGUUAUCACACCAUCAUAAAAAAAUAAAAAUGAAAAAUUAGACAAAGAAAAUGAAGGAAAAAAGAAGAAGAUGAAAAAUAGAAAAUAAGGGUAAUGUCACGUUGAAUAAGGGGUGUUUGUUAAAAUUUAAUAGUUAUUAAAUAAUGAUUUAAGUUGAUUUUAAGUUAAAUUAUAUUUAAAUUAUUGACUUAAAACUUAUUAUUUAAUUAUUAUUUUAAGUAUUAAGACUGUUUCAUAAAAUUAACUUAAAAUUUAUUUUAAAUCAUCAAAUUUACUCUUAUAAAUUAUAAUGAGAGCAAAGAAGAUUGAGUAACAGUGGAGAUCAUUAAGGCAAUUAAGACAAAUAAAGGUAAAAAAAUUAAAUAAAUAUGUGAACUUAAAAAUAAGUUAAUUAUUUUUAUUUAUUACUUGAAGUGGUUUUUUUACUUAAAGUCAUACCAUUAAAUUAUUUUACCAAACAUACUUAAUGAUUUAAAUUAAGUUAUUAAGUUACUUUAAGUUAUUAAGUUGAUUUAUCAUAUACCCUUUAAGUUACCGUAUGUUUAACAUUAUAUAAAAUACAUUUUUAUUUUAUGUAUGAUAUCACAUGUAAAAACACUAUACAUGUAUCCUAAAAUAUAUUGUAAUAUUACCCCUUCAUACUAAUAUAUCUCAUAACAAAUGAGGUAAAUGUCAUAUAACUUUUGGUUAUAUUCAUUUUACAAUGUUUUUUAAUUUAACCAAAAACUCAAUAUCGAGUAAUUUUUUUUAAAGAUUUUGGAUUUAUUUGGCAAUUGUUUUAUAGAUCAGAAAUCUAUUUUUGAGAAUAAAAAAAUAAGAAAACAUAUUCGAUAAUUAAAAAUUAUUUUCUAUUUUCUAUUAUGGAGAAUAAAAACAAAAUGUUUUAAGAGAACAUCUUUUAGUUAUUUUCUUUUGUUUUCAUUUGUUUUCUAAGUGUUAUUUUUUAAAAAAAAAAAUUAACAACCAUAUAAAAUGAUUAAAAAUAAAGUAUUGGAUAUAAAAAUUAUUUUUAAAACAUAUUUAAAAAUAUUAAAAAUAGGUUAAAAACAUUUUAGGUUUCCAAAAAAAAUUUUAUUUUACAAAACAUCUUAAAAUAGCUUUUAAAACCUGUUUUUUGGAACUAUUUUAAAAAACAAUUAUCAUACAAAACUUUUAUUUUUUAAAAUAGUUUUUCUUUAACCAAAAUUUUUUUAAGGAGAGAAACUGAGGAAGAAAGGUAUGUGAUUCUAACAAAGAGAUGAUUGAUCAUUUUGGACAAUUAAAACACGGAAUUAUUCUGAAUUGGAAAAUUGUGAUUUCUUCUAAGUUAAAACCCAUACAUUCCCUCUCAGCAAAAACAACUGAAUGAUCAAAAACCAAUGUUAAAUCAACAUAAAUAUGAACACUUCUGUGGUAUAAAUAAAAUUUAUCUAAACUAGUAUGAAUAAAAGUUGGCAUGAGAUAUUUUUCUUCAUAAAAAAGAAAGAAAAAAGAAAAGUGCAUAAAAAUAAAUAUAUUACUUGUGAUGUCCACGAAUAGGGGAGAAAGUUUUUAACUAUGUAAACGUAUUACUCUCCUCAGUAAAUAGCAACUAUACAACUAUGACCGUUGUUAGAGUUCUCCGUAAAAGGACGCUGUCCAACGUAGUUGCCUGGAGGAUCAUAGUUGCAAGUGACAAACCACCCGCCACUGUUGCACUGAGCCCUAGCGCACCCAAGACACAAUGAGUUGCGCCAAAUAACUUGAGUAUAGUGCCCGCAUUCCCCACCAACGCAGGAGUUGGAGUUGUAGUCAUAAUUGUUCAAAUUGAUAAAUGAUAGUUUUUUCAUUCAUAUUUUCAUUCAUUCAUGUACAGAGUAUAUAUAGAGGGUAUCACCAUUCUAAGAAUGGGGAAGAAUUAUACAAGGAAAGAAUGACAUAAGGAAAUAACAAUUAAUAUCUUAAUAUCUCAACUUUCCUAAUAUCUCAAUAUUCAUAAUAUCUCAACUUUCCUAAUAUCUAAACAUUCCUAAUAUCUCAACACUAAAUGAUAUAAGGAAAGCAUUACUAAUAUCUCAACACUCCCCCUCAAGUUGGUGCAUAGAUGUCACACAUGCCCAACUUGUCUAAAAAUUUUGAGAACACUUGACUUGAGACAACUUUGGUAAGGAUAUCGAUCAAUUGAUCUUCUGAUUGAAUCUUAGGCAAUUCCACAAUCUUAUCAUCCAACUUUUCCUUAAUGAAGAAUCUAUCCACCUCGACAUGCUUUGUACGAUCAUGUUGUAUUGGAUUAUGAGCAAUGUCACACGCGGCUUUAUUGUCACAAAACAAUCGGAUUGGUUGCCUAGAUAGGUAACCUAAAUCCUGUAAGAGGAGUCUUAGUCAUAAUGCCUCACAAAGUCCUAGAGUCAUACCUCUAAAUUCCGUUUCUACACUUGAACGAGCGACGACAUUUUGCUUCUUACUUUUCCAUGUUACAAGAUUACCACCUACAAAGGUAAAGUAACCAGAUGUAGAUCGCCUAUCAUCCACUGCACCGGCCCAAUCAGCAUCAAUAUAUACUUCUAUACUUUGAUGAUCAACAUUUUUAGCGAACAAAAUUCCCUUCCCAGGAGCAUUCUUCAAAUACCUCAAAAUACGCAUGAUUGCAUUCAUAUGUUGCUCUCCAGGAUUAUGCAUGUAUUGACUCACUACACUCAAUGCAUAAGUAAGAUCUGGUCUUGUAUGAGCUAAGUACAUUAAUCUCCCCACAAGUCUCUGGUAUCUUCCCAUAUCAGUUGAUACUUGAUUAGGCUCAACACACAAUUUCAAACCUUCUUCUAUUGGUGUAUUAACAGGUUGACAUCCCGACAUUCCAGUCUCCUGUAAAAGAUCUAAGGUAUACUUUCUUUGAGACAGAAAAAUUCCUUCACUUGAUCAAGAAACUUCAAUCCCAAGAAAGUAUUUUAGAGGACCUAGAUCUUUCAUUUCGAAUUCUCUAAAUAGAUAAUUUUGCAGAGCUUUUCUUUCUUCAGGAUCAUUUCCUGUAACUACCAUGUCAUCCACAUAUACGAUGAGUGUCGUAAUCUUACCAUGUUGCUUUUUCAGAAACAAAGUGUGAUCUGAAUUUGCUUUGACGAUAGCCAAAAGCUCUCAUUGACUUUGUGAACCUUCCAAACCAUGCUCUCGGGGAUUGCUUCAACCCAUACAAUGACUUCUUCAAUUUGCACACCUUCUGACAUUGCUUUUCUAACACCAUGCAUCCUGGUGGAAGAUCCAUAUAUACUUCUUCAGAUAACUCACCAUGCAGAAAGGCAUUUUUCACAUCAAAUUUUUGUAAUGGCCAAUCUAGGUUUGCAGCUAAAGACAGUAAUACUCGAACUGUGUUGAUCUUAGCUACAGGUGCAAAUGUCUCUGUGUAGUCAAUUCCAUAAGUUUGAGUGUACCCUUUUGCUACCAGUCUUGCUUUAAAUCGUUCAAUACUACCAUCUGCCUUGUACUUCACAGUAUAGAUCCAACGACACCCAACUGGCUUCUUUCCUGGUGGACAUUCUACGAGUUCCCAUGUUUCAUUCUUCUACAAUGAUUUCAUCUCUUCAUUCAUAGCUGUUUUCCACCUUGGAUCAGCUAAGGCUUCUUGCACACUAUUAGGAAUAGCUACAGUAGAUAAUUGAUUUACAAAUGACUUGUUUGAUUCAGACAAACGAUGGUUAGACACAUAGUUGCUUAUGGGAUAUUUGACUUUGGUAGACAAUUCAGGUUCAUAUAUGGGUUUAGGAAUACCUCUAUUAUGACGGUGUGGUAACCGUUUCAUGAAUGAAUCGGGUUCCAAAUUAAGAACACCCUCAACAGACGACGAUUGGUUUGGUAUUUCAGUGAAGACAUUUUCGGACCCAAAUUGUUGACCACUCAUAUCCAACUCACCCACUUCCUGGUUCACUAGUUCAGAUUGUCCAUAUUCAUCUUCCUCAAAUAUAUGAUAAUCAUAAUCGAGAGUCUGAAUUUCCUUAUGGUACUCCCCCUGAAGUUCAGACUCAGAUGAAAAAUACAUCGAAUCUUCAUGAAACACCACAUCCAUUGUAAUAUACAUUUGUCGAGUUGGAGGAUGGUAACAUCGAUAUCCCUUUUUGUGCAAUGCAUAUCCAACAAACACACAUUGUAAUGCAUGAGAAGUUAACUUGGUGCGUUGGUGCUUGUGUAGAUGCACAAAUGCCACGCAACCAAAAACACGAGGAGGUAGAUUUGGGACAGUUGGGGCAACUACGACAUUAGUAAGAGCUUGGAGUGGUGUUUGAAAGUUAAUUGAGCUAGAAGGUACCCGAUUGAUCAAGUAUGCAGCAGAUGUGAUUGCUUCUCCCCAAUAAGAUAUCGGUGUUUUUGCUGCUAUCAAGGAAGCACGAACAACCUCUAACAAGUGCCGAUUUUUUCGUUCAGCGACUCCAUUUUGCUGGGGUGUAUUGGAACAAGUAGUUUGAUGAAUGAUGUCAUGUCAUUCCAAAUACUUUUGAAGAUCAGAACUUUGAUAUUCUCCACCAUUAUCACUACGCAAAACCUGAACCUUUGCAUUGUACUGAGUUUCAAUCACUUUAUGAAAUUUUUGAAACAAUAAGUUCACUUCAUCUUUGGUCUUCAUCAAGCAUAACCAUGUCAUUCUAGUACAAUCAUCAAUAAAAGUAACAAACCAACGUGAGCCACUCAAAGUUGGGACUUUGGAUUGGCCCCAAACAUUAGAAUGUAUAACCAUAAAAGGAAACGAACUUUUAUUUAAAAUUAACGAAACGAAGCACAAUGACUUUUAACCAAUUCACAAAUAUCACAACGGAAACCAGAAAUAUCACUCUUUGCAAACAAACUAGGAAACAAUUUUUUUAAAUAACCAAAGGAAGCAUGUCCCAAACGUCGAUGCCAUAACCAAAUUUCAGAUUUUUUCUUCUCUCCCUCAAAUUCAUCUGCCAUCAAGGCUUGUUGCAACUUAUUUGAAUCCUUUGACUGCAAGUCUAAGUAAUAGAGUUUUCCCCGCUUAAUACCACAACCAAUCGUUUGUCUUGUUUGGAUGUCCUUAAUCACACAAAAUUCAAGCCAAAAAAUGACAAUACAAGAUAAGGUUGCAGUGAUUUGAGAAACUGACAAAAGAUUGUAAUCUAAAGAUGGAACAACUAAAACAGAAUUCAAAUUCAAAGUAUCAGUAAGAGUUAAUGAUCCUUCCCCAAUGACUGGGGUUAUGUUACCAUUGGCUGUGGAAACAAUUUUUUGUAAGGAAGGUCUAAGGGUUGAAAUGUCUAGAAUCAAAAGUCAUAUGAUCUGUAGCACCAAAAUCAAUUAUCCAUGCACUAUUAAUAACAGGUGUAAAAGUAUUUAAAAACUUACCACCAUGAUCUGUAGCGGCUACCAAUGUAGAGGCUUUCUCAGCAACAUUAACCUCUGUUUUUAUUUCGGCAAUAGUUGCAGUCGAGGUUUUCUUGGAAUCCUUCUUCCGUUGAUCACAAUUAUUAUCAUUAAUAACAAAGUGUUGAUAACCUAAACAUGAUUUAAAGGUCCAUGGUUCAAACCCUCGGUUCCUUAUUUUUUUCUUGAUUAUACCAAGAGUCGUUGCUUUGAAAUUGUGGGAUAUCCAGAUUGGUGGGAUCAGUCUUAUUGCAGUGAGUGCCUUUGAAGGUUGACUUAUCAAUAUUAGGGCUUGUCUUAGGAUGGUUGAUCGCUGUCGGACUACCAUAGUGACAAAAUAUCCAGGAUUUCAGUUUCAUGGCUCUGAUACCAUGUUCAAAUUGAUAAAUGAUAGUUUUUUCAUUCAUAUUUUCAUUCAUUCAUGUACAGAGUAUAUAUAGAGGGUAUCGCCAUUCUAAGAAUGGGAAAGAAUUAUACAAGGAAAGAAUGACAUAAGGAAAUAACAAUUAAUAUCCUAAUAUCUCAACUUUCCUAAUAUCUCAAUAUUCCUAAUAUAUCAAUAUUCAUAAUAUCUCAACUUUCCUAAUAUCUAAACAUUCCUAAUAUCUCAGCACUAAAUGAUAUAAGGAAAUAAUGAUAUAAGGAAAGCAUUCCUAAUAUCUCAACAAUAAUUAGUCUUCUCCCUCACCCACAAGUUCACUGCAUCGAUGCUUGUCGAUGAAGGGGAGCCCUAGGCAAGGUUCUCACCGUAAGGCCCACCUGAAUGCACUAGAUUGCAAUCGCCAAUCCUCUGGUUAGUAUAAUUUUGGGCGUAGGAAGCCACAGUGUUGUCCCAUGACAUAGGCCCAACACCAACUUGUGCGCGCGUGGUGUUGUUAGAUUUUUCAUUUUUUUUGAAUUUUAAGAAUUUUUUAAAAAUUUAUUUUAUUUUUUAUAAUAGUUAUAAUUGUCAAUUUUUAUAUUAUUAGAAUAUAAUUCAAUUUUUUUAUUAUUCAUAGCCUAAAGUUAUAUAAAAGAAAAAGGGGAUAGUAAAUUAAUAGAUGUCAAAACUCAUAUAGGUAGAAACUAUAUAAUUAUUAUUCAUAACCAAAAGUUAUAAAAAUAAUAAUUAAGAAAAUAAAGGCUAAUUUUAAAUGAGAAAAACACCCAAAAGGGGGGUGAAUUGGGUUUUUAAUUUUUUUUUUAAACACGACAAAUUUAAGCACAAGAGAAGCAAAUAAAAAGAGAUAGAGUUAGAAAAAUCAAACUCAAAUUUUAUAGUGGUUCGACACUUCCUUGCCUAUGUCCAGUCUCCUCAAGCUCCUAACCGAGUGAGUGUUCCACUAACUUUAAGCUACAACCAAGUUUCUAAUCACCUUUACACUUGAAUUCCGACUCCAAUGAGCUCUUACACAACCUCUUCAAGUUUCAACUCACUUGAAGGCUUUAACACUCAAUUUACAAGAAUGAAUCUCUCAACCUAGCUUAACAAUAGCUCAAAUACAACUUAAGGCUAGGAUGAAUUACAAAGGUGCACUAAAAGAUAUGUAAGUGAAGAUUUAAUACACCUAGAAAGAAAUGAGAGCUUUUAAGGCAAGAACAAGUGGGUAGACAAAUAAAUGCAGGUGUUUUCUUACUCAUAAAUGAAGUGAACCUCUUUAUUUACAGGUUUCUAACUUCGGGAGACAAGAAAAUAAAAAAGCAGCCUCAAUCGGUCGAGCUGGGGUCAACUAGUUCACUAGCCAUUGGAGCAUUAAAUGCUUUGGCAAGUUACCGUUGCUUUGACUGGACCUUGAUCGAAGGUCGACCGAGAAGGCAAAUACCUUGAUCAGGAAGGGAAGACUACUGGAAAAGAGAGGGUGCUUUCUAUACUCCUCGACCGAACCUCGACUAGGAAGAGGGAACCGGUCGACCGGUGCCUUGGCCGAUUGAACCGGUUGGCUAAUGCCUCGAUCGAUUCACCAUUUUUGACUCGAAAACCUAUAUUUUUAUGGUCUUUUCUCUUCUACCACUUAGGCAAGGUCUUUAGGUAAACUAGUAUGCCAAUUUUGAAGUAAUUUGCCUACGGUUCAUUUGAUAAAACUCGGGUUUUGAUGAAACUGCAACUUUAAAUAAUAAAUCGAGUUUUUGAGAGAUGCAUGAAAUGAUAUGUAUAACUUAAGUGCAUCCAUGCAUUCAUCUUACAUUUGUUUCCUAUGAUUAAAGGUCUUUCAAACGUCUUGAUCUUGCAUCCAUUAGAUCAUUUGAUGAAUUUCCAAAUUAAUACCUUAAAUUCUUAAUAAUUCAAACCAAUUGGUAACUUAACCAUAAUUUGUUAUCAUCAAAAUAUGAUUAGGAGAGCCCUUGGGCUAACAAUAAUAUUAAUACUUUUUUUGUACAAAUUAAAAUUAUAUAUGGUCAAAAGUUAUGUAAUUAUUAUUCAUGAUUAAAAAUUAUGAAAUAAUGAUAUUAAUAUAUUUUUGUUUUGUACUGGCCAAAAUCUCAAUCAAUUUUUUGUUCCUGAUUGAGAAGUAUUAAAUAUGAUCAUUGAUGUUUGUAACUUGAAUUAUUCUUAUUGUGACUAUAAGUAUGGAUUUUUCAUUCGAAUUUCACAAUGCCAAAAAAUUCUAGCACAAUUGGAUCAUUAUAUGAAAUCUCUUUAUUUUUAAGAAUUUAUAAUUUACAGUUUUUAAGAUUUACUUAAAUUGUGCUUCUUUUUUAAUCUUUAUAUACACUAUAAUUAUUUUAGAGUGUGUUUGAUAGUGAUUUUAUGAAACGUUUCUAAUAUUUUUAAUGCUUGAAAGAUCAAAAUUUUCAAAUAUUCGAAAAACUAAAAACACUUUCUAGAAUCCCUACCAAACACACUCUUAAUUAUCGAUAAAGUGAAGAGAGUGAAAAGAAAAUGUCUAUUUGAUGUUUUAAGUAUCCUUAAAAUAGAGAUAUACUAUUUAUAUAUUCUCUAUGCUAUUUACUAUUUAAUUCGAUUCUUUCCAUUUGAAACAUUGAAUUUUAUAUGUUUUAUUUACUAUUUAAUUCACUUCUUUCUAGUUGAAAUGAUGAAUUUUAUAUUUGGAUAAAAUAAUGAGAAUAAAUUAUCUUAUAAAGAUUAAAAAAACAAAAGAGAAGAAUUUGAAUAAGAUUGACUUUAGUUUUUAAACUCUACCAUAUUAUCCUUUUAUAAAAGGAAUUUAAUUCUAAGUAAACUCUUUCGAGUUAUUUCUUUUACUUUUUGAUAAUAAUUUAUUAAAAGACAUUAUUUUUCAAUUUUUUUUAAUCAACAUAUAAGAAGUGAAGGAGUCUCUUCUAAUUAUAUCAAGGUCAAUAUAAUAUGAGAUAAUUAUAUUUCAAGCAAUUGUGAAUUCAAUUAUAUUGCAAUUUUUUCAUACUCCUCUAUCAACACCUAUGAGAGUAGCAAAUAACAAAAAAAAAAAAAAACAAGUUUUCUAAUAUAAUUUUAUCAAUGUUUCAAAAAAUAAAUAAAUAAAUAAAACAAGGAUAAUUAUAUUGUUAAUUUAAGAAUAAUAUUAUUCAAGGAGACUUAUCAUGUCAAUUUUAAUUAUAUUAUAUAUAUCAAUAAUAUAUAUCUUUAUAAUAUUCCAAUAAUCUUGUUUCAUAAUGUGUGAUGAUUUUUAUAUUAAGGUGAUAUAUUUUUGGCAAUAAUUAUUAAAUUGAUGUUAUAAAUUUGAAAUGAUAUUUAUCUUAAAUUAAUUUAGACUCAUAAAAUUUAAUGAGGUGAUAUUGUAGUGCUAUUGGAAGAUAUAUAAUACUAUUAUUUAAACGUCUUUGCUAUGAUUCUUAUACAUUUCAUUAAUAAAAGAAUUAAAGAAAAUCGUAUUUGCACAAUCAUCAUAUUUUAUAUAUUUAUGAGAUAGUUGCAAUUCAAUAUGCAAUAAAUUUUAACCAUAAAUAAAUUUGAAUAAAUUAUUUUCAUGUGUUAUUAUUAUAUUAUUUGUGCAUUAUAAUUAUUACGUGGAUAAGUAUAUUAAAUGAUAAUGGUGUGAUUUUGAUAGAAACUUUUUAACUUUAAAAUGUAUAUGUCAAAUGAUUUAUGCAUAUACUUUUUUAAUUGAUUAAAAAAUAAGGUUACACUGUUUUGUUAUAUUUUAUAUAUAUGGCAUAAUUUGUUUAAUAUGCUAGGAUAAUUUGUUUAAUAUCAUGCAAGAAACAUGCACAUUUAUAAAUUUAAUUGUGAAUUGAGACACUUUACAUUUUAUUUUCUAUGUCAAUAUUGAGAUAAUUCCAUGUAGCAAAAUUAAAAUUUUAUAUUCAAGAUUAGUCUCUAGUAUGCUUAAUUAUGUUAGCUUAAAUGUCUUGUACCACCUAUAAAUUAGAGGAUGAAACUUUUACAUCCUCAACAAUAACUAAUCUUUUACUUUUUAAGUUUUAACUCUCCCUUUAUAAUAAGUUUUCUUAAACCCUUAAAGGGUAAGCUUUUUACAACAAGCUUUAUGGAUUGUCAUUUUGGUGAAACUCUUGUCUUAUCAUUUGUACAACAUUGGUAAUAGUUGAUGUUAAUAUCAUGUCAAAAAAUUAGAAAUUGAUUAAAAGCUCUAGAAGAAUUAACAUUAUGUUAUUAGUGACACGAUUCUAUGUGAAUAACACUUUACAUUCUAUUAGAUCUAGAAGAAUCUAACAUGACCAACUUUGUCUCUUAGGAUAAACAGUAAUGCAUCAAUUCAUUAUACAGUCACAUGGACAUAAAUUGUAAAAUUAGAAGUUUUUACUUAGUAACUAAUUUAAUAAAAUGUUGUAUAAAUUGUCUUUUUGAUGAGACAAUUUUCCCACGGUUAGGGGAGAAAAGCUAAUUCCAAAAGAAUGAUAUGAAAAUUUGGAUUCAAGAAGAAUAACAAGAAAUUUUUGGAAAUAUUUUAUUGACAAAUAUGAAAUGAUAUCUUUAAAGAACAAUUAUAUAAUAACAAUUGUUAUCUAAAACACACUUUGAAGUGUAAUAACUUGACGUUUCAAUAAGAGAAUGAGACAUGCCUAAAGCAUUGUAGACAUUUCAGUUGAAAAGAUAUAUUCUCUAAAGGUGGAAAAGGCAUAAGUUAUCCUUUAACAUCCACAAAUUGAACAAAUAGCCCUUGAAGAGAUCCAACUAAAAUAAAUAGCCCUUAAAGAGGUACAUAUUAAACAAAUAAGUCUUGAAGAGGCAUAUAUUGAUCAACAAAUAACACUUAAAGAGGUACAAAUUGAAUGAAUACUCCUUGAAAAAGCACUUAUUGAAUGAAUAGCCCCUGAAAAGGCACAUAUUGAACAAAUAGUUUGUAAACAAGCACAAAUUGAACGAAUGGUCCCUAAAGAGACAUAAAUACCUUCAUAUCUAAAAGUAAAAGAGAUUUUUAUUAGCUAUGAACCUGAUAAGAGGAAGAUGGGAUCAAAAUAAUAUUGUCAUUGACAAUGUAUCUUCUUUUUAGAUGACUUUUGAUAUCAUAAGGAAUGAUGAAGAUUCCAAAUUAUGAAUUAUGCAAGCUACGUUGACACAAAUAUUUGACCAAAAUGGAAAGAUGCAAUAUAUACAGAGUUAGACUUGUUAGCGAAAUGAGGAAUAUUUGGAGUUGUAGUCUCACGUUAAAAUACGUUGAAUCUAUUGAAUAUAAAUAGACCUAAAGUCUAAUGCUUUAAGACAUAAAGAUUGUUGAAUAUCGAUGGGUUAUUAUGCUAUAAAACAAAAAUUAUAGCAUAAGCAUUCCUACAAAUAUCACUUAGUAUCAAUUUCCUAAGCCUAAUUUCUACUUGGAAAUUAAAAGACAUCUUGAAGUUGAGCCUGCAAGUUGUGUCUUCAUUGAUAACAAGUGUUUUCCUAUAAUAUUUUCUUAAUUGAUUGAACCUAACUUGUAAAUCUUCAAUUUUGUCCUCUUAGCACAUGUGACUCUAGGUGUCUUCCUAUACUUCUCUCUUGAUUCAUUAUCAUCCCUUAGUAGUCCAUCGACACUCAUUUGACCUAAUUUUUCUGAGUCACCUUCAAGGGCUUCUUGUUUAGGGCUAAACUUAGAUCUCACUUAGAUCUUUUUAAGGAUAGGUUUCACUUAGAUGCUUCUAUAUGCCUAGAUCACUUGGUUAGUUUUUGAGUUUGAUUGCUUGAUUUUGAGUUUAAGCAAGGUUUGGCUUGAUUUAGAAAAUAACAUGAGAUUGAAGAUUCUAUUCUUUUUAAGUUGUAUGAAGUAAUAUUUUUAUUCUCUUAUGUGUCCAUGUGAUUGGUUUUGUUUACUUUCAUUUUAAAUUACAUGAUUUCUAAUUUUUAUUUUAUUUUAUUUUUGCAUGAGUUUGGUACUUCGAUUUUUUGCAUCUGUAUUAAUAAUUGAUUUUAAAUAUGCAUGUGAUUGACAUAUUAAUUUUUUUUAAUUACAUAACUUUGAUUUUUAAUUUGCAAUUGCAUGCUUUUUAUUUUAAUCUUUAUUUUGUUUUGCAUGGGACUAGAGUGCUGCAAAUUGGAGAGGAUCCCUUGGUGUACACGGCUUCCACAAAUAGGAAGGAGAUUAGGACACUUUGGAGAUAUUUUUGGAUGAAGAGAUUCAUUUGGCUUUUGUUUUUGGAAAAGAUUUUCAAUAAGCACGCAUGUAUGAAAGGAUUUUGAAUCAGCAAUGGGCAUGGGCUGGGGCUGCUAUAAAAAUGGAAGGACAGCCACACGCGUAGGGGAGGAACACUAUUGAAAAAGGAAAGAGUCAUGUCAGAGAUUGUCCAUGCAAAACCACAUCCCAUAUUCCCAUAUUCAUUCUUGGAUUUUGAUUUGAUUCUUCGGAUAUUCUCCACAACCAUAAUAUAUAUAUAAAAUUAGUCCACAUGCACUGCGGAGGAGGGGCAGAUUGCGGGGCUGUGAGAAAAGAAAAAGGGAUCCAUGGGAAACUUUGAAGAGAAUAAUAAAAGCUGCCAUAAUGGGAUUUCUAAUGAGCUUCCACAUGCGGAUUGCUAUGUUUCUUCCAUGGAUGAUGGAGAUUGCAUGUAAUACAAAUUGUGAGGGCGCACCAUGAUUCUGGCUUUGUGAGGGAUUCAGCAAGACACAAUGCACCACUCCGUGGGAAGGUAUGGCGGCCCACACGCACUCACCAUGGAGAUCUAGAGAGCCUAUACCUAUUUAUUUUAUUUUAUUAGGGGAACACACAUUAUGGCAUAUAAGGAGGGAUUCAGAUUUUGUUUUAGGCUCCGACACACACCAUCAGUCUACACCGAUCGUCAUCCAUAAAGAAAAAUCCAUCAUCACGGAAGGGAUCACACAACCAGCAGGCAUUCUGGACACGCUCCAUGGAGAUUGGGGAGCAGAUUCUUUCGCAAGAAAAUCACAGAGACACCAUUAAUUUUUUAAGGCUCCACAUGCAUAUUGGGAACGAUCAGCUCUUUUAGAGAUGAAUACAGAUCAGAUUUCUUGCAGAUGACGGCAAUAGAUUUUCUAGAAGGUGCUGAUGGUGUACACGGUUUGGUUAUGAAGAACCUCGAAUUUUAGGAGUUGCAUGAGUGAACGGUCUGUUGAUGAAGACCAUUAGAUUUUUUGGAGGUAGUGGUGCACGGUUGCAUGUGAAUAAUGAGCAUCUAAAUGCUCUAGAUGAAAGUUGAUGCUGAAUUGACGAGUACACGGUUCGGGAACUGAGUGAUGAAGAUUUUUUUUUUUUUUUUUUGUGGAGCAUGGUGUGGACAAUUGGAUAUAGAGAAACAACAUCUUGAUUUUUUUGGGGACUCCGCCAACAGGAUCAUGCACAAGCAGCCUACACAUUCCAUAGGUAACCACAUGCGGCUGCCAUCCAUUGAAAAGAAGCACACGCAUUUAUUCAUCAGUAGAGAUUCAACCUGCGCGCAUGGAGAGGCCAUGCCGCUUGAUAGGAAUUCUCCACCAAAGAGAUAUCCAGCCUGCAUGAACGGUUUUUGAACGUGUAUUAUUGACCCUCUUCUCCUAUCAAUAAAAUACAUAUACAGAAACCCCUUCAUGUGCGGUGUGUGCUUUUCCAUCAAUUACAGAAAAAUAACUCUGUGUAUUAAGGUUUGAUAAGGAGAAGAAGAAUCAAGGAUUUAAGAUCUAUAAGCUGAAGGGAAAUCUCUCAUGGCUGCGUCUUCUUCAAACGGUAUGUGAUCUAUUUGUUAAUUAAUGUUUAUUUUAUUAUUUUAUUAUCAGAGACGAGUUUGAAUCAUAAUGAUCUGGAUAAUUGCAUGUUAAUUUUCGUGUUAAAUUCUAUCAAUUGGUAUCAGAGCUUGGUUUUGAAUUUAAAUAUUCAGAUCAAUUUAUAAAAGAUUAGAUUUUUUUUUUUAAGAUUUAUCUUCCAUUAAUUCGUCUCACUAAAAUUACUAAAAUAAAAUAAAAUAAUAAUAAAAUAAUCAAAAGACCCAUUGCGUUCCUCUGUAUCCUUGAGUUCUAAGGAGACAGGAACUAUAUCUGAGCGUGAUUGACCGUUUCUAGACAUGUGGAUUGCUUAUAUAACCCAUUGCGUAACAGCUCCUAUUAGGAAAAAUAAAAUAAAGAAGAGUAGUGAUUCCAUGCGCCUAAAGGAAUAUUGAAAAUUUUAUUGUACGUGCUAUUGGGUCAGCACACAGUAGAGGAUCGUUCAAGCGCCAUUGUCGGCACCGCAGUUUCUCUAGGUUUCACGCGCCAGUUCAGGCGCGAUUUCCGGCGCCAUCGCGCUGAUUUCAGGUGCCGUUGAAGGCGCCAUUGCCGGCGCCAUUGAAGGCGUUGGUUGCAGGCACCAUUGCCAGUGCCAUUGAAGGCACCGUUUUCAGGCGCCAUCUCCUGGUUGCAGGCACCGUUGAAGGCGCCAUUGAAGGCGCUGGUUGCAGGCACCAUUGCCGGUGCCAAUGAAGGCGCCGUUUUCAGGCACCAUCUCCUGGUUGCAGGCGCCAUUAGAGGCGCUAUUUGCAGGCGCUAUUGCCGUUUGCAGUGCCGUUUGAGGUGCGGUUCAGGCACCACUUUUCAGGCUCUCCAAAAGUGCUAUUUCAGGCACUAAUUCAAAGAUAUUAAUUGAUUUAUUUUAUGAUUUGAAUCUGAACAUUUGUGAAAUUAUUAUUAUUAUAUAUGAGGAAUGCAAGUAUUAGCUUUAGUAUAUUCAAUGAAUGCAGAUUUCUUUAAUUUUAUUAUGAUUGAUUAAUGAAUCUGUUGAUUAUUAAAGAUACUAUAUUAUGAUUGAUUAUUGAAUCUGUUGAUUAUUAUGGAUACUAUUUCCUUGUUUUUUAACUCAAAUAAAAGAAUUAAUUUCAUCUUGUGAAUAUUUUAUUCAAAUGACAAUUUAUGAAUAUAAGGUUAACUAAUUUGGAUAGUUGCCAAAGUAACCUAAAUUAGUGAGCCUUGUAUUUAUUGAAUUGCAUAAAAGAAUAAAGGGAGACUUGUAAAAUUCUUAAUAAUUUUCUUUAUAAUUAGGAGAAUGAGACUAACCCAAAGGAGAGUCAAUUUCUGUUAAUUAUUAAUUAAUGUUUUUAUUUUGUGUUGCUUAGAAAAGUAAAAUGGAUACCCAAAGGUAACAUAUAAAUGACACAAAAUAGUAAAGUGUUUUAAGCUCCCUCCAAGUGAACACUGGAUAUGUUAAAAUUUACCCAAAGGAGAAUUUUAAUGAUAUCAAUAGUUCAUUGUUUUUUAUUUUAUACUUGAAGCUUAUUGUGAGCAUUAUUCUAUUUUGUACAGUUCCCACUUCAUUACACUCUCUUGCAUCUGGAAUGACUAUUUUUUAUGGGUCAAACUUUUCUGAAUGGUAUGAAAGGGUUCAAUUCUCACUGGGUGUAUUGGAUCUUGACUUGACUUUAAUAUCUGAUAAACCUCCUGAAGCUACGGAUUACAGUACUCUGGAGCAGGUGGAACAAUCAAAAGCCUGGUCAAAAUCAAACAGACUCAGUCUGAUGUUUAUGAGAAUGACUAUUGCCAAUAAUAUCAAGACCUCUCUCCCUCAAACCGAGUUUGCCUCGGAAUUUCUGAAAUCCGUUGAGGAGCGCUUCAAACGCGUUGAUAAGUCCCUUGCAGGCACAUUGAUGGCUGAAUUGACCACCAUGAAAUAUGAUGGUCAGAAAGGUAUUCAGCAACAUAUUUUAAACAUGACUGAAAAGGCUGCAAAGCUUAAGGCACUAGGUAUGGGUAUGGAUGAGUCCUUCUUGGUACAGUUUGUCCUUAACUCACUUCCAUCACAGUUUGCUCCAUUCAAAAUCCACUAUAAUACUAACAGUGAUCAGUGGAACUUGAAUGAGCUCACCAGUAAAUGUAUACAAGAGGAAGUGAGAUUAAGACAAGAAGGACAUAAUCUUGCUCUUGCUGUAACUCAUGGAGUCACGAAGAAGAAAGGAAAAUUCAAAAAAUGAAAGAACUUUCCACCUAAGAAAAGCGGACCUGGGGAAGGUAGCCAGAGUCAUGAUGGAAAAUUCACAGUAAGUUGCUACUUUUGUGGCAAGAAAGGGCAUGUGAAGAAGGACCGUAUCAAGCACAAGGCUUGGUUCGAAAAGAGAGGUAUAAAUCUUUCUUUUGUAUGUUAUGAAUCCAAUCUUGUUGAAGUUCCUUCAAAUACUUGGUGGAUUGAUUCUAGAGCCACAACUCAUGUGACUAAUUUAAUGCAUGGAUUCCUUACAACCAGGAAACCAAAGGAAAGUGAAAAGUUCCUCUAUAUGGGAAACCGUCUCAAGGUUGAAGUGGUAGUUGUUGGUACCUAUCGCUUACUAUUAGAGACAGGUCAUCAGAUGGAUCUUUUAAACACUUUUUAUGUACCUUCUAUCUCUAGGAAUUUAGUUUCCUUGUCUAAAUUAGAUGCUACUGAAUAUUCUGUUUUAUUCAGUUUUGGACAAUUAAGUUUGAUGUUAAAUUCUGUUACAGUUGGUUCUGGUAUUUUAUGUGAUGGUUUAUAUAAAAUUUCCUUGAAUCAUGAAUUUUCACAAGCUUUGAUAACCCUGCAUUCAAAUGUUGGUUCAAAAUGUGGCUUAAUUAAUGAAAAUUCUUCAAUCUUGUGGCACAGAAGACUAGGGCACAUCUCUAGGGAAAGAAUUGAGAGAUUAGUGAAGGAAGGAAUUUUACAAAAUCUUGACUUCACUGAUUUUCAUGUAUGCGUGGAUUGCAUAAAGGGAAAGCAAACUAAACAUACAAAGAAAGGUGCCACAAGAACUAAUGAGCUCCUUGAGAUAAUUCAUACAGAUAUUUGUGGACCACUCUCUGUUCCAUGUUUUACAGGAGAGAAAUAUUUUAUCACCUUUAUAGAUGAUCUAUCUCGUUAUGGUUAUGUUAAUCUAAUGCAUGAAAAGUCUCAGACCAUUGACAUCUUCGAGAUGUUCACAAUAGAGGUCGAGNNNNNNNNNNNNNNNNNNNNNNNNNNNNNNNNNNNNNNNNNNNNNNNNNNNNNNNNNNNNNNNNNNNNNNNNNNNNNNNNNNNNNNNNNNNNNNNNNNNNNNNNNNNNNNNNNNNNNNNNNNNNNNNNNNNNNNNNNNNNNNNNNNNNNNNNNNNNNNNNNNNNNNNNNNNNNNNNNNNNNNNNNNNNNNNNNNNNNNNNNNNNNNNNNNNNNNNNNNNNNNNNNNNNNNNNNNNNNNNNNNNNNNNNNNNNNNNNNNNNNNNNNNNNNNNNNNNNAAUCAGUGGGGAGUAUGACAAAGAAAAGUAGAUAUGAGGAGAUAAGAGUGGAUAUCCCACCACCUUUUUUACCUUAAGAAAUUAUUGUUCCUCAAUGAUUCGUCCCUAGCAGCGGCAUUGGCAAUGGCACCAUUUGAUUCGAGGUUUGAUCCUCGGCAACGGCGCCAUUUGAUUCAUGCCCAAUUGGUGUCUCAGCUGAUUCGUGUCCAGCUGGUGCUCCUUGAUUGAGGGAUUGAUCAACAAAAUUUAUAACCUAUUACACCAUAUACUAGGGUAGCAAAGACAAAGCUACUAUAGCAUAGUGGCUCUAGGAUCGUUCACUGGGAUGGGUUUUCACUUCACAAUUGAUAUUAAUUCAAAGAUGAAUUGGUGCCUUUUCAUUUCAAGGUUAGCUUUAAAAGAAAACAUAAAGAUGUUUAAAUGAAAAAGGUUUGGUUUUAAGCUAACUAAAAAUAGUAACUGAUUUUACUUACAAAGAAAGGUGUUUCUUGGAGUUCAGAUCACUAGGCUCGUUCCUCAUACAAAAUGGAGAGUUCCGGUCACUUGUUUAUUUUCCUCGCAUUAGAGAAUUAACAUAUAGUUCCUUCUCCAACCGGUGUUGUACAGAUGCUUCCCAUUAAUGGGUUCAAACACUAAAUCCCUCUCACUGAUGCAACUUGCAAUGGUUCAUGCCUCUCACGAGCACUUACCAUUCAAGGAGAUCUUUAACCUUGGACUUCCCUUCUCAAGCUCGCAAGAGAUAACUAAUGGAUGUCUCCUUGGAGUCCAAAAGCUUACCAAGUGUUGGCUAUUCUAGAAAAUCCUACCUUCAAGUCACCUCCCAAAGGCUCGCAAGGGGUAAACUAGUGCAUUUCCAUGGUUGGAAAUCACUUGCCUUACCAAGUGUUGGCCCAGGUGACUCUAAGGUGUUUUAAGUUAACUAAAAACAUAGAAAUCACUAACGGGUUACACUUUCUCUUCAUUAAAAACUAAAACAACAAAACUUCCAAUUUAUGCAUGUGGAAACUUACCCGGCUUUCCUCACUCCAAGAGACAAAAAGCUUAGCCUCUCAUCCUCUGUGGAAAAAUCCUCAGAGUUUGGUUGGCUAGAAAGAAAAAUAAAUGAAAAGUGAAAGAGAAGGAAAAACAGAGCAAGGCUCUGUAUAUUCUAUAUAUGAUCGAUAUUACAUAUAUGAUCCUCCUCCUUUUACAGUGGAUGCAAGGGAAUAUAUAUAGAGGAGUUUUUCCAACCUUCCCAACUAAGAAAUCUUAUGGUUGGUGGAUUACAAGGAGAAGAAUGGAAAUUUAUACAAAAAUAUCUGAAGAAAAUAUCUAGAAGAGUCGGUGCAAAAAUAUCGGGAAGCACUAAGGACAUUUCGCAGGUGAAAAUGGUGUCUGCGAGAUUUCGCAGACACUCAAGAGGGCUGCGAAAUAUUUUCGCAACAACAAGUUAAACUCGCAGGGCUGCGAAAUUGGCUUCCACCUUGAGGUUCUCAGCGUUCCAGCUUGCGGCAUGUAUCGGGUAGCUUCAGGAGGAAUUCCAUAGCACUGUACAAAAAGGCUGCGAAAUUCUCGCAACAAAAGGCUGAUUUCGCAACACUUUGGAGUGAUCUGCUUGUAAUGGCUGUAACUCCUUCGUUUCAACUCCGAAUCAUGCACCGUUUGAAGCAUUGGAUUCUUGACUUCCUGAGCUUUGAAAUGGUAUAUAGAAUGUAGAAAAUGGACUUCGGGAAGUGCUCCAAAAGUGCGCAUGAAGACUGCAGCUGCUUGUCCUCUGUUUUCUUCACUCUGUUUUUCCUUUCUCCUUGUUUCUCUCCUUGCAUACUUUGAACGACUUUGGCAAAGGGCUAUGGAGCUCCAAAGCUUUGUUCUUCAUGAAUUUGAGCUUCCAAAAUCUUUGCCAUGAACUAUAUACAAUUCUCCCUCAUUCUUGGAUUGUUUUGGUGAUCAAAUUACUAACAAAAACACCAAAACUUACACAAUUUGAUUAGAAAUGAUUGCAAGGGUCCUUAACAUGUUAAUUGGGUUAAAAGGCAAUAACUACUACUCAAAAGUGUUUAAAAGAGUUAAUUACAAGCUAUCAAAUAGCACUUUUUGAGUAGUAAUCACUCCCCCCAACCGACAUAUUGCUAGUCCCUUAGCAAUAAAGGAGAUAAAAACUAAGUAACUAUAAUAAUAUACAUAAAAGGGAUCAUGCAAAUCACUCCAAAAAAUUAUAUGAGUGGCAUGAUGGACAUCCAUGGAUCAAUAAAGAUGUGAAACUCAACCUAUAAUAAGAGUUGUCAAAGCAUUCACUUGAUCAUAGAGUACAAAGAAUGGAUAUUAUGCAAGUUUAAGCAUCAAAAGAAUUUCCACUCUCAAUAGAUCCAAAUCAAAUUCUUCCACUAAAAGCUAAGUGUUAAUGUGAUUAGCUUCCGAGUAUAGUAUGGAUAACUAUCAUCUCCCCCCAACCUAAGUCUUUCUUUAAGCUUAGCAAAAUUAACCAUUUCUUGAUAGGCUAGGAACGCACCUCUUAUUCACAAUUCUUUUUACUUACUAAACUUAACCAAUUCACCCAUGUAACAAGCAGAGGAUCGGUGACUCCCAACCAAUAAAGGCUUAGGGCACCAGGCUUUAAAGGCUUUCGCCACCCCUUCGGACCAUGCUCAGGUUUCAAGGCAAGUAAAGAAGUUUAUUCUAUAUUUUUUUUUUCUUUUUUUUUUUUUUUUUCUUUUUUUUUUCUUUCUUUUUUUUUCAAAGACUCAUUGGUCUUUAUGAGGUGUCCCAACACUAUUAAAGAGAGGUUAAAGGUGUCAAAUUAUGAUUUCUCAAGCUUAGAGGGUGAGAUAGUUUCACAUCUUAUAACCGGAAUCUAAUGUAUGUGUGUGCGAAUAGCUUAAGGUGGAAGAUAUAAGUUUGCAUGCAAUUGGAGUUUCAACAAUUCAUCAACUUUUAGAAGAGCAUAAUACAAACUCUAAGACUCAUGUAAUCAAGUUGAAACUCGACUUCUCUCAUUUAAUUUUGAGAGUUAAUCCUUAAUAUCCAUGGAGUUUAAAGCCAAAAUUUUAAAAAUUAAGCAAAAAGCAACUAAAUUACCAAAAUAACUUAGCAUUAUUAACAAUACUUACUUCCUCAACUCUCCCCCCAACCAAGCUGAACAUUGUCCUCAAUGUGACAAAAGCGAUUAAAAAAUAGGGAGGAAGUGGUACCUCAUGAGUGACAUGAAGUCUGAGUUGUAUAGGAGAAACCACAUGUUUCAAAGAAAACAUAAGAGUUAGUGAGUAGAGGAAAUAGAAAAAUGCCAAGUUUAAACAAGAAUUGAUGUCUAUGUAUGAUGUAUCAUCAGUAAUACAUCCAAUCCCAAAAUGUAAGACAUCAAAACAUGGAAUAUAAUAAGUAGAGACAAAAAAGUAAAGAGAUGAUCAAGUAGUGGUAGGAUCCUGUGGAGCUGAUGUGUCUGUGAUGGCCUCUUGAGUGGGUUGGAUCAGGACUUUGGCCUCUGUUCUGGUAGUCUCCUUAGGUGGCAUAGUCUCCUCAACUGGAGCUCUCAGCUGGAGCUAUGAGAUUUGAUGGUUUAAGGAGGUAAGAAAUGGAGUGAGAGGCUUGGUGUGUGUGAUCCCAGGGUGUGCAGGGCUCUCCUCUUCAGAUGCAUGAUCGUAGGGCUCUGUUGGCAUUUUAGCAACUUCCCUUGGCUUUGCAAAGUGUUUUUGUAAAUCACCCUCCAUUUCACAAGUCAAUUUCGCAAUUUGAAGGCCAUUUCUAAGCUUGGAGGUGAUUUCGCAACCAUUUCAAAGCUUGGAGAUCAUUUCGCAGAAAAGUGGCAUGUUCACAGACCAUUUUUUAAGCUUGGAGCAUUUUCGCAGCCAUUCUGAAGCUUGGAGAUCAUUUCGCAGCAAAGUGGCAUUUUCGCAGACCAUUUUUGAAGCUUGGAGCAUUUCCGCAGCCAUUCUGAAGCUUGGAAAUCAUUUCGCAACCAUUUCAAAGUUCAAAAGUGAUUUCGCAGGUGUAUCGCAGCUUCGAAAUGAGGGGAAUUGUGCUGCAAAUGGCACUCGUGUGCCAAAAAGUGGUUUCGCAGCUGCGAAACACCCUUCCAAAUGGCGUCUCGGCUGCGAAAUUCUCGCUCAGCUUUGCGCGCUUGUCUUCAAACGACCAUAACUUCUUCAUUUCACCUCCAAAUCGCAUACCGUUUGAAGCGCUAGACUCCUGACUUCCCAAGAUUUGAAACGAGAUAUCGUAUCCAUAAUUUGAGCUCCAGAAAGUGCUUCAAAAAUGUGUCCAACAGUAGCGAAAUUGAGGUGCGACAUUUCCGCUCAUGGUUUGUACAGUCUUCUUCAAACAGCCAUAACUUUUCCGUUUCAAAUCCAAAUCAAGUACCGUUUGAAGCUAUGGACUCCUGACUUCCCAAGAUUUCCAACGAGAUAUUGCAUGCAUAAUUUGAACUUCGGGAAGUGAUCGAAAUGUGUCCAACAAUUGCCGAAAUGGGGGUGCGGCUGUGAAAUUGGGAUUUUCACAUUUUGGAACUUCGCAGCCAUUUCGCAGCUGCGAAAUGAGGGUCACUGUGCUGCGAAAUGGCACUCGUGUGCCAAAACCGGCUUCGCAAUUGCGAAGUACCCUGCGGAAUGAGACUUUUGGUGCGAAAUCAGGCUUUACCACUUCGCAAUGCGUUUCGCAACUGCGAAAUGGAUGCUCCUGUACUGCGAAGUGGCACUCGUGUGCCAAAUUCACUUUCGCAGCUGCGAAAUACCCUGCCAAAUGGAGCUUUCCCUGCGAAAUGGAGGAUUUCAUGCUUUGGUGGUUCGCAGCCGCUUUCGCAGCUGCGAAAUGGGGGCCACUGUGCUGCGAAGUGGCACUCGUGUGCCAAAUUUGGUUUCGCAGCUGCGAAAACUUUCGCAGAGAGGGCAAUUGGGCUGCGAACUGGUUUUGCAGCAAAAUUUCAAUUUCGCAGAGGCUGCGAAAUCUCGCAGACCCCUGUUUUUCCCCUGUUUCUCCCCUGUUUUCGCUCCGUUUGACUCCGAUUUUGCUCCGAUUUUUUUUCUUCAAUUUCUUUGCAAUUCCUCUCGAUUUUGAUCAUCCAAAAACCUAUAUUACAUCAAAACAAAUUAGAAUUAAAGCAUUGAAAUCAAAAUUAAAGCAUUGAAAUCAAAAUUAAAACAAGUAAAAAAAAACAAAACAAAAAGAUAUGGACUAGCUAGUCUUUAAAAAGACUAAGUCCAUCAAAAAAUUUGAUCCUGAUUUAGCUUGCCCGGAUCCCAUAUGAAGCUUGCAUCCUUCACUUGAGACUUGAUUUGUAUGAUUUUCCCAUACAAAGCUUGGAGAAAAGGUGGAGGCAUGUGUUUCUUCAUCAAUUCUUCCUUGAUGACUAUCCUCAGUGGUUCUUCAGCUAUAUCAAAAUCAUAGUCAUCUUUCUCUAUGCUUUUCCCCUUUUUCUUUCCUUUGAUUUCCUCCCUCUUUUCUUUCUCUGUUUCAUUCUCUACCUUAUGCUCUAGCUUGCAUGUGGGCAGAUCAACCUCUUUACCACUCCUCAGAGUGAUCACUUCUUUGACUUCCUUCUCCAUUGAAGAUUCUUCCUCUUGAGCCUCCACUACAUGGAUGCCCUUGGAAUUUUGAUAAGGUUGAGAAGGAGAGUUUUCUUUCUCUUGCAUUGUGUUGAGGUUGGAAAGCCUUGAGAUUGAAUCUUGGAGAAUAUCUAACUUCUGAGAUAGAUCAUUUUGCAUUUCAUCCAUCCUUUUAUUCAAAGUACUCUCCAUUCUAUCAAUUCUUUGAUCCACUCUGUCCAUUCUUUGAUCCACUCGAGCAUUGGUGGCUUCUUGCUUUCCCACAAAAUCUCCCACGACCUUGCAAAGAUUCACCAUAGCUUGUUCAAGGUUUGAGGCUUGCUGUGGUGCUUGAGCAGGUUGCUGAUACUGAGGUGGCUGUGGUUUCCAAGAGAAAUUUGGAUGGUCCCUCCAAUUGGAAUUGUAGGUGUUGCAAUCACCUAACAUUUCCCUCUUGGCUGGAAUGGUAGGACACUCUUCCACCAAGUGCUCAUAUGAUAGACAAAUGGCACAAGGCAUAGAUUGCAAUGGUGUUUGAGAGAUGGCUUGCACUGGCUGCAUAUUUGUCAUUUCUAGCUCUUCCAAUCUCCUUUCCAUAGCUGCAAUUUCUGCCUUCAUGUUCAUACCAUCAUUCAAAAUAUACAUCUCACCCUUAGCUUUAGGUUGAGACAUCAUUCUUCCCAUAUCUCUAGCAUUUGGUUUAUCCCAUCCUCUUGAGACUUCAGCCACAUAACUUAUGAAGUUCAUGGCUUCCUCUGCUAUCUCGUAUUCAAUAUGGCAUGCACAACUAGCAAAUUGUGAAUUAAAAACAGAGAACACAAAAGAAAACAAAAGAAAAACAAUUCAAAGAAAAAAAAUUAAGGUAAACUAAAAACUAAAUAAAAGGUAUACUAAAAUAUGAACAAUAAAGAAAUAAAAAGAGUUAGUAAAAGGAAAAGAAAAGUCACCAAACUUGUGAUGAAGAUCACAAGUACUCUAGAAAGGUGAUAUCACUGUAAAGUGGCACCAUCCCCGGCAACGGCGCCAUUUGAUUCGUCCCUAGCAGCGGCAUUGGCAAUGGCACCAUUUGAUUCGAGGUUUGAUCCUCGGCAACGGCGCCAUUUGAUUCAUGCCCAAUUGGUGUCUCAGCUGAUUCGUGUCCAGCUGGUGCUCCUUGAUUGAGGGAUUGAUCAACAAAAUUUAUAACCUAUUACACCAUAUACUAGGGUAGCAAAGACAAAGCUACUAUAGCAUAGUGGCUCUAGGAUCGUUCACUGGGAUGGGUUUUCACUUCACAAUUGAUAUUAAUUCAAAGAUGAAUUGGUGCCUUUUCAUUUCAAGGUUAGCUUUAAAAGAAAACAUAAAGAUGUUUAAAUGAAAAAGGUUUGGUUUUAAGCUAACUAAAAAUAGUAACUGAUUUUACUUACAAAGAAAGGUGUUUCUUGGAGUUCAGAUCACUAGGCUCGUUCCUCAUACAAAAUGGAGAGUUCCGGUCACUUGUUUAUUUUCCUCGCAUUAGAGAAUUAACAUAUAGUUCCUUCUCCAACCGGUGUUGUACAGAUGCUUCCCAUUAAUGGGUUCAAACACUAAAUCCCUCUCACUGAUGCAACUUGCAAUGGUUCAUGCCUCUCACGAGCACUUACCAUUCAAGGAGAUCUUUAACCUUGGACUUCCCUUCUCAAGCUCGCAAGAGAUAACUAAUGGAUGUCUCCUUGGAGUCCAAAAGCUUACCAAGUGUUGGCUAUUCUAGAAAAUCCUACCUUCAAGUCACCUCCCAAAGGCUCGCAAGGGGUAAACUAGUGCAUUUCCAUGGUUGGAAAUCACUUGCCUUACCAAGUGUUGGCCCAGGUGACUCUAAGGUGUUUUAAGUUAACUAAAAACAUAGAAAUCACUAACGGGUUACACUUUCUCUUCAUUAAAAACUAAAACAACAAAACUUCCAAUUUAUGCAUGUGGAAACUUACCCGGCUUUCCUCACUCCAAGAGACAAAAAGCUUAGCCUCUCAUCCUCUGUGGAAAAAUCCUCAGAGUUUGGUUGGCUAGAAAGAAAAAUAAAUGAAAAAUGAAAGAGAAGGAAAAACAGAGCAAGGCUCUGUAUAUUCUAUAUAUGAUCGAUAUUACAUAUAUGAUCCUCCUCCUUUUACAGUGGAUGCAAGGGAAUAUAUAUAGAGGAGUUUUUCCAACCUUCCCAACUAAGAAAUCUUAUGGUUGGUGGAUUACAAGGAGAAGAAUGGAAAUUUAUACAAAAAUAUCUGAAGAAAAUAUCUAGAAGAGUCGGUGCAAAAAUAUCGGGAAGCACUAAGGACAUUUCGCAGGUGAAAAUGGUGUCUGCGAGAUUUCGCAGACACUCAAGAGGGCUGCGAAAUAUUUUCGCAACAACAAGUUAAACUCGCAGGGCUGCGAAAUUGGCUUCCACCUUGAGGUUCUCAGCGUUCCAGCUUGCGGCAUGUAUCGGGUAGCUUCAGGAGGAAUUCCAUAGCACUGUACAAAAAGGCUGCGAAAUUCUCGCAACAAAAGGCUGAUUUCGCAACACUUUGGAGUGAUCUGCUUGUAAUGGCUGUAACUCCUUCGUUUCAACUCCGAAUCAUGCACCGUUUGAAGCAUUGGAUUCUUGACUUCCUGAGCUUUGAAAUGGUAUAUAGAAUGUAGAAAAUGGACUUCGGGAAGUGCUCCAAAAGUGCGCAUGAAGACUGCAGCUGCUUGUCCUCUGUUUUCUUCACUCUGUUUUUCCUUUCUCCUUGUUUCUCUCCUUGCAUACUUUGAACGACUUUGGCAAAGGGCUAUGGAGCUCCAAAGCUUUGUUCUUCAUGAAUUUGAGCUUCCAAAAUCUUUGCCAUGAACUAUAUACAAUUCUCCCUCAUUCUUGGAUUGUUUUGGUGAUCAAAUUACUAACAAAAACACCAAAACUUACACAAUUUGAUUAGAAAUGAUUGCAAGGGUCCUUAACAUGUUAAUUGGGUUAAAAGGCAAUAACUACUACUCAAAAGUGUUUAAAAGAGUUAAUUACAAGCUAUCAAAUAGCACUUUUUGAGUAGUAAUCACUCAACCUGUUCAACAAGUUGAGGAUAAUGAGCAAAAUAAUAGAGAUGGUUUAUUACCACUAGAAAAUAUUGCCAUUGAAAAUGUUGUAGAGCCACCACAACCGGCACCUUUGAGGAGAUCUCAAAGAGAAAGGAGACCUGCCAUUACAGAUGAUUAUGUGGUGUAUCUACAGGAAUCUGAUUUUGAUAUUGGGAUAAGGAAGGAUCCGGUUUCGUUUUCACAAGCCAUGGAAAGUGAUGAUUCUAGUAAAUGGAUGGAAGCUAUGAAUGAAGAGUUGAAAUCUAUGGCCCAUAAUGGUGUCUGGGAUCUCAUCGAAUUGCCUAAUAAUUGUAAACCCGUCGGCUGUAAAUGGGUCUUUAAGACAAAGCGUGACGCUAAAGGCAAUAUCGAACGAUUUAAGGCUAGACUUGUGGCCAAAGGUUUCACUCAAAAGGAAGGUAUCGAUUACAAAGAUACCUUCUCUCCAGUUUCCAAGAAAGAUUCGCUUAGAAUCAUCAUGGCACUUGUAGCUCAUUUUGAUUUAGAGUUACAUCAAAUGGAUGUGAAAACUGCAUUCUUAAAUGGGAAUUUGGAUGAAGAUAUCUAUAUGGAACAACCUGAAGGGUUCGCAAAGAAAGGAAAUGAACACCUAGUUUGCAAAUUAAAGAAAUCCAUUUACGGUCUUAAACAAGCUUCCAGACAAUGGUAUAUUAAGUUCAAUAAUACCAUUACAUCUUUCGGAUUUAAAGAGAACAUUCUUGAUCAGUGUAUAUAUCUGAAAGUUAGUGGGAGCAAGUUUAUAUUUCUGAUACUGUAUGUGGAUGAUAUUUUGCUUGCCAGCAGUGAUCUUGGUUUAUUACGUGAAACCAAGGAAUAUCUCUCUAAAAACUUUCAUAUGGUUGAUAUGGGUGAGGCAAACUAUGUUAUUAGCAUUGAGAUCUUUAGGGAUCGAUCUCGAGGAGUGCUAGGUUUAUCUCAGAAAGGAUAUAUUGAUCGGGUUUUAGAGAGAUUUAAUAUGCAGUCAUGUUCNNNNNNNNNNNNNNNNNNNNNNNNNNNNNNNNNNNNNNNNNNNNNNNNNNNNNNNNNNNNNNNNNNNNNNNNNNNNNNNNNNNNNNNNNNNNNNNNNNNNNNNNNNNNNNNNNNNNNNNNNNNNNNNNNNNNNNNNNNNNNNNNNNNNNNNNNNNNNNNNNNNNNNNNNNNNNNNNNNNNNNNNNNNNNNNNNNNNNNNNNNNNNNNNNNNNNNNNNNNNNNNNNNNNNNNNNNNNNNNNNNNNNNNNNNNNNNNNNNNNNNNNNNNNNNNNNNNNNNNNNGUUACUCGGAUUCUGAUUAUGGUGGUUGUCUCGAUAGCUUAAAGUCAACUUCAGGAUUUGUCUUUAUGCUAGCAAAUGGGGCAAUCUCGUGGAAGAGUGAAAAACAAUCAAUUACUGCUUCAUCCACGAUGGAGGCCGAGUUUGUUGCUUGUUUUGAAGCUUCAAGUCAUGCUUUAUGGUUGCGGAAUUUUAUCUCAGGGCUUGGUGUUGUCGACUCUAUUGCUAAACCUUUGAGAAUAUAUUGUGAUAACACCGCAGCUGUUUUCUUCUCUAAGAAUGGCAAAUUUUCUAGUGGAUCGAAACACAUGGAUUUAAAGUAUUUAGUUGUUAAAGAAAGAGUCCAGAAACAACAAGUGUCAAUUGAAAAUAUUAGGACCACACUUAUGGUUGCUGAUCCAUUAACUAAAGGAUUACCUCCAAAGGCAUAUUUGGAACAUGUUAUGAGGAUGGGUCUUUUGAGUAAUCCAUAAUGUGUAUGAUGAUGAAUGGUGGUUAUGUAAUUGACAAUUUGCGCAUUAAAAUUGUUUCUGUUUAUUCUUGUUUUCAAUUAUGGGUGCACGUUUUAUUGUUUGAUAAACAAGAAUUGUCCUGACAAGACAAAUUACAGGGGCUAUUUGGCAUUAAGGACUGGGUUAGUAAGGGUUAUUGAUGUGUGGUGCAUGGAAGGAAACAUGACAUUAUGGUCAUGUGACCGCCAUGACUCGCAUUUAUGAUCUAAAUUGAUUCAGUAUUAUGGCAAAUGAUUUUAGAUGUAUUGGCUAAGUUUAUUGUAAUCGUGAUCACGUGUCAAAUUUAUUUUCCAGUAUAUAUUUUAUAUAUAAACUAAAUAUAUUAUAGUUUUCAUAAUCGGUUUAGUGGGCCAAGUGGGAGAAUGUUAUUUCCACAUUAAAUUAAGUGGGUGGCCCACUAACCUAUUAUUUAGCCAAUUAAAUAAUAUCCACUAUCUUUAAACUGUUAUAGAUAUUUACCAUUGAUGGACUGGGUAAAUUAUAAUAAUUUUAAUAUUAUUAUUUAAGAUAAUUAACAGUUAUUUCGAUUGACACGUUCAGAACGGUUUUUGAACGUGUAUUCUUGGCCCUCUUCUCCUAUCAAUAAAAUACAUAUACAGAAACCCCUUCAUGUGCGGUGUGUGCUUUUCCAUCAAUUACAGAAAAAUAACUCUGUGUAUUAAGGUUUGAUAAGGAGAAGAAGAAUCAAGGAUUUAAGAUCUAUAAGCUGAAGGGAAAUCUCUCAUGGCUGCGUCUUCUUCAAACGGUAUGUGAUCUAUUUGUUAAUUAAUGUUUAUUUUAUUAUUUUAUUAUCAGAGACGAGUUUGAAUCAUAAUGAUCUGGAUAAUUGCAUGUUAAUUUCCGUGUUAAAUUCUAUCAUAGUCUACUCGCACUUUUGGAGGACACAGAACCCACUUUGAGAGAAACAAACAUCUCAAGCUGCCACUUUGGAUGGACACUUGAAAUCUAAGCGCCACAUAUGAGGGGCCAUGGCUGCACAUGAAAAAUCAGGAGGUGGCACCCACUUUGAGGCAUCUCUAGCACGCACAAGAGAAGCAGUCACAUGUUCUCACCAUCCUUAGGCAUAGCCAUCAUUAAAUUGAUAACAUCAUUACCAAUUCUUUGAGGUAUGUGAUUGUCUUCUAUAUUAUUAUUAUUAUUAUUAUUAUUAUUAUUAUUAUUAUUAUUAUUAUUAUGUUAUAAGAUUUUCCAAAUUUCACUAACUUUAUUAUUUUAAGAAUUGUUGUUGCAUAGUGGUGAUGGAAUUUCAUAUAUGAAUAGUAUUAUGAUAUGUAAGGUUAAGUUUGUUUUAUUAUUAUUAUUAUUAUUAUAAGAGAUUCCAAAGUUCAUUAAUUUUAUUAUUUUAAGAAUUAUUGUUGCAUAGUGGCCAUGGAAUUUUAUGUAUGAAUAAAAUUAUGAUAUGUAUCAAGCAACGGUGUACUUAGCUCAUGAAUUGUAUUGUGUUAUUAUUCAAUGGGCCUAUUGUAUUUUAGAUUGAAAGCAAAUAUUUAUUUAUUAUUUAAAGUGUUCGUAGUUUGUGAGAAAAAUUUUACUUUAUUCCUCUACAUAUUUAUUUUAACAUGAAAAUAAAAGAAAUAAUUGUAAACAUUCAUUUUGAAAUUAAAAAAAAAAAAAAAAACAAAUAUGUCUUUUGUAAAAUCAUUAGUUGGUUGUUUGCUUCACAAUUUUGAUGAUCUCAAGUUAGGAUUUUCUUUAAAGAAAUAUUUAAAAGUUAGUUUCAAAUGAUUUUCUAAUGUUAUUUAAUUUCUUUGGAUUUCAUGUUCUUGUUAUUAAUAAUCUCUAGUUAGAAUUUGUUCAUAUGUGAAUAAUUUUUAUCUUAGUUAAUUUCUUUAAAUAAAUGAUCUCAAGAUAAAAAUUUUAUAUGUUAGUUUUGAAUAAAAAAAAUUUAUCGUAGUUAUUUUCUCUAAAUCUAGUUCUUAGUACUGAUGAUCCAUUUUAAUUUAUAUCGUUCUUUUAAUUAUUAGUUUUAAAUUUUGAUGAUCCAUGUUAGUUUAUGUUGUUCUUUGAAUUAUUUGAUGUUGUUUUAAUGAUCCUGAUGACAUUUAUUAUUUCUUCGAAUCUUAAUUGAUAAUUUGUGACAAUUCCAUGUUAUUAGUUUUGUUUUAAAUGUCAUUGAGACUAUCCCUUGAUUGAUUUGAUCUCAAUUCAUGUGCUUCUAGAAUUCUACUUGUUAGUUCUUGAUUAAUAUCUUUAUUAGUUUGUUUGAUCUAGGAGUCAUUGUUACCUUGGUGUUGUAUAUUAUUUGAACUUCCUAACUCUUAAUUUAAGUUGUAAUACAUCAUGUAGAAUAUGAGGUUUUGAUCAUAUUAAUUAUUACUGUUUGUAAGCUAACCUUCUUCUAGCUAUAUGCAAGCACAUUAUGAGUUGUGUAUGCUAUUUAGGUAUGUCUCUUGCACUUCUUACUUCAUUAAUUUUGUAAAUAUGCAAAUCUUUUUGUGAAUGUUCUAAUGCAUGAUAUUGUUUUGAUUGCUUUGAUUGUUUGAAUGGAUCAAAUGCAUGUUGUAUGCUAUGUUUGUUAAACUAACUUUGAUGUCUUCAUGAAAGCGCUUUGGAAUGCAAUUCAAGUACGCUCAUAUCCUUUUCCCAUGUGUUUGCUUUUUUUUUGGUAUGAUUGUUUUGUUAUGAAUAACAUGUUGCUUGGCCUUAGAUAAAAUCACAUUUGUUUCUUAGUAUUCUUGAUCUAUUAAUUGUCAUUCUUUCUUCAACUUAGUUAGUAGCAACCAAUUUUUAGGGUUUAGAAGGGUACUACCUUUUUAAGGUACCUUCCCGUUAGGUAACUUAAUGCCCGAAUUUAGAUUUAGGUUUUUCAAAAGUGUAAGUAGCCCUUUUUCUUUGGGUUUUAGUUUCUUUUUUUUCUUUUUUUAUAAAAUAAAAAUAAAUGAUGACUCCUUUUUUUUUAUAUAAUAAAAUAUAGUUUUUUUCACCUAAAAAACGAGUCUCGAGUAAAAAUGCACAUAAAAAAUACAGUUACACACAACUACAUCAGUUUCUUAACUUCAUCUUUGAAUAAGUUUUUCCCAUGUUUUAUCUUUAACUUACAUUCAAUCCCAUCAAUACCCUUUUGUAUCUCUGACCUAAAUGGUGGUCCAAAUUGAUGGAUUUUUUCUCUCGCCUCUAUGUGGUUACCUCUUUAUAUUCAAUCCGUCCUAGACCCAAUUAUAGUGUAAUCUUGUUUUUUUCCUGGUGUUUCAGUCUUGUAGCCACUAUAAUCAUUUUCCCUUUGCUCCUAUUUCAGUAAUUCAAAACAUUGUAAGUCACUCUAAUAUAUCCAUUGGAUAGAAGUCCCAAAACUUCCUUGAAAUCUUUAAAAACAUGUCAAACAACUGAUUUUCUUGUAACAAAAAUCUUCCUGUUUGAAAUAAGGAACUUGAGAACUUGAGCUACAUUAUGGAAAUUACCAAUCUUUAUUAAUGUUUACCAAUAUGAAAAAAUAUAUUUUAUUUUUUAUUUUAUAUAAAUAAAAAAUUAAAAAUUUUAAUCAAGGAAAAUAUUAGAAUCAAGAUCAAGUUUUAGUUUUAUAUAAAUAAAAAAAUUAAAUAUUUUAAUUAAGAAAAAAAAUUUAAAAACUAUAGUUAAGUCCAAAUCAUAAGCAAAAAGAUAAAACCAUGAUUAUUAAUUCUAUUUUCAUAUGAAAAUUUAAAAUUUUAAGCUAAUAUAAAAAAUAAAAUAAUAUGACCAAAAUACUUUUAUUUAAUCUAUAUGUGACAAGAUUUAUCAAAUAAAUAAAUAUUUAUUUAGCAUGAAUAUAAAAUCUUAAGUUUUAGUUUUAUAUAAAUAAAAAAAUUAAAUAUUUUAAUUAAGAAAAAAAAGUUAAAACUAUAGUUAAUUCCAAAUCAUAAGCAAAAAGAUAAAACCAUGAUUAUUAACUCUAUUUUCAUAUGAAAAUUUAAAAUUUUAAGCUAAUAUAAAAAAUAAAAUAAUAUGACCAAAAUACUUUUAUUUAAUCUAUAUGUGACAAGAUUUAUCAAAUAAAUAAAUAUUUAUUUAGCAUGAAUAUAAAAUCUUAUCUCAUCAUCCUCUAAAUUUGUUUAUUAUGUAUUUAUGUUUAUAUUAACUUUGUUCUCAUUAAUUAUUUAUUAUAUAUUAUUAUAUUGUAUUUAAACUUUCUAUGGAUAAUUAAAAUCAAUAAAUAUAAAAGGACAAAACAAUAAAUAAAAAAAAAAGAAAUUAAAAAGACUUCAUGAGAAAACAUGUAGCCAUCAUAUUGAAAAAAAAAAAAUGUCAAAGGUACACAACAUGGUUGGUUCAUCAUGUGUCAAACUUAAAAAGAUAAAAAAAAUGUUGACAAACAUAAUGAUGAACUCUCUUAAUUUGUCAUGUCAAAGUUAAAAGAAAAGAACUUAGGUUAGUUGGCUGGUAAUAAGAGAGGUGGAUUGGAGGGUAAUGUUAUAAUUUUAAUAAUGUUAUUAUUUGAGAGUAUGUAGAUAAAAUUAUUUUCUUCAAAGAACCUGUAUUUUGAAAGUUAAAAGUAAAAGUUCUCAAAAAAUGUAUUAUUUUGGGUAGCCUAUGAUUACAUGAUUUUCCUUUUAAUAAAAGGAUAAGUGCCUUAGUGUCCAUCACUUUAACGCACCCACAUCUAUAAACAAAUACAGUUGAUGUGGGUAUUUAAAUUGGUUUGUAACUCAUGUAUCAAGGUGUUGGAGAUUGGAAGUAAUGUAUGUUAAAAUUUGAUUGUAAGUCAUCUCAAGAUCACAACAUCAUAGAACAAUGGCCUAGAGAAACGAUAGAUUUCACCCAAUCCACUAGUUCACCCCCAUUUUGGGCUAAUACAUGAACCAUCACUACAACAAAUAUACUCUUUGGCUAGGAACCAUGUUGUAGCAAAAAGAAGAUAUUUUAUGGGAAAGAAAAAAAAAAAACCAGAUUUUAUGGCAAAAAAACUUUCAAUACAUUUUUGUUUUUUUUUUUUUGUGGCACCUUCAUGGGUAUAAGUUUGUGAGUAAUUAUUUUUAACCACUAAAAUAAAUUUUAUAACCAAAAAUUAUUUUUAAACACAAAAAAUAGUUUAUAAAAUAAUAAUUUUCUCAUACUAAAAAAUUUGUGGCAAAACAUCAUUUUUAAAUAAAUUUCAUUGCUAAACAUCACCUUUAGCCAUGAAAUAAAUUUAAUUAGUGCCAAAACAUCUCUUUUACUCUUAAAACAAACUUUAAAAAAAAUAAAAAAUCAUCAACUUCAAAAUUUCAAUUUUUUCUCACAUUUUUUCUAGACAACCAAUCAGAGCAUUACUAGAUUUAUGUUGAAAAAAAACGACAAAAGUGUAAAGGAUAUUGUAUAUCCUCAAAUUGAUGAAGAUAAAAUCUAACAAACUUAUAUUUAUCAUAUAUCAAUUAGUUGAUAGCAAGUAAAUGUUAUGAACAGCUCAGGGUUAUGGAUGACUUGAACAACUCAAGGUUUUGAGCUUAAGGCUCUAGAUGCUAUGAACAACUCAGGGUUAUGUUGAACAUGAACGACUCAAGGUCGUGAGCAAUAGGCUCUAGAUUUUAUGAACAGCUCAGGGCUGUGGAUGAUAUGAACUACUAUAGGUCAUGAGCUCAGGUCUCUAGAUGCUAUAGAUAGCUAUAGGAUGUGGAUGAUAUGAACUAUUCUGGGUCAUAAGCUAAGGGAUCUAGAUGCUAUGAACAGCUCAAGGUUGUGGAUGAUAUGAACGAUUCUGGGUCGUGAACUCAAGGCUCUAGAUGCUAUGAACAACUCAGGUCUAUGGAUGACAUGAACAACUUCAGCUCGUGAGCCCAGGGUUUGUUUUUUCUCUAUUUUCAAUUCAAAUCAUUGUUUCACAAUACCUUUUAUCACCCCCUUCUUUAUCAAACUUGAUUGAAGUAAUUAUUUUCUCUUGAAAUCACUGAUUAUACCUGCCAUCAAAGGUCAUAAUCUCGAUGGUUUUCUCUUUGGGACACUACCUCAUCCUCCCAAAAAUCAAGGAGAAUCAACAUAGAGUAUUAACCUUGAUUAAAUUGCAUGGGAACGACAAGACCUACUCUUAUGUUAGUUAUUAGCCUCUCUUUCUAAAACUAUUUUAGGCCAUGUGGUUAGCUGUCAAACCUCUCAUGCAGUUUAGACCACUUAAUCAUUGCCAAAUAUCAUGCAAUUUCAGUUUCAACUCCAAAAUACAAAUGAAGGAGUCUUUGAUAUUGAUGAUUAUCUUCUUAAAAGGAAAAAUAUGGUAAAUAAAUUAGCAAUAAUAGGAGAACCUAUGGAUGAGCAAAGACUGGUGUGAAACCAAGGUUUGGUUAAUCUCUAUUUUGAUGAUAACAAAACAAGGUUUAGAAUUAAUGAUUAUAUUUCAAGUGUGAUUAGGCAAGACAAUUUCCAAAGUGGCAAUCACAAAGACAAAUCAAGCCAAGGAGAAAUCAUGAAGAAGAAUACCAUCUCAAAGAGAAGUGUUUUUCAAGACCCAAGCUUCAUAAGAUCUCUUUGUAAGGUUAUUGGCACACUAGGAUUUUCAUGCAUUACAUUCGUUACUUAUGCACCAAAAUCAUCCAAGAGUUAUUUUGUUUUAAAUAUUUUAAAAUUGGAUGAUUUCAUGUUUUCAACUAAAACCUUGUGUCAAAUGUUUUUCAAACUUGUUUAAAAGGUUUUAAGUUGAAAAAGUUGGUUGUUAAGCCAAAAACGGCUCAACCGGUUGAACCAAAUGAGGAACCGAUCGACCGCCAACUCAAUCGGUUUAGGAGUAGGUCGACCCCCAGUUCAACCGAUCAAUGGUGUGAACAGUAACCGAUCGACCCGCCAGCUCAACCGAUCAAGGGGUGCAAAAAACUCUCUCUUUCUUCCAAAAUGGUUGUUCAACCGGAUAAGGAACCGGUCUACCCACGCCUCAACCGGUUGAGGUCCAACGGUCACCUGCUAAGCAUUAAAUACUAAUGGUUAGUCAACUGGUUGACCCCCAGCUCAACCGGUUGAAUCCCCAAUGGCUAGUUUGGUUGUUUUCUUCUAUAAAAAUGCUCCAAAUCUUCAUUGUUAAAGACCUCAACUUUCUCAAACCUUUCUUGAAUAUAUUUGAGCCUUAGAAGAGUGUUUUUUAGUGCACCAUUGUUCUAAAACUUGCAUAUCUUUAGUGUACCAUUCAAUCCUAGUUUUUUUGUAUCAUUUGAGCUUAAAUUUUUUCUAUUAGGAUUUUGUGAGAUCAAUUAUUUGUAUAUCUUUGAGAGUAAGAUUCUUAAGUAUGGGGUAUUUCUUGAGGAUUGUAAAGGGUGCUUGGAGCCAAAAGUCUAAGAGGGUGGAUUGGAACCAUAAUCUAAUUGUUUUGCUUGAAGGCUUGGUUUGGAAGCCAUAAAUUAGUGGAACCUCAAGCUUGGGAUUGAAGUUAGAGGAGAGUGGAUGUAGGUUGACUUGCGCCGAACCACUAUAAAAUCUUGUGUUUGCAUUCUCUCUUCCCUACUCUUUUACUUUAUAUGCAAUUGUCUUUAUAUUGUUUUAUUAUAUACUUGCAUAUAUUUGUCUCUUACAUCCACAUGGUUUAAAUUUGCAAAAAGAGACCAUCACUUUUUUCACCCCCCCUCCCCUCCCCUCUCCUCCCCUCUCCUCCCCUCCUCUAGGGUGGUUACCAUAGGUUGGACUAGCCUAAUUUUUCUAACAAUUGGUAUCAGAGCUAGGUCUCUUGUUUAAGACUUCACCGUCUAAGAGAUAAUGGCUAAUCCAUCAAGCUUAUCUCACAAUGAAACCCGACCUUCAUUUUUCACGGGAACCGAUUAUCCCUAUUGGAAAACUAAAGUGACUUGGUUUCUGCAAUCUACUAAUCUUGAUUUAUGGGAUGUCAUUAAAGAUGGUCUCCACAUUCCUUCAAAAUUAGAAAAUGGAGUGAUGGCUCUAAAACCUAAGCAAGAAUGAGAUGAACUUGAUAAAAAGAAAGUUCAAUUAAAUGCCAAAGUCGUUUAUAUCUUACAUUGUGCUAUUGAUAGAAGUGAAUUGAGUCGUGUUUGGCAAUGUAAGUCGCCUAAAGAAAUUUGGAGACUAUUAGAAAUCACUCAUGAGGGAACCAACCAAGUUAAGGAGUCUAGAAUCAACAUUCUUGGGCAUGAUUAUGAAUUAUUUUCUAUAAAGGAUUUUGAAUAUGUUGUAGAGAUGUUUUCUAGGUUCAUGGUGAUUGUGAAUGAACUUAAAGCCUUGGGAAAGACCUACACCGAAGUAGAGAAAGUCAUGAAAAUCUUAAGGUCUCUACCAAAGAAAUAGGAAACAAAAGUGACGACUAUUCAUGAAGCAAAGGAUCUCACCAAACUCUCACUUGAAGAACUCAUUAGAUCACUCAUGACUUAUGAGAUAAAUUUGAACAAUCAUCAAAGAGUUGAAGAAAAUAAGAAAAUUAUAGUUUUUAUGGCUUCAAGAAAUGAUGAUGAAAAGGAAGAAAGUGAAAGUGAAAGUGAUGAAGACUCCACGGAAGAAGAAUGCACAAAUGAGGAUGGCAACAUGUGCUUCAUGGCCUUGGAGGAACAUGAAGAAGAGGUAAAUUCCAACUCUAAUUAUAAUGAGUUUCAAGAUGUACUUCAAGAAAUAUAUUUUGAUAUUGAAAAACUUAGGUCCAAAAAUGUCUCUCUCAAGAAAAAGAUUUCUUGUCUUCAAAAUGAGUUCCAUGAGCUUAAGGAAAAAAAUUGCAAAUAUUGAGAAGACAAAAAUCUCUUUUGAAAAAUAAAAAUGAGAAGUUGAAAAAGAAAAAUGAAUGGCAAGUCAAAAGUGCAUUUUUGAUAAAAAAAAAUAAAAAAUAAAAAUAAAAAAGGGCUAGGCUACAAGCUUUUCAAAAAUAAAAAAUAUUUUAAGAAUUAUUUUGUAAAGGAAGCCUCUAGCUUUUCACCUUCAAUUAUUUGCAAUCUUUGUGUUUUUGUCCCUUAAUAAAAUCUCCUCAUGUUUUUCAAAACUCUAAAUUAUUUUGGAUUCCAAAUGGAAGAAAGUCUAACCCUCUAGGACCCAAAAAGAUAUGGGUACCAAAAGUUACUAAAUUUAUUUUGUAGGAAUCCAUGCAAAAAGGAGGAUAUGCUUACCUUGGAAAGAAUGCAUUGAUAAUAUUUGUAAUGGUAUCCCUUCUAAAGCUUAAUUUUCAAUAGCAUUUUAUCAUUUUGCUAACACUUGGUAUAAUUUUUGUUAAUAAUAUAACAUUUGGUAUCACAUGCUUGAAUUAUCAUAUUUGUUAAACCAAGGUUUGGAUUAAAAAGAAGAUUUUUUAAUAUACACCUAGGUAAAAUUGAAUGAUCAUAUGCUUGUAUGCUCUAAUAGUGUUAUUCAAUGCAUGAAUAUAUAUCUUUUUAAUGUAUAUGUUCUCCCAUAUAUUUUUUUUCCAAAUCAUGGUUUAAAUUGGGAAUGCUCUAAGGUUGAGCAUCGUUUAUUUGGAAAAUGUUCUCAAAUGAAAAAGGGGGAGAUUCAUUUUUAUGAGAAAUCAUAUCAUGCUUAUUGUUUAUUUUUUAAACUUUUGAUAACAUGUAAUUCCUCUUAUAUACUUUAUUGAGACUUUUUAUUGAUGACAAAAAGGGGGAGAAGUAAUGAGGUUGCUAACUUGGGAAGAAAUGUAAAUAUUGUUUUAGCAAUCUUAUUCAUAUUGAUGCUAUGUGCUUUAUUGGUUAUAAUUGCAUGCAUCAUAUUUAAUAAUAAUGUCUUGCCAAUUGCUAAAUUGCUCUUUAUGUUAUUUAUGUUUGAUUAUAUCAUUUUGAGCACCCUUAAUAUACUCCUUAAAGUUCUAAACUUGAAUAUUUUCUAAAUUCAAAGGAGCAUAUAUUGAGGGGGAGCUUUUUAGCAACUUUGGUUUUGUCAUUAUAAAAAAUGGAGAGAUUGUGAAACCAAGGUUUGGUUAAUCUCGGUUUUGAUGAUAACAAAACAAGGUUUCAAACUAAUGAUUAUAUUUCAAGUGUGAUUAGGCAAGAUGAUUUUCAAAGUGACAAUCAUAAAGACAAAUCAAGCCAAAGAGAAAUCAUGAAGAAGAAGACCACCUCAAAGAGAAGUGUUUUUCAAGACCUAAACUUCAUUAGAUUUCUUUGUAAGGUUAGUGGUGCACUAGGAUUUUCAUGCAUUAUAUUCUUUACUUAUGCACCAAAAUCAUCCAAGAGUUAUUUUGUUUUAAAUAUUUUAAAAUUGGAUGAUUUCAUGUUUUCAACUAAAACCUUGUGUCAAAUGUUUUUCGAACUUGUUUAAAAGGUUUUAAGUUAAAAAAGUUGGUUGUUGAGCCAAAAAUGACUCAAUCGAUUGAACCGAAUGAGGAACCAGUCUACUGUCAACUCAAUCGAUCGACCUCCAGUUCAACUAGUUAAAGGUGUGAACAGUAAUCAGUCGAUCGCCAGCUCAACCGGUCGAGCGGUGCAAAAAAUCUUCUCUUUUUUCCAGAAUGGUUGUUCAACCGGAUGAGGAACUGGUCAACCCACACCUCAAUCAGUCAAGGUCCAAUCGAGGUCCAACGAUCACCUACCAAACAUUUAUUGCUAAUGGUUAGUCAAUCGGUCGACCCCUAGCUCGACAGGUCGAACCCCCAACAGCUAGUUUGGUCAUUUUCUUAUAUAAAAAGGCUUCAAAUCUUCAUUGUUGAAGACCUCAACCUUUCCAAACCUUUCUUGAAUAUAUUUGAGCCUUGGAAGAGUGCUUUUGAGUGCACCAUUGUUCUAAAACUUGCAUAUCUUUAGUGCACCAUUCAAUCCUAGUUUUCUUGUAUCAUUUGAGCUUAAAGUUUUUGUACUAGGAUUUUGUGAGAUCAAUUAUUUAUAUAUCUUUGAGAGUAAGAUUCUUAAGUGUGGGGUAUCACUUGAGAGGUUGUUCAAGAGUGGGGUAUCUCUUGAGGAUUAUAAAGGGUGCUUGGAGCCAAAAGUCUAAGAGGGUGGAUUGGAACCAUAAUUCAAUUGUAUUACUUGAAGGUUUGGUUUGGAAGCCUUGAAUUAGUAGAACCUCAAGCUUGGGAUUGAAGCUAGAGGAAAGUGGAUGUAGGCCGGGUUGUGUCGAACCACUAUAAAAUCUUGUGUUUGCAUUCUCUUUUCCCUACUUUUUUACUUUAUAUGUAAUUGUCUUUAUAUUGUUUUAUUAUAUACUUGCAUAUAUUUGUCUCUUACAUUCAUAUAGUUUAAAUUUGCAAAAAGAGAUCAUCACCCUUUUCACCCCCCCCCCCCCCCNNNNNNNNNNNNNNNNNNNNNNNNNNNNNNNNNNNNNNNNNNNNNNNNNNNNNNNNNNNNNNNNNNNNNNNNNNNNNNNNNNNNNNNNNNNNNNNNNNNNACCGGUACUUCACAUCUUAGGUGGAAAUAGAGUUGAAUACAAUCCUUUUGUGGCAUGGUGCUUACCCAACUAGCAUCAAUAUCUCUAUAUGAAUUAUCUAAUUUACUUACCAGCUUUGACAUCCAUUCAGAGCAGCAAAAUGCAUCAACAACAUUAGAUAUUAACCGCUUUUCUGCCAACCUAGUUGCAACAUCUCCAAAGCACAUGCAAAUAUCAGCACCUAAAUAUAUGACAAUCAGCAAGGUCAUAUCCUAUUUAAUGUUAGAGAAAGGGGAAGUGGUGGUAGUGGAGGUAACAAAAUGGGUCGUGGCAAUCAUCCACGAUGCCAAGUUUAUGGAAAGCUAAGUCAUCUUGCAAUCUCAUGCUACUACCGAUUGGAUUGUAAUUUUCAACCCCUAAAUAAUCAACACCACCAAAUGCAAGCUAUGACUACCACGCCUCAAACAAUAACUGACCCGUCUUGGUAUGUCAAUUAUGGAGUAACUCAUCACCUCAACUCCAACAUUAAUAACCUUAAUGCCAAAAAUCCAUGUAAUGGUGAAGACAAAAUAACAAUUCCCAAAGGCACAAAUUUAGUCAUAAAACACACUAGUUGUAACAUCCCAAAUUUCUAGAUGGGCAAUUUUCAGUUUUGAAAAAAAUAAUAAUAAUGACAUAAAUAAAAUAACUAAAAAUCUAAUUGAAUUAAAAAUAAUUAGGAAAUUUAAAUAACUUAAAAAAUUAGAGGUAAAUAAUCUCAUCUUAUAUUUUUCCUUUUUCACUUUUUCUUUGGGUAAGUGUUGUUAGAAAUUAGUUUUUGUAUGUGUAAAUUUUUUUUUAUAUAUUUUAAACCAUUUUUUUCUUACUUCUUAGAUUGUUUGGCUACCAAGAAAGUGAAGGAAAAUAUUUUAAUUUAAUUUUGAUUGACAUAUAAAUUGUUGGAAGUGAAUGAGAAUGAUAUCCUAUGAUGUUGAUACACAAAAGGAAUUUGGUGAUACCUUUCAACCCACAAUGGGUGAAGCCAAUUUGUUCAACAUUGGAAGGACCCAAAUCAAGUUCAAACAAUCUAAUAUAAUAAAUUGAGUUGGGAGGAAAUUUCAUGAGAAAAAAAAAAUCCUAACAAUGAGGAAUACAAUACUUUUUCUUUUUUUUUUUUAAUAUUCUAACCCAUUGGUGAUUUUUGAAUUUUUGUAAAUUUUUGGUAAAGUAUUAAAAUCCAAUUAAUUUUUUCAAACAAUAUACUUGAUAAUGAGUCUAAAAAUUCAAGUAUUGUUACAUUUGAACCACGUUUGUCUCAUGAGAAAAUUUCGAAUAUAUUGAAAAUUUCAAGGGAGAGGUUCACAGGAAUAGUUUGGACUUAUUAUAUUUCUCAAUUUUUUUGGGAUUAGUCUUAAAGAAAAUUAUAGUCUAAAUUAUUUUUAUAUAAUAUUAUACUCUCUAAGGAAUCUAACCUAUAAAUUUCAUCUCAUUUGGAAAUUGAUAGCUUAUUAUAAAAAUUCUAAGGAAAUGGGUAAGAAAAUAAAGUGGUUCAACUAAGACAGUUUUGACGCACUUAGGUUUCUUAAAGUUCUAGGAUAUUUUGGCUAAUUAUCAUCAUUCUUAAUUAUUUUUAUAUAUUAUUAAAAUAAAAAAUGAAACUAUAGAGUCUAAUUGCAUUCAAUUCUAAAUUUGUUUUGCAUAGAAAAAUAACUAAGAAAAUAUUUAAUAGAUUUUCAACAAGGUAUGCUAGGACAAUUUUUAUGUUUGAGACUUUUGGUACUAUUAAAAUUUGUGUAAGGCUUAUAAAUUAUUUAAAAAAUAUUCUAGACUCAUCAUGCAUUAUAUUUGGAUAGUUUCACAAUUAUUGGGAACUUGUUUGUUUAGUAAGAAAAAUCAAGAAAAUAAGUAGUAUUGCAACAUAUAUUGUUUUGGAUAAAUCUAGAACUAAAUUAGGUUGAGGCUUAAUUGAUGGUCUUUUGAUAACCAUUUGACUUAAAAAUUAAUUUCUAAGGUUCCUAGACUCAUAUAUAUAUAUAUAUAUAUUUGGCUCAAGUUUCACUUGAAUUGGACUUCAUUUACCUAACCUUUCAUUUUUAAGAAAAUUACAUAUUUUAGGGAGAGUGUUAUCAAAUUAAGAAAAAAAAUAGGAGAACCUUAGAAUCAUAGUUCCCUUUUUAUCGAAUUUCCAAUUCUCUAAGUCCACUUAAAAUUUGUUUGAGGAGAAUUCAGACUUUGUGGAGUCAUCAUACUACAAGUAGACUCUAGUGUUGAUUGCGAGAAUUUUUGUGAGUAGUUACGAUAUGCAUGCUUUUGUUAAGCUUUUUCUAAAAUAAACAUCUCUUGCCUAUGUAUUAUCUAUCACUUGUUUCAUUUUUUUCUAAAGGCAUGAAAUAUAUAUUGAAAUUCUUAUUUGAUCAAAAUGCACAUGAUUUAUGUUGAGUUGCAAAAAUAAAUGUCACUAUACUUUGAAGAAAUUAUUUAUUUCCAUGAAUAUAUUUACAACCAAUGACAUAUUGCAUACCUUGUUGUGGAUAUAAUAAAUUGUUAGACUUUUGGAUAUUAAUAUCUUACGGGCAUGAUAAUAUGUAUACUCGUGAGGUGUUUCAUGCAAUUUUGUUCUAAGACUCCAUAUUCUCUUAUGUAGCAAGGGGAAGGCCUUAAUACGAGAUUGUGAGUCUAAUGCUAAGCUAGGGGAUAGAUCUCGAAGUGACAAAGUAUGCUCUGUUGUGCCCCUAAUGAGAUGACUAAGAGAUGAACAUUUUGGUAUUGUGAUCCAUAGUAACGAGUCACUAAAAAAUUGUGUAGAUGUGGGGAUUCAUGGAUAGUAGGCUUUUGUAUAGUCGAUUGAUUGACCAAAGAUAUGUUCAGACCUAUGAUUGCAUAUUUUACAUUUCAUAUAUUUUUUAAAUACCAUUACGAUUAUUCUAUAAUAGUUUCUAAUUACCAAAGUUAUUAUAGAUAUAUUUUAUAAUUGUAUUUUUAUGUGGACUAACUAUCCUAACACUUAUGUAUCAUAACUAUUCAUUGGACCUUGUGUUCACCCCAUAGAAUUAUUAUUAUUAUUUUUUCAAAUAAGGGCUCAUGUAUUCCUAUUAAGGAGAUAAAAUCGACUUUAAAGGGCAUCUAGCUUUAAUUCUUUUCUUGUUAAACUUAUUGGGCAUCUAGUCUAUUUCAUUAUAUAUUUUAGUUCAAUUUAGUUAUUCUCAGCCAUGUGGCUAAUCUUGUAAACCUUGCUCUCGCUAUUUUUGUAUCUAAUUGUUGUUUAUUUAAUAUUAUCUAGUUAUAUGUUAAUCUUUCAAGACUACAUUUAUUUCUUAGGAUGGUGAUUACACUUUAAAUUUGUAGUUGGAGUGGGCUCACUAUCUUCAAACAGGUCGCUAUUAGAGCAAGUCAUUCUAGUCAAUUUCUUACUUCAAAUAAAUCCAAACAUAUUUACUCUCAAAAACAUUUUGCAUGUUCCUAAAAUUACAAAGGUUCUUUCUAAGCAUUGCAAAAUUCACAUUUGACUACAAUUUUUUUUCAAAAAGAAAAAUUUAUUGUAAUUUUUUUUCUUAUCCAGGAUUAGGUUUCGUAGAAGAUUUUGCUCUAUAGCCUCCUUGACCAUGGUCUUUACAAAUUUCAUCUUUCAACUUCUUAUACUAAACAAUCAAAACUUAUGUUAAAUAUUUUCUAUUUGUUCAAUCUAGCUAGUACAGUAUUACAACCAACUUGUUUUUCUACUUUCAAUAAGCUAAUUUCCUUGACUACUUCACCUUCUUAGGUUAUUUAACAUGCUAGAUUAGGUCAUCAUUCCCUUAGGAUUUUAUCUCAAGUUCUGUCCCAUUGUAAUUUGCUUUUCAGGUUAUUACAAAUAUUGAAUGUUGUGCUUCAUAUCAAUUUAGGAGACAUAAAUGUCAUUUUUUUCAAGUUUGUUGUUCAAAAAACAACCAAACCGACUACUUUAGCUUAUUCACAUUGACAUUUAAGGGUUUCCCCUAUGAUUUCCACAAAAGGCUUUUGAGACUACAUUCAUUUUAUUGAUGAUUUUUUAGGCUACACAUGGAUAUAUCCUUCAUAAAUAAAUUUGAAGCUAUCAUCUUUCAUAAAAUUUAAACUUCUUAUUGAAAAUCAAUUAAACACAAAAAUAAAAUCUUUACAAAUUGAUGAGGGUUAAGAAUUUUCAUCUACAAUCUUCCAAUUUUUUUUAAAUCCCAUAAAUACACCACCAAUUUUCUUAUCCACACACAUCAACAAAACGAUAAAGCAAAAUGCAAACAUCAUCACAUUGUCAAAAUAAGUCUUACUUGCCUUGCUCACACAUCUUUACCUCUGAAAUUCUAGGAUUUUGCCUUUGUCUUCUCUAUUUACACCAUUAAUCAUUUUUUAACCCCAAUUCCUCAAAACAAAUCACCUUUGAAGAAAUUAUUCCAUCAUAAACCCGACUACUUUUUUCACAUAUUUGGUUGUGUGUGUUAUCCAUUUGCUCAUCCUCUCAAUAGAUAAAUAUUUCAAUUUCACUCCUUAAAGGGGAUCUUUCUUGGCUGAAGCGCAUAUCAUAAAGGCUAUUUUAAUGCCAUGCUAUUUUUAAUAAAAGCAAUUUCCUGUUUUCCUUUGAUUUUUUCAAGCCUUCUAAUUUAUUUUCUAGUUGAACAAACCUGCCAUCUCAAACCUUGCAAAUGUUUCUCCCCUUAAUAUCACAAGUCUCAUCCCCCUCUUUGCCACACCCCACAAUUCCAUAUUCUCAUAUCACAUUCCAAUUUCUAUCACACCUUAACUUUACCACAUAAUCCAUCUCAUGCCUAAACACCAUCAUAAGACCACAUCUUAAGCAGCAUGUCCCCCUUAGAAACUCCCUCAUUGGAAUACAUGAUACCCACCAAUACUAUCCCAUGCAAACUUGUUCCAAAAUUGGCAUUAUUAAAUCCAAAUCCUUGCUUUCUCUGCUUCCUUCUUUACCCUUUCAUUCCAUCCCUUUUGAACUUCAUAGCUUUGUUGAAGUUUUUAAGUUCUUGAAAUGGCAUUAGGCUAGCUAUGUGUGCUGAAUUUGCUACUCUCAUGCAUAAUUUAACUUGAUUUCUCGUUCCACCACCUUUUAUUGCCAAUGUUGUCAACUACAAAUGGGCUUAUCGCAUAAAAUAGACAUGUAAUGGCAUUGUGAUAGAUUCAAAGUUCAGUUAAUUGUGAAAGAUUUUCAUUCUACAUAUGUAUUACAAUGAAAUAUUCAACCCAGUGGUCAAACCAACCACCAUCUGAAUUGUUCUAUCAUUCACAUUCUCAUACAAUUGGCACAUCUACCAAUUAGAUGUGCAUAAUGCCUUCUUGAAUGGACUUCUUAUGGAAGACAGAUAUAUGGCUCAACCCUUUGGUGUAUUCUUUCAAAUUAUGUUUGCAGAUUAAAAAAGACAUCAUAUGGUCUCAACCACUUGUUGAACUCUUCCAAAUUACGUUUGCAGAUUAAAGAAGACAUUAUAUGGUCUCAACUUAGGCUUGAUUCCAACGUUUGCAAAACAUUUUUGUCAAAUGGAGUUUUCAAUCUUCUAUUGUUGAUUCUUCCAUAUUUCUUUUUUAGAACAAGAACCAUACUAUGAUUUUACUUGUUUAUGUUGAUGACAUCCUCCUCAUAGAUGAUAGCAUGUUUCUCAUUCAAUCCUUAAUUUCAUAUCUAAACAAGAAUUUUGCCUUGAAAAGAUUUGGGAGAUCUUCAUUAUUUUUUGGAACUGGAAACCUCUUGCCUUAAUAAUGUUCUCUAUCUCACUCAAUCAAAGUAUACCCAUGAAUUGUUGGUUUGAACAAAAAUGAAUAGUGCUAAGCCACAAUUAAGCCCAAUUAUCAUCGGUAAACAACUUUCUCUUCACAAUGUUAGGCAAGAUAAGAUCGUGAUGGGCAAUGGAACAGAUUUGAACAUUAAGCAUAUUGGAGAAUCAUAUUUUUAGUCACAAUUUGCUUCGAAAUUGAUCUAUUUAAAUCAUCUUCUUCAUGUUCUUUCUAUUACCAAAAAUUUGUUCAAUGUCUCUAAAUUUGCCAAUGUUGUGCAUUUUGAGUUCUUUCCUAACUUUUAUUAUGUCAAAGAUUAGGCUUCCAAGGAAAUUCUCAUGGCAAGGAGAGUUAAGAAUGGACUUCAUGUAUUUGAUGACUUCACACUUCUACCUUCAUCAAAGCCAUUAUCAGUUCCAUCUUCCAUAGCCUCUUAUGAAUCAUCCACCUUUUCAUUUCAUAAUCAUGCUUCUAGUCUCUUUCAAUAUAAUCAAAAAAUUCUCUUGGUUCUUUGAAUAAUUUAGAUCUAUGGCAUCACAUACUUGGACAUGCAUCCCUUAAAAUUGUAAAGUUUGCUCUGUCUAACUGCAAUAUUUUCAUUCCUAAUAAAAUGCAAUUUUUCUUUUUGCUCAGCUUGUUGUUAUGGAAAAAUUCACAAACUUCUUUUUUCUUCUUAUAACACUGUUUACACUGAACCCCUUCAACUUAUACACUCUGAUUUAUGGGGUUCCUCUCCACUUCAAUUCUCUAGUGGUUGUUGCUACUACAUUCACUUUGUUGAUGCUUACUCAAGAUUUGCUUGGAUCUAUAUGCUUAGACAUAAAUCAGAUGCAUUUCAAGCCUUUCUUAAUUUUAAAACUCAAAUUCAAUUACAACUAGGUUUUAAAAUCAAGGCCAUACAAAUAGAUUAGGGUGGAGAAUAUAGAGCUUUCACAAAUUUUUUAACUUCAAAUGGCAUUCAUCAUAGAUAUUAUUGUUCUUAUACUCAUGAACAAUAUGGCUUGGCUAAAAAGAGGCAUAAAACCAUUGUAGAACAUGGUCUCACCUUGUUAGCAUUUACUUCAAUGCUAAUAAAAUAUUGGGAUGAAGCCUUUAAUUUAGAGCUUUUGUUUAUCUCAACAAUAGAUUGCCAACUUUUUUUCUUUAUCAUAGAACUCCUCUAAAGUUUUGUUCAAAACCCUACCGAAUUAUUCUUUCUUAAAAAUAUUCGGUUGCUCUUGUUUUCCUAAUAUUCGUUCAUAUAACAAAAACAAACUUUAAUUCUAGACCACUGAAUGUAGUUUUCUGGGUUAUAGUCUUAAUCAUAUAGGCUACAAAUGUCUUGAUUCUGAUGGAAAAAUUAUUAUUUCUCGAGAUGUCAUUUUCAAUGAAUCUUCAUUUCCUUUUGCUCAUAAAAUUCAAUCAUCCUCCUCAUCUAAUUUUGUUUCACCCUCUUUUCAUACUCGAACUACUUCCUCAAUAAUUCCUUCCUUUGGUAGCUUUACUCAUCCGAAAAUUGCUCAAUAUGUUAUUAAUGUUUUAGCACCUAUUGUCUAUCCUCUUGCUACUAAUACUUAUGAUAGUGUUGUUGGUCAUGGCUUUUUUCAUAGAACCAAAUAUAAGAAGAUUUAGCCUAUUCCAAUGCAACUUUACAAAAAUACUCUUUCUAUGGCCACUCGAUCUAAAGUUGGGAUUUUUAAACUAAAGGUUUUUGCUGCCACAUGUGAACCUACUUGUGUUGAGGAAGCUUUACGUAUACAUCACUGGAAAGAAACAAUGGUUAUUGAAUUUAUGUCUCUUUUGAAGAAUAAUACAUGGUCCUUAGUCCAUUACCACCUAGAAGAACACCUAUUAGCUACAAAUGGGUAUUUAAAGUGAAAGAAAACCCUGGUGGCUCAAUUUAGAAGUACAAAGAUAGGUUAGUGGAAAAAAGGUUUCAUCAAGUUGCUAGUUUUGAUUUCACCGAAACUUUCAAUCCAAUUGUUAAACCUCCAACUGUUCGAGUUAUACUUACUAUAGUAUUGUUUAGAGGUUGCUUAAUCCAUCAAUUAUAUGUUAAUAAUGUUUUUUUGAAUGGAGUAUUGCAUGAGGAAGUUUUCAUGGAACAACCUUUUGGAUUUAUUCAGCACAACUAGUCUCAUCUUGUUUGCAAAUUACAUAAAGUUUUAUAUGGCUUAAAACAAGCACCAAGGGCCUAGUUUGAAAAGUUAAGGCAUAACCCCAUAUCCCUUUGGAUUUAUCUCUACAAAGUCAUAUCAGUCUUUGUGCAUUCAUAUGACAAAAAGUCAUUCUACCUAUAUUCUUGUGUAUGUAGAUGACAUUCUUAUCACUAGUAGUAGUGACCAAGUUGUGAUGCAUCUCAUUACCAAUUUAAAUAGAGAGUUUGCCUUAAAAGAUCUUGAAGAAGUGAACUAUUUUUGAAGGAUUGAAGUGAAGCAUACUACUGAAGGCAUUCACCCCUCUCAACGAAAAUACUUAAUUGAUCUAUUACGCAAAACCAAAAUGGAAAGUGUCAAUCCUAUUUCUACUCCUAUGACCAAUGGGCAAAAACUUUCAGGCUAUGGAAGUGAAUUAGUUCAGGAUGUGAAGUUGUACACGUCAACUAUAGGAGCUUUGUAAUAUGUAAUAGUUACUAGGCCUGAAAUUGCCUAUAGUGUCAAUAAAGUUUGCCAAUAUAUGCAAGCUCCAUUAGAAUCUCGUUGGAAAGUAGUCAAAAGAAUUCUUAGAUAUUUGAAAGGAACUCUUCAUCAUGAAUUACAUUUAAGAAAGUCUUCUACUCUUAAUCUUGUAGCAUUUCAUGGUGCUAAUUGGGCCUUUGAUCCUGAUGACCAAAGAUCAACUUGAGGAUUUUGUGUAUAUUUUGGUUCAAACUUAGUCACUUGGCAAUCAAAGAAACAAUAUACUUUAUCUAGAUCAUGUAUAGAAGCAGAAUACAAAAGCCUAGCUAGUUUGGUUGCGUAAAUCACUUGGUUACAAUCUCUUCUCUCAAAAAUUAAAAUCACUUUGCCUACACCACCAAUUAUUUGGUGUGAUAAUCUUAGCACUCUUAUGUUGGCUACUAAUUCAAUAUUACGUACUUUGACAAAACACAUUGAAUUGGAUUUAUAUUUUGUGGGAAAAGGUUUUGCAAAAAGGUUUUAGUCCAACAUGUGCCUUCCAUUGAUCAAGUAGUAGAUUUCUUGACAAAAGCUGUCUUAAGCACUCAAUCUGUAAAUCUAAGAAACAAACUCAAAGUGCAAAAUAUUUUUACCUUAAGAUUGAGGGGGAAUAUUAAGAGAUAGUUUCAUAUGAUUACAAGAUGUACACAUGUUAUAUGCUCAUUGGUUUUCUUCUAUUAUUGUUAGAGAAUUUGUUAAUUAGGUUUGCUAUAUAUAUUCAGAAUAAACAGAGAAAGAAAAAUAAAAACAGAAAAGGUCAAAAAGAUUUCUCUCACUUUACUUUCUUUAUUUCUUUUACUUUGCUUUUUAUCUUUGUUACUUUCUUUAUAAGGAUGCGGUGCCCAUUAAUUUAUAGGUACAUCUUGUAGAAAAGUAUCAUGGAAUGAGUAGGCCUUAUCUGUCAUUGAAUGACUGUAGAAGUGGAAUUGUCAAAAAGCUAAGCGACCCAUUCAGAUUGGACAAGAUGCUACUGUCCCAAUAAGAUUUACAAGAAUCAAAAUUCCAUUUUGAAUUUUGUUUUUUUUUUUGCUCUUUAUUUGAUUGAAAUGGACAAAAUAAGCCUUAAAUCACCCAAACUGACUAGCCUUAGGAUAUGUUUAUUUUGUAAAUAUUUAAAUUAGCUAGGAAACAAGUAUGUCAUACGUAUAACUCGAAAUAUUUUUUAUUUUCUUAAAUAUGUAUCCUAAGAGAAAUUUCUUGUCUAUUUUAGCUCUUAGAGUUUCAAUCCCAUUCAAAGAUACUGAACAAAAAAGGAAAAAAUAAAUUAUCUUAUUAGGUUGGUUUUCAUAAGUGAAACUAAAUUUUAUAAAUAUGUAUAUAUAUAUUUUUCAUCUACAAGAAUCCUCACCCAAUUCCCAAGCUAAUCAAGGAUGAAAAAUAAUGAAAAAUUCGAGCUCUUGAUGCUAACAAAAUAUUGAAUUGGAAGUUCAUAUUAGUUCAAUUGAAGUGAUCCAUUUCUAAAAAUAUAUUUUUAUUCCUUUUUUAAAUUAAAAGUGUGUUUAACAAUAUUUUCGGGUCUUUAACUUUUUUUUUUUUUAAGUAUUUUUAAGAGAAUCAUCCAUAAAAAAAAAAAUACUAUAAGUAAUUUUUCAGAUUUUUAAAAGUAUUUCCCAAAUUUUGCAAUACACCUUUUUUUUUAUUUUUUAUUUUUAUCAAAAUAACUUUUUAAGCUAAAAGUUAUUCCCAAAAUCACUAUCAAACAUAUACUAAACAUCCUGAUUUUGUCUUUAGAUUUUGAUUUAUCAUUUCUUCCUCCUCCACAUUUAAAAUAUAAGUAGAACCCAAAGAAAAUUAGAAGGUAGAAUUCUGAGUCUCCAAAUGAGAAAGUUAAUUCCAACUUCCCCGCUUUGCUGAAAGUUUUGUGAUUACUUGUCCGGUAGAAAGUUUAAGAAGGUAGAAUUGAUGACUUCAGUUCACAUGCAUGGAAGUCUUCAUGAUUGAGAAAUAACGUGCAGGAGAGAGAUAUGAAGGGCAGGGCCGGCAUUUGUAUCGUAGCGGGAAGACUCAUUCUCUUGACUCUUGGGUCAAUGCCGGGGGAACAUCAUCAAAGAAAGGGGCCAUGCCACCACAUGUUGCAGAAAGUGGGUUACAAUUAUCAAGAAUUUUCUUCUUCUGUCUAUCGUUUUCCCGGCCAUCACGCACCGAUCAUGUGCAUGUAGUCAGUGCAUUCUUCUCUCAAGUCCUUUUGGAUCAUUUCUCUAUUUCUAUUAAGAUUUAAAUUUGGUCCGAUUCACAAUCCACAUAGAAAGAAACACCACCUAGUUUUACCAUAAAUUUGGCAUGAAUUACAGCCAUCAUUCUCGUCUUUUCUUAAGUGCUUAUAUGAAAGGGAUAAGUGAAACCAUUUAUUACUUUUCUAAGUGAAUAAGAGUGCAUCUGACCGUAAUUAUGAGAAGUGGUUUUCAGUCUUUCUUAUACUUAAACAAUAAAAAUUUUCAAAUAUUAAAAAAACUAAACACUUUCCAAAAUUAUUGUCUAACGCAUUCUAAGAUUCUAUCAAAUUUAGUUUUUGUUUUUGUUUGUUUUUUAUUAUUAUUUUUUUCCAUUUAGUAAAAUAAUUAUCAAUGCCGAAGUGUAUGGGUUUCAACACAUGGUAUUAGGAUUAGAAGAUCAUGCAAGAAAUUUAUAAUUUUCUUAAUGAAACCAUAGCUACAAAUUAUAAUUUAAUCAAACUAUAACUCUUGACAUUCAUAGGUAAGAAUUCUUGCAAUUGGCGCAUUCAUAUACAAGUCUUUUUUAGAUUCCACGUUUUAUGGAAUCUAGUGAAUAAUGACCGAAAGAAAGUAACUAUUAGAAGGAAUUUGAAAUCAAAGAAAUAGAAAAUUUUAUUAUAGGAUUUUUGAAGGGAAGUUUAGAAAAUGUUUAUACAAUAUUAUUUCAAGUAGUAGAUUAAUCCAUAAUUUAGAAGCAAAAAUAACAAGGCAUAAGAUAUUCUAAAAAAAGUUACACAUAUUUGAUGAUUGUGUCAAGUUAGUGAAAUUGCAACUAUUAAAAGGUGAUCGAAGUCGAAUCUUCAUGACUAACCAUGAAUCAAUAUCAUAUUAUUUUGAUCUAAUAUAGACCAUUGUGAAUUAAAUAUGGGUUAAUGUCGAUAAGUUCAAUGAUGGUAUCAAUUAUAUUGUGCCUUAAAUGGCCUUGUUAUGCUCUUAUUUACGAUUUCAAUUGUUUCUAUAGGGACUAUGACAUGGAUUUUUAUGGUGUGACUAUUUCCUGGUUAAUUUGUGGUUGGUCCAUUAUGUUGAUGUUCUUUGUCUGUCCUUUGGGUUGUAUGCUUUAAUAGUGGUUGCCCUCCUAUUUUAGGGCCGGCUUAUAUCUUGGCAUGAUGAUAGUGGUGGUCUCAUCACAUUUUUUGCAUGGUAGCAUGGUGGGCCCUUUAAUGGUGUUGUGGCAACUGCUGAUUGGUUGUAGCAUGUCGCUCUUGCUUUGCCACCAUGUGGCGGCGGAUCUAUGUGUCCUAUGUGAUUUAUGGUUCCAAUUUAUGCCCAUGAUCGAUAAUAAGAUAUCUUAUAGUAUAUAGGCUGAUAACCUAGAAAGGAUUAAGAUGAAGAAAAGGACACGCUUUGAAAAAGGUACACAUUUAUUAGACUUGGAAAUCAAGGAUGUCUCAUGACAAAAGGAAAAUAAAGCAACACACCAUAUUGUUCUGACCAAUAAUACUGAUCAGUUUAUUAUACAUCACCAUGCUCUAACAGUACCCAUACUUGGUUAGAAGUAGUUCCAUGAUGUUUAAUAAGGACGUUGUCCGAUAUAGUUGCCCCGUGGAUCGUAGUUGCAUGUGACGAACCACCCUCCAUUGUUGCAUUGAACCCUAGCGCACCCAAGACGCACUGAUUUGCUCCAAACAACUUGAGUAUAGUGCCCACAUUGCCCACCAACACAUGAGUUGGAGUUGUAGUCAUAAUUAGACUUCUCCCCCACCCACAAGUUCACCGCAUCGGUGCCUGUCAAUGAAGGGCUGCCCCAGGCAAGGUUCUCACCGUAAGGCCCACCUGAAUGCACUAGAUUGCAAUCGCCAAUCCUCUGGUUAGCAUAAUUCUGGGCGUAGGCAGCCACAGUGUUGUCCCAUGACAUAGGCCCAACACCAACUUGUGCGCGCGCGGUGUUGUGAGCAUUGAGGUAGUCUUGUGGAGAGUUCUGGGCACAGCAGAUGUGAGCUAGGGCUAACCCCAUGAAACAAAGGAGUGCUAAUGGACUCCUACACAACCCCAUUUUUUGGUUUCUUUGAUGAGAAGUGAGGCUAUUGAUGAGAACUGAAGCUUGGCUUGAAGGGUACUUAUAGGGCAAAGAACUUGGAAUAUCAAUAGCAUCGUACACAAACAUUUCCACCAAACGCCCCCUUGGACCAGUUUUCACACGUAAAAGGACACUACUGAUGAAAUGGCUUCCACGGAGAGCAAUAUUUGAAAUUUCUUCUUGUUGUAACUCAUGCGGGCCAUACCAGUUUAUCAAGACAACUUAUCUUCUAAAAGGAUAAAUGAAUCAACAUUAUUUGAAAUUUCUUCUUUUUGUAACUCAUGGGGCCAUACCAGUUUUAUCAAGACUACUUUUCUUCUAAAAGGAUAAAUGAAUCAACAUUAUUUGAAUUUCAUUCUUGUGUCAGAUUCCUUUUAGACUAUGUAUGAUAUCUUUUACACCUAUAUCAUAAUGGAUAAGAAUAAAUAAUGAAAAUUAAUAUUUUGUUUCUAUUCUCAUACUUAAAGAAAGUAAAAAUAAAUUUGAUGAUUUCGAUUCUUAUCUUCAAAUGCACUAAGAAUGAAAGAUUAAAAUAAUUCUUUGUUUAUACUUGAAUAUUUUGUAAUAAUUGAAAAAUGAAUGAAAAUAAUAAAUAAAUAAAUUGAUAAUAAUAUUCUUAUAUAUAAUUUAAAUUUUUAUUUUUAUUUUAAAAGAACAUCAUUUAAACAUUUUUUUUACUAAAUAAUAAGAUUAAAAAAUUAAUGUUUACUUAAUAAAUAAAAAUUAAUCAUAAAAAUAAUAAAAAAUUAAUGAAAAUAUAGGGAUAAAUAAGCAGUUUUAAGAUAUUAUAUAUCGUUUCGAUAGCCUCCUUUACAAGAUUAAUUCAAAUUUAACUUAUAAGUGGAAUUUUAUUAUUAUAGAAAUUAUUUUUUAUUCCACUUUUAUUGUCAUUUAAAUUAUUUUUUAUCAUACAAGAAUGGAAAAAAUAAUAAAAUAUCCCUUAUUCCCUCUCGUAAAAGACAGUUGUAAAUCCAAAGCCGCCAAAACAGUAUGAUUAAGACAUGUGUAAUAAUAAAAAUUUUAUAUCUUUUCAUAUUUGAUUUGUUGGUGAGAAAGCCUGGAGUUAAAAUUUUCAAUAAAUGAUUAUUUCACUCAUUCUUAAAAACUUAAUUUGUCCCGUAUAUUUGAUAAUGAUUUUAUGAAGCGUUUUAAAUAUUUUUAAUAUUUGAAAGAUAAAAUUUUUUAAAGUAUUAAAAAUGUUAAAAAUAUUUAUUAAAAUCAUUGUCAAACGCAUUAAUCAUCUAAAAAUAUCUUCAAAUGACCUUAAUUAAUAUGAUAAUUUAUCAAUAUAAUAAUAAUAAUUGAUGUUCCAGUAUUAUCUUUGAUUUAAAACUCGUUUGAUAGUGCUUUUAAAAAACACUUGGAGUGACUUAGGAUUGAAUCUCAGUGAUUCCAGAAGGUAUUUUUAAGGAGAAAAACAAGUUGGGUGUUUAAUAAAAUUUUAAAAAACACUUGUUAAAAUCUAAAAAGUUACUUUAUAAUGUUAAAAAAUCUCUUAUGAUGUGUUUCGGAUAAACACUUGAUCGAUGAUUUUCUUAAAAACAUUUUUAUUAAAAAUAUUUUUACUAAAAACAAGAACAUAUUCUUAAUUUACUUUUCUUGUUUGUUUCAUUUAAGCAAGAAAGUUGAGACAAAUCUUAUGUCAAGGAUGGGUUGAUAAUAUCGGAUUCUUCUCAAUAAUUUCAAAAUAUAUAUAGCUUGCCAAUUGUUGCUCUUAGUAUCAAAAUUAUAUUUCUUAUUUAUUUCAUUGGGGCAUGAAGCUCCAAAAUCAGAACUCUGAUCAAGGAUAAAUUCACAGCUACUAGACUAUCAACUUUGAUGGGAUUUAAAGAGAAAAGAAACAAUAUUUUUCAAAAUUUCUUUUUAAAAUGUCAUAAUUCAAAAAAAAAUUCUAAAAUUUAUUUCUAUAGGAAAGUAUCAAAUAAAAUAUUACUUUUGAAAAUUUUAACAAUGAAAUUUUUGCUUAUUUAUAGAAAUAAAAAAAUAAUAAUUUUGCGGUGAAAAUGCAACUUCAAUAUAAUAUAAAUUUUCAAAUCUAUUAGGGUGGAAAUGAGUAAAAUAGAAAAUUAAUUUUUCAAAGAAAACUUUAGUUUAAGAGCUAAAUUUUGAGAAUUUUCUUUUAAACAAACAAUUUUAAAGUUAAAAUUUUUUACUGAAAUUGUUUUUUAAGAGAUAACAAUUUUAUUAUAAAUUUUGAAAUUUGUUUUUAUUUUAAAUUCAAUACUUAAACAAAGUUAUCUUUUCAAAAAUAAUUUUCUUUUGCUUCAAAAAGUAUUAUAGAUUUAAAAAUAGAUUUUUAAUUGACUCGGAUAGGAGUCAUAUUGGCUCUGAGUACUACAACAUGUCAUUUCAGCUUGCAAGAGUAGUACUUUUCAAAAGGUUACUCCUACGGUCCAAUAAUUCAAUCAUUCAAGUUUAGACAUAAAUCACUAAAUAUUGUUUUCAAUUUCAAGCAUAUGUAUUUGGUUUGAUUGAUUAAGGUAGAAAAAUCCUAAAUAUCAAUUGUAAAAUGAGUUUCAUUUGAACAAAUUAACUAUGAUUACUUCUAAGUUGGGGCAUGCACCCCAAAGAAUGAUAUCUUAAAUAUUAAUGUAAUUAAUUUGUUCAAUCAUCAAAAUACAUCCAAACAUGACCUUAACUCCAUCAUUAUGUUUGGCUCGUGAAAUAUAAUGAGGAAAGAAAAAUAGAUCAUUGCAUCUAUAUUAUCUUGCCCCCAUCAAACAUUUCUCCUAUUUAUGCCCCCUAAACUCCAUCCGGGCUCCGCUAUUGGAGGAAAAUUUGUAAAAUGGGUUAAAAAAAAUAUAUAAAAAUAACUUAUUAAGUUUAAACAUAUCUUUAAUUUUUCUUCACUAUUUUUUCUUUUAACUUUUUUUAUAUAUCAAACUUCACAUGAAUAUAGAUGCAUGGCAGACAAUUCAGAUAUUUACCCUAGAAAACCAAAGGUAGCGUGAUGACCAAAUGGAAAGAAAGAAAGAAUAUGAAGAAAAUUCUUGGUAAUUAUAAGUCACUUUAUGCAAGAUGUGAUGCUCUCUUUCGAUGUUUUAACAGACGUAGCAAACGACAAUAGGCUUGGAAUCUGGCAUGGACACAAAGGAAUGGCUCUCCACGCUCUUUCAUACGGAUAUUUGUCUCUCUCCAGCACGUUAUAUCUCAAUCAUGUCCUCAGCCUUUCGUCAUCUGUUUACGUAAUCGUCCGAUGGCGACAUUAUGUCACCCUCGCAAAGAUAAGGCCUCAAGACAACUCAUCCAUCUCAAUCUUAUCAUCACUCAAAAAAAUUUAAACAUGAUGGGGAUGGUUAUAAGAAAUUAUCAUAUUAGUCUUAUUCACCCGUCUAAUUCUUUUAAUUUUUCUUUCAAAUUUUUUUAAUCUAUAAUAAAUUAAAAAUAAAUAUAAUUUAUAAAUAAAAAAUAUUAUAAAUAUUUAUGAUUUAUUUUUAUAUAAAAAAUAAUAUUUUAUUUACUUUUAAAAAAUAAAAAUAAAAAAAUUAACAAAAUUGUAACCAAAUCGGCUUUCAACGAGGGUUUUUAAAACUUCUCAAACUCAAUCAUAACAUUAUUUAUGUUUAUUUCAAAGUCUUACUAUGAGAGGCAGGAUACAUAAAAAUUCACCUCAUUAUAAUCCCUAAUAAUACAUGGUUUAUAUAAUUGAAUGCAUUGAUAAAGAGGAUUUUGAAAAAAAUAUAGGAGUUUAUAUCAUUGAAUGCAUGGGUGGAGAGGAUUUUAAAAAUCUAUAGCAACACUUUUAAAAAAACUUAUCUUCAAUUUUAUUUUUUAAAAAAUCAAUUAAAAUGGUAUAAAGUUAUUUUUGAAAAAAUAAUUUUCAUAUUUAAAUCGAAAUUAUUUCUUCAAAAAAUAUCUUUUGUUAUAAAAAGUGUUCCAAAUUUGAAAUAAUUUCAAAAAUAUUAUUUUUUAAAUAAAAAAAAAUUCCUUGAAGUGAAGAUUUUGAGUGAGGUAAAUGAGUGUGAAUUGAAGCAGUGUAAAUAAGAAAGAAAUAUUUGGUUAAAAUAGAUGAAUAAUCUCCAAAUUGUAAAUUAAACAUUUUCUUACGAGAAAAUAACCAAAUUUUAACAUAAAUAUCCUUUAUAAUUUCAAGUAUUUGAUUUUAAAAGAAAUAUUAUUUUUAAAAUGACCAAUAAAAAAAGUACAGGGAUCGGUACCUUAAAUAGCAAUCACAAACUUUCAACAUUGGAAAGUCGAAAUUUAACCUUAUGACAAGAAACAACAAAAUUCUAUCUAUGGUGUAUAUUUCAUUUUGUACUAAAAAAAAAUGAAAUAUGUAUAUAUAUAUAUGCUUUAUAUCUAACAUAAACUUGGAUUAAUUCCAAAUAUAAGUUUACGGUAUAGAAACUUAGGAGGAAAAGAUCUCUACUCAAACCAAAUAUCUAAAGAUAGAACCAGGAGCAUGUUCGGCUUGUUUGCAUGUAAGCAGUUCAGGGACUUAUAUUUUUUGAAAACGAAUUUUUAUAAUUGAACAAAGGAUCCAGUGAAAAAGGGAAAAAUACAACUGCAAUUCGUUUUGUUGCAGUGGAGUUUGAUAAAUUUUCGAACACGGGAAAAAGGGAUCCGGUGAGUGAUCAUGUUGGUAUUGAUAUUAACUCCAUGGUAUCUGUCAAAAUAGAGAACUGGACCAGCAAUAUAGAGGAAGGAAAGCUAAAUCAUGUUUCCAUCCGUUAUACUUCUAGUUCACAAAAUCUGAGUGUUGUUCUAAUUACUGAGUUUUUGGACGAUCAAACAUUCAAACUACCUCCCAAAGCCUCUACUACAAAGUUGAUCUGAGGGAAUACUUGCCAGAAUUCUUUAUUAUUGGCUUCUCAGGCGUAACAGGAAAAGCAUUCCAGAUAAACAACAUUUACUCAUGGAAUUUCAGUUCAACUUUGCCACCUCCCAAUCUUGUAGAACCAGGAGAUGGAAACAAAACAGGAAUUGUGGUGGGAUUGAGUGUUUGUGUAGUUAUUGUAGUAUGUGGGUUGGGAUUGGUUUGGCAUCACUUGUGGAAGAAGAGGGAUAGUGGGGGAGAAGAAGAUGGUACUGACUCUGACCUAGCCAUGGACGAAGACUUUGAGAAGGGUACUGGACCUAGGAAGUUUUCCUUUGACGAAUUGGCUCUUGCAACUAGUAACUUUGCAGAGGAAAUCUUGGCGGGAGGGUUCGGUGGGGUCUGUAGAGGCUUCUUGAGGGAACUGAACUCUCAUGUUGCAGUUAAGAGAGUAUCAAGGGGGUGCAAACAAGGGAUAAAGGAUUAUGCAUGCAUCUGAAGUGAAGAUCAUCAGUCGAUUGAGGCAUCGGAACUUGGUGCAGUUCAUGGGCUGGUGCCAUAAAAAAAGAGAGCUCCUAUUGGUUUAUGAGCUCAUGCCAAAUGGUAACUUAAACUCCUGUCCUUUGGAAGAAAAAACCAAAGGUAGCGUGAUGACCGAAUGGAAAGAAAGAAAGAAUCUGAAGAAAAUUCUUGGUAAUUGUAAGUCACUUUAUGCAAGAUGUGAUGCUCUCUUUUGAUGUUUUUAACAGACGUAGCAAACGACAAUAGGCUUGGAAUCUGGCAUGGACACAAAGGAAUGGCUUUCCACGCUCUUUCAUACGGAUAUUUGUCUCUCUCCAGCACGUUAUUUCUCAAUCAUGUCCUCAGCCUAUCGUCAUCUGUUUACGUAAUCGUCCGAUGGCGACAUUAUGUCACCCUCGCGAAGAUAAGGCCUCAAGACAGCUCAUCCAUCUCAAUCUUUAUCUAUAUCUAUUCUUAUCAUCACUCAAAAAAUUUUAAACAUGAUAGGAUGGUUAUAAGAAAUUCUCAGUCUUAUUCACUCGUCUAAUUAUUUUAAUUUUUGUUUCAAAAUUUUUUAAUUUAUAAUAAAUAAAAUAUAAAUACAAUUUAUAAAUAAAAAAUAUUAUAAAUAUUUAUGAUUUAUUUUUAUAUAAAAAGAUAAUAUUUUAUUUAUCUUUAAAAAUUGAAAACAAUAAAAAAAAUUGACAAAAUUGUAACUAAAUCCGCUUUCAACUUGGGUUUUUAAAACUUCUCAAACUCAAUCAUAACAUUUUUUAUGUUUAUUUCAAAGUCCUCCUACGAGAGGCCACCACGGAUACCGAAAAAGCUUACCUCAUUAUCAUCUUUGAUUAUACAUUGUUUAUAUAAUUGAAUGCAUUGAUAAAAAGGAUUUUGAAAAAAAUAUAGGAGUUUAUAUGAUUGAAUGCAUGGGUGGAAAGGAUUUUAAAAAACUAUAGCAACACUUUUAAAAAAACUUAUUUUUAAUUUUAUUUUUUAAAACAUCAAUUAAAAUGGUAUAAAGUUAGUUUUGAAAAAAUAAUUUUCACAUUUAAAUUGAAAUUAUUUCUUCAAAAAAUAAUUUUUUUUAUAAAAAGUGUUCCAAAUUUGAAAUAAUUUCAAAAAUAUUAUUUUUUUAAUAAAUAAUUUUUUUUUUUAAAUUGAUGCUCCUUUUUGAAAAAAAAAAAAAUCAUCCCUGAAGUGAAGAUUUUGAGUGAGGUAAAUGGGUGUGAAUUGAAACAGUGCAAAUAAGAAAAAAAAUAUUUGGUUAAAAUAAAUAAAUAAUCCCUAAAUUGUAAAUCAAACAUUUUUCAUGUUUUUUAAAAAAAAAAAUCAAAUUUUGAUAUAAAUGUCCUUUGACAUUUCAAGUAUUUAUAUGUAGGUUUUAAAAAAUGUUAUUUUUGUAAGAAAAUGAUAAGAGUAUUUUUACCUAAAUGAGGCAAAAAAAAAAGAAAGAUUAAAUUUCAAAAUUUGGGUUUUCAAGAACAUCGAACGAAAUGACACAAUAAAAAAAGUACACGCAAUCACAAACUUUCAACAUUGGAAAUUCGAAAUUAACCUUAUGACUAGAAACAACAAGAUUCUAUCUAUGGUGUAUAUUUCAUUUUGUACUAAAAAAAAAUAAAAUAUAUAUAUGCUUUAUAUCUAACAUAAACUUGGAUUAAUUCCAAAUAUAAGUUUACGGUAUAGAAACUCAGGAGGCAGAGAUCUCUACUCAAACCAAAUAUCUAAAGAUAGAACCAGUAGCAUGUUCAGCUUGUUUUAUUUUUUUAGACUUCAACAAUUUUCACACGUAAACGAACACUACUCAUGAAAUGACUUCAAUGGAGAUUAAUAUUUGAAAUUUCUUCUUGUAACUCAUGUAGGCCAUACCAGUUUUAUCAAGACUUAUAAUCUUUCUUCUUUGAAAUUUCUUUCUUGUGUUGAUUUCUUUUAGACUAUGUAUGAUAUGUUUUACAUUGUGUAUAGUAGGUGAGAAUGAAUAAUGAAAAUGAACAUUUUGUUUUUAUUUCCAUUUCUCCUUGAAUAUAAAUGAAUUUGAUAAUUUUAAUUCUUAUAUUUGAAUGCACUAAGAAUAAAAAGUUAAAACGAUUUUUUGUUUAUAUUUUGAUGUUUGGUAAUAAUUGGAAUAUGAAUGAAAAAAAGACAUUGAUAAUUUAAUUUUUUAUUUUUUUUACUAAAUAAUAAUAUUAAAAAUAAUAAUAUUUACUUAAUAAAUACAAAUUAAUUAUAAAAAUCAUUAAAAAUUAAUGAAAAUGUAAGGAUAAAGUAGUAAUUUUAAGAAAUUAUAUAUCAUUUCCUAUAACAUCCUUUAAUAGAUUGAUUCAAAUUUGACUUACAAGUAGAAUUUCAUUAUUAUAGGAAUUUUUUAAUUUUAUUUUUAUUGUCAUUUAAAUUUUUUUUAUCGUACAAUGAUGAAUGAAAAAAAUAAUAAAAUAUCCCUCCUUAUUCCUUAUCCCCUUUCAUAAAAGACAGUUGUAAUAAUAAUAAUUUUUAUCUUUUCAUAUUUGUUUUAUUGGUAAGAAAGUCUUGACUUAAAAUUUUCAAUAAAUGAUUAUUUGAUGGGUUUUUAGAAAUUUAAUUUGUCUUGUUAUGUUUAAUAGUGAUUUUAGAAACAUUUAGAAAAAAUUAUAUUUGAAAGAUAAAAUUUUUCAAGUGUUAAAAAGUUUAGAAAUAUUUUCUAAAAUUAUUAUCAAAUGCAUUAUUAAUCAUUUACACAUAUUUACAAAUGACUUUAAUUAACUUGAUGAUUCAUUAAUAUAAUAGUAGAAGCUAAAUUACUAUCCUUGAUUUAAAACUCAUUUGACAAUACUUUUGAAAAGCGCUCAGAUCGGAGAAGGUUGAAUCUCAAUGGGUUAAAAAAAGAAUUUUUGAGAAAAAAUUAGAUAUUUUAUAAAAUUUAAGAAACAUUUUUAGAUAUUUGAAAAAAAAUCCUUUAUGUUGCUUUUUAGCUAGACACAAGCCCACAGUUCUACAACAUGUCAUUUCAGCUUCCACGAUGAGUACUUUUCAAAAGGUUAUUCCUAGGAUUCAAUAAUUCAAUCAUUUAAGUUUAAACAUAAUCACUACAUGUGUUAUUAAUUUCAAGCAUAUAUAUUUGGUUUGAUUGAUUAAGGUAGAAAAAUCCUAAAUAUCAAUUGUAAAAUGAGUUUCAUUUGAACAAAUUAACUCAUGAUUACUUCUAAAUGGCAUGAACCCUAAAAAAUGAUAUCUUAAAUAUCAAUGUAAUUAAGUUACAUGUAUAUAUCCUCAAAAUGCAUCCAAACAUGAUCUUACUUCUAAAGUUAUGUUUGAUUCUUAAAAAGUAAUAAGAAAAAAAGUGUUAAAAAAAAUUAUUUUCUCAUAUUUGGUUUCAUAAUAAGAAAUAUAAAAAAAAAAUAUAUAAUUAAAAUUAGUAAAAAUUUAAUAUAUUUCUAAAUUAUUUAAUUUUUAUAUAGAGAGAAACACUAAUAUAUUUUGCACAUGACCCUUGGAAAAUAAAAUCAAAUAGUGGAAUAGAUUCUUUCAUCUAAGGUAUAAAGGAAAAACGAGUUUUUCAUUGAACUAAAUACAACAAUCUCCCCACGUCUUGCCCAUUCUCAAAUAUUUCUUCUAUUUAUGUCCCCCAAGACUGCAUUCUAGUUCUGCCACUAAAGAAAAAUAAAGUAAAAUGAGUUAAAAAAAACAUAUAAAAAUAAUUUAUUAAAUUUAAAUUUAUUUUUUUAUUUUUUAUUUCUUCUAUUUUCUUUAUUUCCUCCCUAUUUUCCUUUUUAGGAACAAACAUAACUUUAAAAAAUCACAAGUUGAAAGGAGAAUUAUAUGACUAACCUUGUUUGUAUAGAGCAUGGAGACUCAUUUUUUGGGUCCAUACUAGAAUCCAAGGCUAUUAGCUAUACAUUUGUGUUUUUAGCAACAUUAUCAAAGAAAGGUCCAUCACAUAAUAUAUAUUAAUAAUGUUCUUAUUUUCCAAGGAAACUAAGGAGGACCAAGUGUUUAUGUUCUUUUUUUAUUUUAUUUUAUUUGGAAAAAAAAUGUUGGUUUAGGGUUACAAAUAUACAUGGUUAAGGCUUUAACAAUAUGCACAUACAUAUAUCAAACUUCACAUGAAUAUAGAUGGCAAAUAGUUCAAAUUUUUAUCGAAGAAAACCGAAGGUAGCGUGACGACCGGGCGGGGAGAAAGAAAGAAUAAGAAGAAAAUUCUUGGUAAUUAUAAGUCAAGAUGUGAUGCCCUUUUUCGAUGUUUCUAACCGAUAUAGCAAAGAUUAAUAGGCUUGGAAGCUGGCAUAUUGACCCAAAGGAAUGACCUCCGGCGCGGUAUUUCUCAAUCAUGUCCUCAGCCUAUUUCAUCUGUCUACGUAAUCGUAUGAUGGUGACAUGAUGUGACCCUCGCGACCAAAGGCAAUCCCCCCAAAUGUUUCUUGUUUGUUUAUAUCCGUUCACGUGAUCGCAAAAGAAAAUUUAAGUGAGAUAAGAUGGAUUUGAGAAAUAGUCAUAAAAGGCGGCGAUAAGAAAUGUUCGUCUGAUCCCUCAAAGAAAUUUAAAUGGAAUAACACGGUGUGGGAAAUUUUCAUACCCACUCUAUCCCACUCAUGUAAUUCUUUUAUUUCUUUUUUAAAAUUUUUUAUUUUUUAUUUUUUAAAUUUAUAUUUUAUUAAAAAUAAAUAUAAUUGUAGACCCCUUGUUGGCUGGAAACUGAAGCAAGAAAAUAUUAUUUUUUUUGAGUGGAGUGGGUGAGAUUGAGAUGAUGGAAAGGAGCGGGAAAAGGAAGAUGGAGGUGGGGGCUGUUUGGGGGGCAGCAAGGACAGGACAGCAGGCUGGUUUUUAGGCAGAGGGAGAAAAGGUAAGGAAAAGGAAGAAACCGGGCAGCAGCGUUUUUUUUUUUGGGGAGAGGGGGAGGAGAGAAAAAUAUGAUGUUAAAAAUUUGGAUAUAAUGGACAAAAGAAAUACUUUUAAACACUCACUUUGAUAUAAUAAAACUCCUAAAAAUACAAAAUAAGAACAAGAAAGGCUCAAACAAGUUCUUGGAACUUUGUCCAAAAACUCUAUUUCCUCCCACCUCUAGAAAUCUUUAGGGAACUAAUGGAAAUAGUUUUGGGAUUGAUCAUGCUUUUUCACUUUUCUGCAUAAGAUUUCAAAAAAAAGAAAAGUCAUAUAUAGCACUCUUAGGGUUGAAAAAUGGUUACAAGGACGAGAAAAAACCCAUUGUCUUCCUUAAUUUCUUCAUCUUUGUAACAUUCAAAAAUUAAAUCAUAUGUUUAAUUCACACAUUAAACAUGAUUUAAUCUCAAAUGUGUAACUCUUUUACACAUAACCUCUUAAGUUUUAUAAAGUUACAAAUAUGAGAAGACUUAUUGUCUUCCUUAACCUUUCAAGUUUUGUAACAUUUCAAAACUUAAUCAUGUAUUUAUUCAUAUAUUAAAAGUGUAAUCCUUCUUACACUUUAUUUUCAAAAGUUAUUUUUCAAAAAUGUAACUUUUCUUACACUUUAUUUUUAACCAACAAUAUAUAUACAUUUAUAUAAAUAUAACAAUCCCCCACUUGGUUAAAAUUAAACAUCAACCCUUAUAACCUCAACAGUGAAAAUGCAUAAAAUAAAAUAUCUUUCAAUUUGAAUUUUACCUUAGUGUAAUUGUCACAAAGCUCCGUUGAAAUCCCAGGUUGCUUGUAGCAUUGAACCAGUUAUUCCUUGUAACGAAACCGGUAACAACACACACACUUCCACUAACCACAUGAGUGCCUAUUAUUUUCUUGCUUAACACUUUUAUGGUCAUGUGCUCAAUCCAUUCAUGAACUUUCUUGAAAGAAAACUCCAACUCUCAUGAGAGGCGGCACCACCCCUAAGUUCACAUAGGUGAAAUUCUUCCAGCAUCCUUGUUACCUUUAAGAUGCUUAUUACACAUAGACUAAAUUUCAUUAAAAGCUUUAAGCUUAACCCUCCAACGGUAACAACCAGCAUUAAUCAUCACAGAUGGAACUCACAUGUUCUAAUGCUGCCACAACCCACUUAUCAAUAACUUGUUUUUACCUAUUGAACUUAAGACUAGUCAUUUCGUAGUAUUAAGUUGGGUUACCAUCAUUGGUGAAUUUUAUUUAAGGAGUUUUAGUCACAUCCCUCUAGAUGUUAUCCUUACUAAAUCUCUUGUAAGAGGUUUAGUAAAAGGAUCCGCCAAGUUUCCACUUGACCUCACAAAUGAGAUUGAGAUGAUUCCAUAUUGAAUCAAUUGUCUCACAUACUCAUGUCUAAUGCUUAUAUGUCUAGACUUCUCAUUGUACACUCCACUGUACGCACGAGCUAGAAUGGCUUGACUGUCACAAUGUAUCGACACUGUUGACACAUUAUUUGCAGUAAAAGGGAUGUCCAUCAUGAGAUCCCUAAGCCACUCAACUUCUUUUCCAGUUGCAGCUAGAGCUAUAAACUCUGCCUCCAUGGUUGAGUGUGAUAUACAAGUCUGUUUCUUGGAUCCCCAAGAGACAGCCCCACCACCAAUUGUAAACACUCAACCUGUGGUAUAUAAAUUAUCUCACACACUCGAUAUCCAGCUUGCAUCUGAAUACCCUUCAAGUAUAGCAGGAAACUUUGAAUAUUGGAGGCUUAGUUCUUUGGUAUUCUUUAGGUAACCAAGAACUCUACCAAUAGCUUUCCAAUGUUCCACGCUUGGAUUGCUAAUAAACCUACUUAGUUUACUAACUGCAAAUGAAAUGUCAGCCCAAGUACACUGAGCAGCAUACAUAAGACUUCCAAUUGCACUUGCAUACUCAAGUAGAGCCACCAAUCUACCAUCAUUGUUUUCAAGUUUUAUACUUGAAUCAAAUGGAGUAUUAACAUCUUUAAUCUUGAGAUGACUAAAUUUGCUAACUACUUUCUCAAUAUAGUGGGUUUGGUUCAAAGCAUAACCCCCACUAUUUCUUUUCACUUUGAUACCCAAUAUAGUAUCAACUUCUCUAAGAUCUUUCAUCUUGAAGGUUGAGGAUAGAAACUUUUUCGUUUCUAUUAUUCCUUUCAUGUCAUCACUCAAGAUUAACAUAUCAUCCACAUAUAGACACACUAUGACUAUAUAGUCAUCACAAGUCUUAGAAUAUAAGCACUUGUCCACAUUGUUGUGUCUAAAUCCAUCCGAAAGAAUAGCAAGAUCAAAUUUUUCGUGCCAUUGUUUGGGAGCUUGUUUUAAACCAUAUAAUGAUUUGACAAGCUUACACACUUUGUUUUCAUUCCCCAGUAGAACAAAACCUUCCGGUUCUUCCAUGUAGACCUUCUCAUUGAGAUCCCCAUUCAAGAAUGCCGUUUUGACAUCCAUUUGAUGAACAAAUAGAUUAUGAAUUGAUGCCAAAGCAAACAAUGUCCUAAUCGAUGUUGUUCUAGCCACCGGCGCAUAGGUAUCAAAAUAAUCAAUACCUUCUCUUUGUUUAAACCCUUUAGCUACUAAUCUAGCCUUAAAGGUUUGAAUCAUGCCAUCGGUGUGAUAUUUCCUUCGAAAUACCCACUUGCACCCUAUUGGUUUAGAUCCUGGUGGAAGAUCUACCAAUUCCCAUGUUUGGUUGGACAUAAUUGAAUCCAUUUCAUCAUUGAUAGCCUCUUUCCAAAAAGCAACAUCUCUAGAAGCCAUAGCUUCUUUGUAUGUCUUGGGAUCCUCCUCUAUUUGAAGUACUAUAGAAAAUUUUCUUAUAAUAUCUUCUCUAUUUCCUUCUACUAAGUAAAAGGAAAUUCUUUGAGAGUCAAUCUCAUCCGAUCCCAACACUUUCUCUUUUCUAGCUCUUUGGCUUUUCUGAGGCACAAUGGGUUGUUCAACAACCUUUGAAGGUGUCUCCACUAGAGACUCUCCAACACUAGUAGGUACUUGAGAAUUGCUAUCAGUCAACAAAUUCUUAAAGAACUCUACCUCUCUUGAUUCAAUUAUCACAUUAGACUCCAAGUCUAAUAGCUUAUAAGCUUUGCUAUUUGAGGCAUAGCCUACAAAUGCACACUUAAUGGCUCUUGGACCCAAUUUUGUUUUAUUUGGAUCCGUUUUCUUGCAAUAAGCAAGACACCCCCACACUUUGAAGUAACCAAUAUUAGGCUUCCUUCCUUUCCAUAACUCAUAUGGAGAUAUCUCAUUUUUUUUCAUAGGAAUUCUAUUCAAAAUAUGGCAAGCAGUCAACAAAGCUUCACCCCACAAAUUGAAAUUCAAUUUAGCAUGCAAUAAAAUAGAAUUCACCAUUUCCAAGAAUGUUCUAUUCUUUCUCUCCACUAUGCCAUUGUGUUGAGGUGUAUGGGGUGCGGUGCACUCAUGUAUUAUGUCAUAUUCUUCACAAAAAGAAUUGAAUUCACUAGAGAAAUAUUCACCACCUCUAUCACUUCUAAGCACCUUAAUAAUUUUUUCUAGUUGAUUUUCAACUUCGGCUUUGUAAACUUUAAAGGCAUUGAAAGUUUCACUUUUGUUUUUCAACAAAAACACAUAGGUAAAUCUAGAACAAUCAUCUAUGAAUGUAAGAAAAUACCUAUUUCCACCUCUUGUUAACAUGCCAUUAAGUUCACAAAGAUCACUAUGUAUUAAAUCAAGAAAAUUAGAUGAUCUCUCAACACUAUGAAAAGGCUUUUUAAUCAUCUUUGAUUUAACACAUAUUUCACACUUUUCAAAUUUCUUGGUAUCAUAAGCAAUCAAACCACAUUUCACAAUCCUUUUAAUAGUGCUUAAACCAACAUGUGCAAGCCUAUUAUGCCACAAAAAUAAAGAAUUUGAAUCACACAUAUAAGCGGAAGUAGACGCCAUUUUAUUGAUAUUGUCAUUGGUACAAAGUUUGAUCAUCCCAUCACAAGAAUACCCCUUUCCCAUAAAGUUCCCCGAUUUGGAUAAAAUUAGCUUACCGGAUUCAAACAUCGCUUUGAUACCCGGUUUGCCAAGCAAAUCCCCACUAACCAAAUUUUUAUUCAUAUCGGGGACAUACAAUACAUUUAUAAGGGUAACCUUUUUGCUGAAGGUAAAAACAACUUCAAUAGUGCCCUUGCCAAGCACCUUGGAUCUUCCUUCAUUGCCCAUUUGAACCUCUUGAUCUCCCUUUGCAUCUUCAAAGGUCUUGAAAAGAGAUUUGUCAUAGGUAACAUGAACUGUGGCACAAGUAUCAUACCACCAUCCUUGCACCUUUCCUUGGACAACGCACACAUCGCUUAGUGUUGCAAUGAUCUCCUCAUCAAUUGCAUUCACCACAACACAUUUUAGGUCCUUUCGGUACCUACACUCCUUAGCAUAAUGCUCGGGUUUUCCACACACAAAACAAGGACCUUUCUUGCCCUUAAAUUGCUCUUGAUUUUUCUUGGGGCUCAUAUAAUUUCCGGACUUCCUUUUGUCAUUGUUAUUUUUACCUCUAGGAUGAUUGACCUUUGAAACCGCAUUGGCUUUGUUAGUCCCACCAUUGGACUCUUCCACCAUUUUGUCUCUUGAUCUCGAUUCUUCCUCAAUGCGAAGAUGUUUUUGAAUCUCUUCCAAGGAGUAAUCUUCACUCUUGUGGAGAAUCCUCUUCCGGUAACCUUUCCAACUUGAUGGUAAUUUAGCCACAAUAGCACCAACUUGGAAGGCCUCCGGAAGUUUAAUUUUGAGAACUUUCAACUUAUUCACAAUUACUUGCAACUCAUGAAUUUGUGGCAAGAGAGGCUUUUCAUCAAAAAAAUUUGAAAUCUAUGUAUUGAGAAAUAAGAAACUUUUUGGUACCUUCUUUCUCGGCUUUGUACUUGUUUUCAAGAGCCUCCCAAAUCUCCCUCGCGGAAUAGGUGUUGGUGUAGAGAUCAUAUAGCCUAUCGGAUAAGGAGUUCAAAAUAUGACCCCUACAUAUAAGCUCAUCAUCCUCCCUCUUCUUCCUUGCCGCCACCACUUGAGGUGUGUCAUUUUCCUUUGGUUCCGGUAAUGGUGCCAAGGUAGGAUCAAGGAUGUAGAAAAUCUUGAGUGCUGUGAGAAUGAAUCUCACCUUGUCUUGCCACCUAGUGAAGUUGGAACCAUCAAAACGAUCCAACCUCACAAGGUCUUGGUUCAUAAUCUUGAUAGUCUCUCCUUCCAUUGAAAAAUAGAGUCUUUGAUUGAUGUUAAAAAUUUGGAUACAAUGGAGAAAAGAAACACUCUAAAACACUCACUUUGAUACAAUAAAACUCUCAAAGAUACAAAAUAAGAACAAGAAGAAGAAGAACACAAGAAAUGCUCAAACAAGUUCUUGUAACUUUGUCCAAAGACUCUAUUUCUUCCUACCUCUAGAAAUCUUUAGGAAACUAAUGGAAAUAGUCUUGGGAUUGAUUAAGUCUUUUCACUUUUCUACAUAAGAUUUCAAAAAGAAGAAAAGUCAUAUAUAGCACUCUUAGGGUUGAAAAAUGGUUACAAGGAUGAGAAAAAACCCAUUGUCUUCCUCAAUCUCUUCAUCUUUGUAACAUUCAAAAAUUAAAUCAUAUGUUUAAUUCACACAUUAAACAUGAUUUAAUCUCAAAUGUGUAACUCUUUUACACAUAACCUCUUAAGUUUUAUAAAGUUACAAAGAUGAGAAGACUCGUUGUCUUCCUUAACCUUUCAAGUUUUGUAACAUUUUAAAACUUAAUCAUGUGUUUAUUCACACAUUAAAAGUGUAACCCUUCUUACACUUUAUUUUCAAAAGUUAUUUUUCAAAAGUAUAACUUUUCUUACACUUUAUUUUUAACCAACAAUAUAUAUACAUUUAUAUAAAUAUAACAAAAUCUGGAGAGAAAGAAACAGAAAGCAGUUGGGGAAAAAAAAAAAAAAAGAGGAAACCAGCAGAGGGGGAUCGGUUUCAGAAAAAAGAAGGCAACGGGCUUCAAACAAGGCUUGGGGUUCCUUUUUUUUGGAGAAAAGCGGGAGGAGAAAAGGAGCGCCUUCAGGUAUGGAUUAUUUUUUUUAAUCUCCUCAUUAUCCUGUCCUUUGCUAUUUUUGGAGAGAUUGAAAAAGAGUGAGCUAGGUAGAAAAGCAAAGUGGUAGGAAACUGGUUUGUGAAGAGAAAAACAGAGCCAGAACGGGAGUGUGAAAAAUAACAAUAAUAAUAAUAACUCUUUUUCUUCAAGAUUUGGGAAGGAAUUAAGGGCCCAAUUCCGUCUGCCAUUUAUUUCCCUAUGCCAUCAUGCACUGAAGGCUCUCAAAGCCUUUUUUUUUUUUAUUAUUUAUUUCUUGCAUGGGAAUCAUUACCUGGGCAGUGAAGACUUUUUUUAGUGGGCCAUCCUUGAAAUAUAAUGCCAAUUUUCCUUUGGGAGAAUUAUGUUUUAAGGGUAGAUGGGCCCCCAAAUUAAUAAAAAGUUCAUGUAACUCUUCAAAUUGAGCCCAAGACCCAAUGAAAGUAUGGAAAUUGAGUUGAAGGAUAUCAUCCUUUAGUAUUUCCAAAAAUGCCCUUUGUUGAUUUUGAGAAAAAAAUUAAUAUUUUUGAAAAAUACUUUUAUUUAAUUUAAUAUUUUUUUAAAAUGCUUUUAUGUAAUUUAAUAUUUUUAAAAAUACUUUUAUUUAAUUUAAUAUUUUUUAAAAAUAAAUUUAUUUAAUUUAAUAUUUUUUAAAUACUUUAAUUUAAUUUAAUAUUUUUGAAAAAAAAAUAAUUUAAUAUUUUUGGAAAAAAAAUAAUUUAAUAUUUUUGAAAAAAAAAAUUAUUUAAUUUAAUAUUUUUGAUAACUGCUUUUAUUUAAUUUAAUAUUUUUGAAAAAAAAAUUAUUGAAAAAAAUUAUUUAACUUAAUUUUAUAAAAUAUUUUAUAUGUGUUCUUAAAGGGUAUAUUUGUCCGUUACUAUUUCAUAUCCUUCAACUCAAUUUGAAAAGUUAUAUGGACCUUUUGUUAAUUUGGGGGCCCAUCUACCCCCAAAAGAUAAUUCUCCCUUUUCCUUUUGACCUCACACGUUUCCACAAAUUGGUUCCCUAAAAUAACUAACAAAAUUUUGGAUUUUCAAUUAUUUCAAUCUUCAAAUUAAUUUUUUUUUUUUUUAAAUUCUAAGGUCCAAAAUUAUUUCUUAAAAAAAAAUUCAUUCUCAAAUAAUUUUCAAAAUCCCGAUUUCUUUCAAAUUUAAUUUCUAAAACUCAAAAUUUUAAAUUUAAUUUUCAGAAUUUCAAUUCUCACAUAAUUUUUAAAGAAUUCCAAUUUCUUUCAAAUUUAAUUUUCAAAACUCCAAUUCUUAAAUUUAAUUUUCAAAAUUCUAAUUCUCAUAAUUUUCAAAAUUCAAAUUUCUUUCAAAUUUAAUUUCUAAAAUUCCAAUUCUUAAAUUUAAUUUUCAAAACUCCAAUUUUCAAAUACUUUUCGAGACUUCAAUUUUCAAAUUUAUGUUUUUUUAAAAUAAUUUUCAUUUUACUCCAAUUUUUAAAUACUUUUUAAUUCUACGACUUUUCAUCCUUCAUUAAGGUUUUAAGUCAUUAAAAAUCUCGUUUUAAAUAAACUUGCUACCUUUCCCUUCAGGUAAACACUUUCACAAAUUUUCUUUGAUUUUAAAAUGAUUUUCACACUUUCCAUGAUUUUUAAUAAGCAAGAAUUAAACUUUGUAAUUCCAAUUAAUGGAAUUUAUGAAAUUAAUUCAUGCAAAAAUAAAUCAGGCUUUGGUGGGAGCCUACAUACGUGAUUUUAUGACUGUUUGAUUGAUUUGAUGUGACUGAUUUACACUAUUCAAUGAUACACACACGAUUAUUCUGUGUUUAAUUGCUAACACUUGUUUCCCUUGAAAUAAACCGGUUCAUCACUCAGGUACAUAAUUUGUUUUUCCUGUUCAUUAAGUUAUUUCGUUUUGGGUGAUAUUCAUUUGAUAUCCAUACUCGAUUAAUCAAUUGCCAUGAUUACUUCAUUUUAUUAGUAGAAACUCGUUUUAGGGGCUUCAAGGGGUGCUACGGUAUUUACCGUACCUUCCCGAUAAGUAACCUGACCCCCGAAUUUGAUCUGGUUUUUCACAGACCACCUUUUCCAAAAUAAAGAGUCACACUUAGGGUUUUUCUUUCUUAUUUUGUUUACCCUUUGAAAAUAAAACAAAAAUAAGUGGCGACUCUAAGUCAUUUUACAAUAAAUCAAUUUUUUAAAAUAAAAAUCGAGCUCGUCAUCGAGUGGAAGCGCAUGAGCCAAAAUGCGGGGUCCACAAUAAUUCAUAAAUAAAAAAUAUUAUAAAUAUUUAUAAUUUAUUUUUGUAAAAAAAAUAUUUUAUUUAUAUUUAAAAAAUGAAAACAAUCAAUUAAAAUUAAUAAUUUUUUUUUACACUAAACUACUCCUAAUUUGUUCUAAAAUUUUAAAAACUUCUCAAGCAUAUCUUAAACUUGUUUAUAUUUAUUUCAAGUCAUUUUCAUCUCUAAAUGGGAUAAAUAUUAAAAAAUUCUGUUUUAUUGUCAUCUCUAAUUAUACAUGGUUUAUAUCAUUGAAUACAUUUGUAGAGGGGAGAAUUUUUAAAUUAUUUUCAAUUUUAUAGCUUUUUUUAAAAAAUAGUUUCAAUUAAAAUUGUUUUAAAAAAUUUUAAAUUAUCUUUUAAAAAAUUAAUUUUCAUAUUUAAAUUGAAAUUAUCUCUUCAAAAAAUAACUUCCAUUAAUGUUAUAAAAAGUAUUUUAAAUUUGAAAAUAAUUUUAAAAAUAUUAUAUUUUAAUUUAUAUAUAUAUAUAUAUGUAAAAAAUCAUGGGUGAAGUGAAGAUUUUGAUAGAGGUAAAUGAGUGUGAAUUGGAGUGGUGGUGCAAGUAAGAAAAAGAAUUUGGGGUCAAAAUGGCCCUUUUAUUACAAAAAUUGUAACAACAUCUAGGCACUUUGUUGAAACUUAUGUUCAAAAUGACCUCUUUAGUGCCAUGUAGGAGCUAUGUCAUUAAAAAAUAUUUUUUUUCAUUAUUUUAAUUGAAGCCGUAGUUGGCAAAUGCAGCUUCAUUUUUGAAUUGAAGCCGCAUUUGCCAACUGCGGCUUCAUUUUUUAACCAAAGCCGCAUUUGCCAAUUGCGGCUUUAGUUUAAAAUUAAAGUCGCAUUUGUCAAUUGCGACUUCAAUUUAAAAAUGAAGCCUCAUUUGCCAACUACGGUUUCAAUUCAAAAAUGAAGCCUCAUUUGCUAACUACGACUUUAGUUAAUUUUUUUUUAAAAUUUAAAAUUUAAUUAAAAAUUAUUAAAUUAUAAAUUGAAAUUUAAAAAAUAUACUUAAAUAAUAAAUUAUUUAUAUUUAAACUUAAAAAUCAACUAUUACUUUCAAUAAACAUAAAUUGAUAAAUAGAAGAUAUUAUAAAUAAAUAUUUUUAUUUAUUAAUAAAUUAAUAAAUUAAAAAAAUAAUGAAGUGCUAAUAUUUUAUAACUUAAAAUUAAUUUGAUUAGAUAAAUUGUUAAUAAUUUUAAUUAUUUAAAGAAAUUGUGGCUCAACCCCCAAUUAGUUUGUUAUGGGUUUCUAAAUGAAAUUGUGGUUCAUCCAUGUUCACAUGGGGGUCCUAGAAACACUAGGAUCGAAUGUACCAAAUUUAACAUAUACAUAAUUUUAUUUAAGAUAUUAAUUUAUUUGUAUUAUGAAAAAUUUAUCUUUAUCAUAAAAGUAGUAUACUCUUAAGCCAUAGUCAUCAUACAUAGAUUUUUUGACAAAAUUAGUUAAUGAAAUUAAUUACAAAAAGUCUACUACAAAAUGUAAUUUUUAAUAGUUUAAUCAAAGUCGCAUAAAAUAUCCAGUAAACAUUAAUAUAGUGGAAAAUAAAAAACAUAUAUAAUCUCACAUGCCUCCACAAGGAGAGAACCUAUGUCUAACUGGUACUUUCUUCCUUUUUGAACGGUCCUCUAUAACUGUAGCAGGUACUACAUGUGACACAUGAAGAACAUUUGUCUGUGAUGGGAUUGGAGCUGGAAAUAGAGGUGGUGGUGGAGGUAGCAAUCUAGGUCGACGUAAGCCCCGCCUAUCCCUCGGAAUGGCUGGCGGCAAAUCUAGCUUGGUAGAUGUGUCAAUCUACAUUGAUGAUGGGUCUGAAGAGGUAGGAGGUUGUAAUGGAGGUAGGUCUAAAGAGGUAGGGGGUUGUAUUGAUGGUGGGUCUGAAGAGGUAAGGGGUUAGGCUGAUGGUGGGUCUGAAGAGGUAAGGGGUUGGGCUGAUGGUGGGCCUGAAGAAGUAGGAGUCUGAACUGAAGAUAAGUCUAAAGAAAUAGGAGGUUGUACUGAGGGUGGGUCUAAAGAGGUAGAGGUUUGCACUGAUGGUAGGUCUAAAUAAGUAGGGUGCUGCACUGAUGGUGGUUGAGCAACUGUCGACUGAGCUAGUGACCUACCUCCUCCAUGCUCUACAUGUGGGAUACGAUAAUCCUCCCGAAUAAUGCACAUAACAUCAGUGGCCCUAUGAAUAAUAUCAACAAUACCAGUGCGGCAAGCAUCACUAUCAGAGUCCUCCAAUGCAUGACCUCCUCGAGAUAUGAUAAAUGUCAUAGUCUCAAUCUGUCACAUAAAAUGUUAUAUAAUUAUUUGUUGGAAUAAAUAUUAUAAAGAAUAUGUACAUAAUAUUAAAGUGAUACAAACCAAUAAGUGGGCAAAUAAGGCAGUAGCCGAUACCGCAUAGGUUCAAAAUCAUCCAUAGGUGUAAUAAAAUGACGUAUAAUAGGAUGAUACCAUGUCAUGUACGGAGCAUGGUAGUCCAUAUGAGGCUCUAUAGCCUCCGCGGUGACAAUGUGGUCCCCUCUAGCCUCCCAAAAUGCCACGUAGUGGUCAUAAUACAACCUCCAAUCAAAUUGAGCUCGACCACGUCGAUCUAUGGAGUGAAGGUCAAAAUCUAUAAGGGGUGUCGAAGGAAUACCUUGUAUGAGUCCAAACUAUUGCAACACACGCUCAGGACGAUGCCACUUAACAAUAUAAAAAAAAAAAAAAGUGGUGACAUCGUUCGCCAAAUAUCCUGAUCAGCUAAACAAAUGUCUGAAAGCAACGCUAGUAUAUCAUCUGUGUAAGGCUGCCAUAAUACCUGACAUAUUCAAAUCUUAGUAUGUAUUUAAUAAAUUUUAAAUUAUAUUAUUAAUAUUAAUAAUCUUGUUAAAGAAUACUAAUAUUUAACCCAAACUUGAUCAGAUCGCUGUUGAUUAAACUCAUCUCUGUAUGUGACCAACACAUGAUGAGGAGUGUCUGCAUGAGAUAAGGAAACUCUCCACCUACUCCCUAGUGCAUCUUGCGGGAAUCUGUCAUUUAUAGGCACUGGUGCAUGGGCAAGUGAUCUACUAGGACGAUCAACAUGUAAUCGCUCCCAUGACCAUAGCUAAAAUUGAAAUAAAAUUAUGUUUAAAUGCACAUAAUUAUGACAAAAUUACAUAAUUAAUAAGACUUGUAGUUAUACUUGCAACAACUCUAAUGGUCUUGCAAUAGUUUCUGCAUUAUCUAAGCUAGCUCGACAUAACUCUUGAUAAAGAUGUGCUAGUGUAGCACUCCCCCAACUAUAUUGCGCAGUCUCACCAAAAUCUCUUAACAUGGGUAGAAUUGCUAAUUGGAUGUAAACCCCCUUCUUAUCUGGAAAUAGUGAACCACCAACUAACAAUAAAAGAUAGACUCUAGCAUGACGAUGUAACAUGACCUCAUCUACAACCCCUGGUGGUAAAUGGGAGAAAUGGGUAGUAAUAAAACGAACUGUAAGGGAUGCUCCACGAAUAUCAGUCUCUAUCGGUCGAACACCCAAUAACUCCUCACAAAGUGCAUGCCAAUCAAUAUCUGUAGAACCGGUGAAAGGAUAACCAUGUACACGCAAUCCAAAUAAGAUGGCUACGUCCUGCAAUGUGAUGGUCAUUUCACCACCUGGCAUGUGGAAUGUGUGCGUCUUUGGGCGCCAUCUCUCUACCAGUGCAGUAAUCAAAGGCCAAUCAACCUUAACAUGGCCCACUCAAUGAAAGACAUAAAAUCCUGACUGUAUAACGUAUGACCGAACACGAUCAUCCAAAAUCCACUCUCAACGAAACCCUUGUCGGUAACGCAAAACACUACCCAUAUCUGGAUCAACACGAAUGGUGGAUGAUCGAUGUCGAUGUUGAAGAGUAAGCACAGAUGUAUCCUCAAGGUCAGGACGAGCAGGAAACAACGGAGUAUCCAUGUCUGCAUUUACAUCAAUACAUGAUAUAAACAAAAUAUGAAUGAAUUGACAAGAAACAACAAUAUCUAACAACAUGAAUUUCAUGAUUAAAAUUGUAAAAAUAUGACCAGUAUUUUCCCUAAACAGUAGAGAUUCAAAAUUUUUCAAUGUAACCUGAUAUAAACAAAAUAUGAAUGAAUUGACCAAAAACAACAAUUUCCAACAACAUUAAUUUCAUUAUUAAAAUUUUAAAUAUUUGAACAGCAUCUCCCCUAAAUAAUAGAGAUUAAUAUUUUUUUUCAUGUAACCUUAUAUAAGGAAAAUAAGAAUGAAUUGACAAAAAAUAACAAUUUCAAACAAACAAACAUCAAUAAGAUGUUCAAUAAAAUAGUUUUUACAAAUAUCUUAAAACGAUUAAGGUCAAUACUAGUAAAUUAAAAAAAUAAAGUACAAUAAGAUGUUCAUGAAGUUCAUAAACUCCUCCUAUCAUUGGUUUCUCUAUUAGGACAAGAACGUCGAUUGUGACCUGAUUGCUUGCAAAGUCCACAUGUUUAUGGAGUUCUAGCUUCCCUUGCAUCCAUCUCAUUAUGCAAACGACUUGAUUUUGGUCGACCAGAAGUUAGCCAUUUCAUUGAGUCCGAAGGCACAAUUAUCGGCCCAUUAUAUUGAGGUCACUCCAACUCAUCAAAUAUGGGAUAAAACAAGGGAGCCCAUGUUGAUAGGUAAGCACAUGUGGUGUAAUAACCUUGUACAAAUUGUCGAAAAUCAAUUGCUCAACAAUGACAAGCAGCAAGAAUGUGCAAACAUGGGAAUCCCAACAAAAGUGUUUUGUUAAAUGUGCAAGACCCUGUUUGAAGGGUAACAUGAUAUGUGCGAGGUUUCCUAUUACUGCUUCCAACAAAGUGUCUAGUUUAACAUGAAAACGUCCCGCCACAUGAUCAUACAAAAGAACCUCAUGUGAACCCGUCUUAACAACUUUAGCUUUUAUCUUGGCAUCAAUAUGUGGAGUGAAUUCUUCACCUAAAGCGAGCCGACUUGCACCAUGCUCCCGCCUGACUGUGAAGUAACUGUUCACCCGAUAGAAAGUUAAUUGGACUAAAGCUGUUAUUGGUAAGGUACAAGCACCCUUAAGGACACAAUUAAAAACUUUAGACAUGUUAGUUAUCAUAAUCCCAUAUCUCUGCCCACCAUCAUGUGAGAGUGCCCAUUUUCCAAGAGGAAUUUGCUCCAACCAAUUUCUAGCAUCGGCAUUUAUCCGACCAAUUGUAUCCAUGUGAGAAAUAAAUUUUUUAACUUUACUCUCCAUAGCAGCCCUACACAUGAGAUCCUUUAAAGUCUUAUCUUUGAACUUGUGUUGAAGUUACUCGCUAAAUGACGCAUGCAAAAUCUAUGAUAAGCAUCUGGCUCAGUCCAUCCCGAAUAUGUGUCAUUGACAACAACUAUAAUGUCAGGAUGACGAUUAGAGAUCAGACACAAGCCUUUCCUUUGUCUCACUCCAACUCUGAUACAUGCCAAAAACCAACUCCAACUAUCUGUAUUCUCUCAUUCUAUAAUGGCAAAUGCAAGUGGAAACAAUUGGUUAUUACCAUCACAUCCUAUAGCAAUCAACAAAGUCCUUUUAUAUUUUCCAUACAAAUGUGUCCCAUCAAUACUAAGAAUUGGUCGACAGUGAGUAAACCCUUGAAUAGAUGGAGUGAAUGCCCAAAAAACACGUUGGAAAAUUUCUUCAUUUGGGUUUUUUCCAGGAACCAUUUUGGAAUACAUUAUACAUCCAGGAUUUGACUACUCCAAAGCAAGAAAGAAGCAAGACAACUCUGCAUAAGACUUGUACCAAUCACCAAAUAAUCACGUCAUUGCUUUCCUUUUUGCCUUCAUUGCUUUUUGAUAAGAAAUUUGAUAACCAAAUUGUUCGGCAACAACAACUUGAAUUGCAGCAACUGUAAUGGUCAUUUUUGCUUUCACCAAUGUUUCAAUAUACUCGGAUAUAAAGCUAGAAUCCAAUUGAGAAUGAUCUUGAUUUAUACAUGGAUCGACACAUGUAUGAGGACCUUCGUAAUUUGUGAUUCUAAACAUACUUGUAUUUUUCACUAUCAUUGCCCUUAGUCGCCAUUGACACUCUGGUGCUUUUUUACAUUUAAGAACUAACACAUUUGCAUUUGAUCUAUAAACAGUAAACUCUUGGUGCGACUUUAUGGAAAACAUCUUCACAGCAUGUUGCAAAUCUGAUUUUGAGGAAAAUAUUUGGUCAUUUGAUAACUCCCCAUCAACAUUUCCUAAAGUUGGGUUUUUCCAUGGAGUCUAAUCACUUACAACACAAUUAAUUGCCUCAUCCAUAUUUAAAAAUUGUUGUCUAGGUGGCAUAUGGUAUGAAACGGGUGCAACUAGUGAUGUGUUUUCAACCUCAAACUCAACCUCGGGAUUAUUAGACCUAUCACCAACUUCAAGGUUCACAUAUCUUGUGCUUUCACAUUCCACAACUUGUUGGACCAUCACCAAAUCAAUAUUUUCUCUUUCACAACAAUUUUCAUCAUCAUUAGGUAAAUUAAUCUCAUUUGUAUUUAUUGCAUCAUCUCUGUCAUCUUCCUCAUCUCUUUCAUUUUCGUCAUCAACAUCAGUAUCACCUGCCGACAACCAUGUCACAUGGCCCAUUUCAUUACUCAAAUGAUAGUGAUUGGGAGUUAGCUCGAUGAAUAAUUGAACUGAAGACAUUUCAUACUUUGAUGGCACCGCUAACAUACGUGCAACUGUCCGAUCAUUCCUGACCACUAAUGGUUGAAAUUUGUUAAUUUCAGUUGGAUGUCGAAAUUUCAAGACUAACUGAUACUGUCUGUCAACACCAAUGAUAUCAUAUAUCAUGUUCAACAACACCGCAAAGGUCGUAUCAAUGGGCACAUCUAUAGGCUCAAUCUCUACAUUAUUUCCAAUAUAUCUCAAAUCUGUUUCUGUCCUUAAAAUUGUUCCAUUCCAAUAACAUAACACUUCUACCGUGGAAUCAGUCAUAAUUGUCUUCAUAUAGAUAAUAACAAAUGGUUAUUAUAUAAAAAAUAAUAUUUAUUAAAAAAAAAUAAUACUUUACGGUCAAUGAUUCAUAAAAUACAAUAAUAAACCAAAUAAAUAUUGGAAUGUAACAAAGCUUCAUGUCUAAAUACCAAGUUCAACUCAAAUUAAAGUAAUUUAUAAGCAAAUAAGUAUAUAAGUAAAUAGUAAGAUGAUAUUAUGAAUUAAUAUGAUAAUAUCAAUAAAAAAAUCAUGAGUAUGUCUUUAAGAAUAAAUUUAUGUUUGAGAAUUGAAAUGAAAUUAAUAUUUUUAUAUUAAAAAUUAAAUUUUAAAAUAAAUAUAUGUUAAAUAUGUUAAUUUUUUUACAAUUAAAAAUUAUAUGUUAAAUAUAUUUUUAAAAAUAAAUAUAUGUUAAAUAUGUUUUUUUUUUAAAAAAAAAAAAUUAAAGCAUCUUGUAAAAAAAAUAAUUUCAAUAUCUCAUAAUGAUAAAAAUGCUUUCUUGGCAUUUUUUUUUAUAUUCCCUGGCAUCACACCCUACUUGAACAUCUAGACGUGUCCAAGGGCCUCACCAUUUGUAUGAUUAAAAUAUUAUUUAUUUUAAUAAUAUUUUUAUUAAAAGUAUGGGUAAUUUUGAUAUCUUUAAAAAUUAUAAUUAAAAAAAAUUAAAUUUUUGGAUAUAACCAAAUACAAAAGUCUUUUUAAAGAGAAAGUGUCUAUACUUUAAGAAUCUGUUUUUUUUUUUUUUAAGUGUUUACUCAUAAUUGAGAAGUUUUCUAAACAUGAAUUAUAAAAUAUAAGUAAUUAUUUUAUUAUCUUAUCAUAUCUUUUUUUAAUAAAUGUUUGUAUUUUCAAAAUAUAGAUAAAUUACAUUGAAAGGUAUAAGAUUUAUAUUUAAGAGUUUUAUUUAAAUAUCUUUAAAAAUUAUGUUUCUCUUUUUAACAUUCUAGAAACUUUUAUUAUCGAGAUUCAUUAACAAACACUAUCUAAUGUCAUCAAUCACCUCUAACAUAACAACAAAUAUUAUCUAAAGUCACUAAUCGCCUUUAACAUAUUGUUACUAUCAUCAAUUAUUAAGUAUUUACUUUGAUUUUUCCAAUCGAUAUAAAAAACAAACAAUAAAACAACUAUUCCAAUUCCAAAGUUUCAAAUUUCAAACCAACUAACUACCCUUUUUUGAAAUCUAAUAAUAUUGGCCUUUUUUGUACACACCCAAACCAUCAUAAUUGAAUCUCCUCCAAUUUAUUGCCUAUUGGAGCUAAUCAUAGAUUUUAGUAAUAGCAAGAAAUCCACCCUAGUCCACAAGCUAAGGAAUAAUUUUUAGAAUAUACAGAUUUUGAAUAGUGAACUCUAGUACCUCCUAACCACACAAUCAACCAUAGAUUAGGAUUCCCACAAAAUCAAAUGUGUAAUGAGAAAAAAAAAAAUCAACCAAUACGAGAACUACCUAAGAUGAAGAUACAAAUAUUCUGAAAUUUAGGUUGAGGAUAAGAAAUAAUACAAAGAAAGUGAAGCAAUGACGUGGAUGAAUUGACAAUACCUGCUAAAGAAAGGAAUUAAAUGAAAUCCUAAAUUACUCUAUAAAGUGCAUUUAUGUAAUUUUGCAGAUUUGACGUUUUUUAAUGUUAUUAGUCAAAAAUUGGUACUUGAACUGUAUUCAUAAUUUGAAAAGUUUUUUUAUUGAAAAUUUCUUCUUAAAAGAAGUGUCAAUAUUUCUAAACUUUCUAUUUUAUAAAUUAAUCUCUUUUCUCUUAAGUUUCUAGUUUGAGUCUUCAGAAUUUUGAAGUCUUUGUUAUUAGAAAUUUUAUUCGAAGGUGUUUCUAUAAAGUAGGAUGUUAAUUCUAAAAAGGGAGUUUUUGUUUUUGUUUUUUUAUUUUUUUUUUAUUUUUCAAAGAUUUAGGAGUUCUCAAAAAUGAACAAUAGUCCUAACAAGUUGCUACAUAGGUUAGGUUUGCUUUCCAUAAUUUUUUUUAGUUUUAAGGGUUCUAAAACUUCAUAAAUAAGGCUAAUGGAUGUAAAAGGGGAUGAUGAUUGAUGAUCCAAAGAUUUUUAUUUUUAUUUUUUUAUGGGUGCAACUUUUGCAAUUUUCAUGGUAGGACUUAAUUAUUUUACUUCUAAGUGAGACUCCUAGGGCCUAUGUAAGUUUGUAAGAUUGCUUCUUUAUUAUUUUUUUUUCCUAUUUUUUAUUUUAUUUUUUCCCUACUAUUAUAAUUUUAUCUUUCUUCUCCUUAAAUCUCAAAAGAUUGAAGUCCUAGUCCGCCUAUUUGAUUAUAGAAAACCAUCCUAAUGUUGUCAAAUAUCAAGCAAUCAAUUACACACAAAAUGUAAUCACAGCAUUCAAAAGAUCACCAACCAAAUCACAAAUGAAAUUUAAUGUCAAUGAAAGUACGUAUUUUCAUCUUUUGAAUGGCUCAUAAUGAUCAUGAUGAUACAAUAAGUUUCUUGAUGAACUUAACACUGUCGAAGAGUUCUAAGCAGGAUGAAAAAUAAAUAAAAAGUGAAACCAUGACUAGUUAGCAACUUAGCUUACCUCAAGUGAAUCAAGAUGUUCCAAGGUUUCAAUAGUUAUAUUUGCAAGAAUGACAGAUGAAGCUUUUGUGAACAGUCUUUGCAUGUGAAAGGCAAUUGAAUCUGGCCAAAUAGACAACAAGAAUAAAAGAAAAUUAUAUAAGUCCAUGUUGUUCAAGAAGAUGGUUGGUGUGUGCAUUACUAAAACACAAUUGGAUAUUUACUGACUCAUGUUUGUGAACUUAAAUGCUCCUUAAUAUCAAUUCAAUAUUAGAUUUAACAGUAAAAGUAUCUUCCCUGGACAACAGAAUUUAAGAAUAAAGUACUUGGCUAAUCCCAAAUAGGUGUAUUAUGUUAACAGGGAAGAAGAAUCAGAGCACCUAAUUCAUAUGAUAAAAACUUUUGUAAAGAUAUAGGAUUUAGUUAGUAAAUUGAUCUUCAUUUGAGGAAUUACUAUGAAUUUCUAUACGACGUAGCCCAAAAGGUCAUAUAAGGAAUGAUUACAGGGAGAGAGAGAGAGAGAGAGAGAGAGAGAGAAAAAGCUGGUCGUACUUCCUAAAAGUUUGAAGCAAAGGUUGCCUCUUACCAAAGUGUUCUGGUUAUUGUUUUUGGUGUUUAAAUUUAAUUGCAUUUUCUUUUGAAUUAGUCAAACCAUUCAUAUAAAAGUUAGCAAAGGGAUUCAUGCAAUUGGGCUUCAAACUAGUAACUUUUUACUUUUUCCUAUUUGCCCCUUUCAAUAUUAGCAUUAGUACUAUCAAUAUGAACAACAAUUACUGAAUUAGUUCAACAUCAGUAAUAUUAUUUGUGAGGAAGAAAUAAAUAAAAGUUGCAAACCAAUAUAACUAACUAGCAUCAUAUGCAGCAUCAUAGUAACCCCUUCCAAUCUUGAAAAUCACGGAUUUGUCAUUUUUCCCCAGAAAAUAUCAUUUUCCCCACAAAAUAUUUAUUUCCCUAGAAAUUAUUCAUUUCCCGAGAAAUUAUUAAUUUCCCCAUAAAAUUACAUUUUUCCCAGAAAAUUAUAUUUUUCCCAGAAAAUUAUAUUUUUCCCAGAAAAUUAUAUUUUCCUCAAAAAAUUUUAUUUUUCCCAGAAAAUUUCAUUUUUCCCAUAAACUUCAACAAAUGUUUGCAUCUUAAAAGGCUUUAAUCUUUGGAUCAUAACAAACCAUUUUUGCUAAAAUAGCCGUGAAGAAAAUAAUAGAGAAAACCAAAAGCAAUGGAAACAAAAAUAUUUUUCUAAAAACCAAGAUUCCGGUAUGGGAAAAAAAAUGGGAAAGUGCCAAAAACUUUACAUAAAAUAAGUCAAAUAAAAUAUUGGGACUAACCUUAAGGUUGAUGUAGCUCCAACAAUGCUCUCUCAAUGGCCCACUGGUGGGGCUAGGGUUUUGAGGGAAAAAAAAAAUCAAAGAACACCACGGGCGGGAAGAUAACUUGGUAAAGUAAAACAAAUGGUGUAAAAAAAUGGGUUUUAUGGCUUAUGUGGAUCAAAGGGGCUAUUUUGAACAAUAGUUAUAGAGAUAGCCCAGUUUUAAUAUUAAGUUUGGCCCGUGGCCCAUUUUGGCCCAAAAGUCUAUGAAAAGCCUAUGUCACAUGCAUUAGUACAUUGGAAAAGCAAUCACAAAGAUCUCAACAAAGCAACAAAGUUGGAAAGGUAGAAGCAAGGUAGAAGCACGAGCAUGUUCAACUUGUUUGCAUUUAAGCAGUUUAAAGAAUUAAGUGGUAUUUGUUUUUUUUUAUUGAAUAAAAAGACUUAAAAUAUUUUAUUUUUUUAUAUUAAAAUAAAAAUAACUUAUUAAUAUCCAUUAAUAUAAUUAAAGUGAACUUGUUAUUGAUAAAUUCACUUUAAUUAUGUUGGUUGAUAUUAACAUAUUAUUUUUAAUUGAAUAUAAAAAAUAAAAUAUUUUGAUUUUUUUAUUCAACAAAAAAAAUAAACAUCAUCUUAUAUUUUAUGAAAACGAAUUUUUUUAAUUGAAGAAAUAUGAUAAUUAUAUUUUUGAAAAUGGAUCUUUCAAAUUGAACAAGUAUGAGAGGUUCAAUAUUUUGUCAGAAUUAAAAAUAUCAGUGGAUUUUCAUCCUUGGUUGUCUUAAGGGAUUAAUUUAAAUAUAUAAAAUAACCUUGAAAUUAGUCAUGUAUUUAAUAAGAAGUCCAUCAGCAAGCCUCUGUACUCAGCCAUGGAUUGCAGCGCUGGGAUUACCCCUAUCCAAUCUCACAAACUUCUCUCAUUUCAUCUCUGCUUCAUGAUUUCCUUUUUUUUCUUCCUAAUAUUGCCUUAUGCAACCUCACUGUCUUUCAACUUCACCACCUUUAAUAUAAAUUGAAGAAUUUGAAGAAAAAUAUGAAGAAUUUGAAGACAAACUAUGGAGGAACACCUCAAUUCAUUCUGUGAUACCUUCCUUUACAAUGAAUGAAAGCAUAAAUAAAUAGCCUACAGAUAUGAGACAAUUCCGGAAUGGAAUUUCCCUUACAUGGAAAGUGAAUAAAUUCUUACAUGGGAAGUGAAUAAACUACUCUUACAUGGAAAGUGAAUAAACUACCUUGCUAGAAUUACUCCUAAGAAUAAACUCUUACAUGGGAAGUGAAUAAACUACCUUGCUAGAAUUACUCCUAAAUCAAUUAUAAUAAAGGCUGUACAUUACACUAAUUAGGGAAGUAAACAAAGGAUGCUGGCUUGAUUUCCAACACUCCCCCUCAAGCCGCGUUGUAGAUGUUGAUCAUUCCAAGUUUUUCUGUCAAAUCUUCGAAGUUAACUCGAGCAAGAGCUUUUGUGAGAAUGUCAGUCGUUUGACAGUUUGUCGGAGUGUAGCUGACUUUGAAAACUCCUUCUUCAAUCUUUUCCUUGAUAAAGUGUCGAUCUAUCUCCACGUGCUUAGUUCGAUCAUGAUGAACCGGAUUCUUAGCGAUACUGAUGGCAGCUUGAUUGUCGCAGUAUAACACCAUGGGAUGCUUUAAUGGAACCCGUAAUUCUUCUAACAGCCUGUUCAACCAGAUUCCCUCGCAGAUACCUUGUGUCAUAGCACGAAAUUCUGCCUCAGCACUGCUACGGGCUACCAUUGACUGUUUCUUGCUUCGCCAUGUAACCAAGUUCCCCCAGACAAAUGAACAAUAGCCUGAAGUUGAUCUCCGAUCAGUCAAUGAACCUGCCCAAUCUGCAUUUGAAAAAAUCUCAAUCUCUUUCUUUGUUGUUCUUUGAAAGAAGAGACCAUUUCCCGGUGUCAUCUUGAGGUAUCUCAAUAUUCUGAUCACAACAGUCAUGUGGUUUUCGGUUGGAUUAUUCAUGAAUUGACUUACCACACUAACGAAGAAGCCGAUGUCUGGCCUUGUAUGAGAAAGAUAGAUGAGUUUCCCCACAAGACGUUGAUAUCUUCCUUUAUCAACUGGCACACUUCCAUCACUUUCUUCCAGUUUGACAGUUGUAUCCAUAGGUGUUUCUGUCGGCUUGCAUCCUAGCAUUCCUGUUUCAUUCAAUAAGUCCAGAACGUAUUUGCGUUGUGAGACUGCUAUACCUUUCUUUGACCUAGCAAUCUCCAUUCCGAGAAAGUACUUGAGGUUUCCAAGAUCCUUGAUCUCAAAUUCCUUUGUCAGUAAUUUUUUAAGUAAGUCAAUUUUCUCUUCAUGAUCACCUGUCAAAAUUAUGUCGUCCACAUAUACAAUGAUAAUUGUCAGUUUCCCUUCUGGGAAGUGUUUCACAAAUAAUGUGUGAUCGGAUUGACAUUGAACAAAUCUGUACCCUUUCACUACCUUAGUGAACCGUUCAAACCAGGCCCUGGGAGAUUGUUUGAGACCAUACAAGGAUUUUCGAAGUCUGUAAACCUUGUUGAAAUUUGUUGUCGUCUCAAGUCCAGCAGGAAUGUCCAUGUAAACUUCUUCCUCUAAGUCACCAUUGAGGAAGGCAUUCUUCACAUCAAGUUGGUGAAGCGACCAAUCGAGAUUAGCUGCCAAGGAUAAAAGUACACGAACAGUAUUGAGCUUGGCAACUGGAGCAAAAGUUUCUUGAUAGUCAAUGCCAUAGGAUUGGGUGAAUCCUUUGGCGACCAACCGAGCCUUAUACCUGUCCACAUUACCAUCUGCCUUGUACUUUACUGUGAAAAUCCACUUACACCCAACUGGUUUCUUACCUCUUGGGAGGUCAGUAAUUUCCCACGUACCAUUCUUUUCCAGUGCCCGAACUUCCUCAUCGACUGCCGCCUUCCACUUAGGAUACUUGAAAGCUUCCUGAAUAUUCUGAGGAACUUGUAUCUCUGUGAUGCUAGAAGUGAAUGCACGAAACGUAGGUGAUAGCUUAUCAUAAGAAAUAAAAUUUCCAAUGGGAUGCUGAGUGCAUGAUCUAACUCCUUUCCUCUAAGCUAUGAGCAUAUUAAGAAUAUCAUUUUCUAACUCGGAAUCGACAGUACCAUCAGGAGCGUUGUUACCUGGAAGUUUGCUUGGAUUAGGACCCGGUUCUGCCUCAUGGGUUUGUUGAGAAAGUGUUCUUUCCUCCGUUUCCUCUUGGAUGUGCUCCUUAUCCCGCAAGUCAACAAUGGACUCAGGUUGAUUAAAUGACUCUGGAGGAAUGUGAUUUUCAGUGGUGAUGGGUUACUCACUGAAUGACUCAAGAUCCCAAAAUUGAUAUUCCUGAGUUGAAUUCUCCCCCUGAAUAUCGUUUUUGGGAUAGUAAGGCUGAGUUUCAAAAAAGGUGACAACCAUUGAAUUGUAGAAUUUUCUUGUGACCGGAGAGUAACACUUAUACCCUUUUUGAUUUGAAGAAUACCCAAGAAAGAUGCACUUGAGUGACCUAGGAUCAAGUUUACUUCUAUGUUGUUGAUUGAUAUGAACAAAGACAGAGCACCCGAAAAUUUUGGGUGGGACGGUGGAGAUGAGACGAGUAGUCGGAAAGGAUUUUAGGAGUGUUUGACAAGGUGUUUGGAAUUUUAGUACCCUAGACGGCAUCCUAUUGAUGAGGUAGGCUGCCGUAAGGACAGCUUGCCCCCAGAAUAAUUUUGGAACAUUCAUGGAGAACAUUAGUGAUCUAGCCACCUCUAACAAAUGCCUAUUUUUCCUUUCAGCGAUUUCGUUUUGUUGUGGGGUAUCAACACAUGAACUUAAGUGAACUAUCCCUUCUUGUGCUAGAAAUUCUCCUAGAAUGGAGUUGAAAUAAUCCCUAGCAUUAUCAGACUUUAGAAUUUGUAUUUUUGACUGGAAUUGGGUCUGAAUCAUAUUUUUAAAAUUUUUGAAAAUUUGACUCNNNNNNNNNNNNNNNNNNNNNNNNNNNNNNNNNNNNNNNNNNNNNNNNNNNNNNNNNNNNNNNNNNNNNNNNNNNNNNNNNNNNNNNNNNNNNNNNNNNNNNNNNNNNNNNNNNNNNNNNNNNNNNNNNNNNNNNNNNNNNNNNNNNNNNNNNNNNNNNNNNNNNNNNNNNNNNNNNNNNNNNNNNNNNNNNNNNNNNNNNNNNNNNNNNNNNNNNNNNNNNNNNNNNNNNNNNNNNNNNNNNNNNNNNNNNNNNNNNNNNNNNNNNNNNNNNNNNNNNNNNNNNNNNNNNNNNNNNNNNNNNNNNNNNNNNNNNNNNNNNNNNNNNNNNNNNNNNNNNNNNNNNNNNNNNNNNNNNNNNNNNNNNNNNNNNNNNNNNNNNNNNNNNNNNNNNNNNNNNNNNNNNNNNNNNNNNNNNNNNNNNNNNNNNNNNNNNNNNNNNNNNNNNNNNNNNNNNNNNNNNNNNNNNNNNNNNNNNNNNNNNNNNNNNNNNNNNNNNNNNNNNNNNNNNNNNNNNNNNNNNNNNNNNNNNNNNNNNNNNNNNNNNNNNNNNNNNNNNNNNNNNNNNNNNNNNNNNNNNNNNNNNNNNNNNNNNNNNNNNNNNNNNNNNNNNNNNNNNNNNNNNNNNNNNNNNNNNNNNNNNNNNNNNNNNNNNNNNNNNNNNNNNNNNNNNNNNNNNNNNNNNNNNNNNNNNNNNNNNNNNNNNNNNNNNNNNNNNNNNNNNNNNNNNNNNNNNNNNNNNNNNNNNNNNNNNNNNNNNNNNNNNNNNNNNNNNNNNNNNNNNNNNNNNNNNNNNNNNNNNNNNNNNNNNNNNNNNNNNNNNNNNNNNNNNNNNNNNNNNNNNNNNNNNNNNNNNNNNNNNNNNNNNNNNNNNNNNNNNNNNNNNNNNNNNNNNNNNNNNNNNNNNNNNNNNNNNNNNNNNNNNNNNNNNNNNNNNNNNNNNNNNNNNNNNNNNNNNNNNNNNNNNNNNNNNNNNNNNNNNNNNNNNNNNNNNNNNNNNNNNNNNNNNNNNNNNNNNNNNNNNNNNNNNNNNNNNNNNNNNNNNNNNNNNNNNNNNNNNNNNNNNNNNNNNNNNNNNNNNNNNNNNNNNNNNNNNNNNNNNNNNNNNNNNNNNNNNNNNNNNNNNNNNNNNNNNNNNNNNNNNNNNNNNNNNNNNNNNNNNNNNNNNNNNNNNNNNNNNNNNNNNNNNNNNNNNNNNNNNNNNNNNNNNNNNNNNNNNNNNNNNNNNNNNNNNNNNNNNNNNNNNNNNNNNNNNNNNNNNNNNNNNNNNNNNNNNNNNNNNNNNNNNNUGGUUUCUGGUGCUGCCGAAGCUCCGGUGAUGUAGUCAUCUUUCUCCUUUCCCCGUAUAAACAUUAAUAUGGACUGAGACCAUUGCAAAUAAUUUUGCCCAUUCAGUUUAUGGGCUGUGAUUGGAAGAUGAGAGGUUUCCAUCUGAUGAGAGGAUGAAGACGAUGAGAUGAUGAUAUCAAAGUAGAGGAUGAUGAGUUGGUAGCCAUUCUAAAGGCUGGACCGUAUUUAGGCAUAAAUUAGAAGAAUAGAAUUGAGUAAAAAAAAACUGACUAAAGAUGAAGACGAUGAGACAGGAUUAAACCUUCUUUGAUACCAUGAAGAAUUUGAAGAAAAAUAUGAAGAAUUUGAAGACAAACUAUGGAGGAACACCUCAAUUCAUUCUGUGAUACCUUCCUUUACAAUGAAUGAAAGCAUAAAUAAAUAGCCUACAGAUAUGAGACAAUUCCGGAAUGGAAUUUCCCUUACAUGGAAAGUGAAUAAACUCUUACAUGGGAAGUGAAUAAACUACUCUUACAUGGAAAGUGAAUAAGCUACCUUGCUAGAAUUACUCCUAAGAAUAAACUCUUACAUGGGAAGUGAAUAAACUACCUUGUUAGAAUUACUCCUAAAUCAAUUAUAAUAAAGGCUGUACAUUACACUAAUUAGGGAAGUAAACAAAGGAUGCUGGCUUGAUUUCCAACAUAAAUAAUCAUCAAGUUUACUUUGAAGGAGAUGCUCAACCUUCCUCAGGUGGAGGCAUCCAACUGACCAGAAACGAGCAGGGUAAAGGAAUGGAUUAUAGUUGGGGUCGAGCCAUCUAUGGUGAGCAGUUGUAUCUCUGGGAUCCUAACUCCAGAAAUCUAACUGAUUUAACUACCAACUUCUCCUUUGUCAUUGAUUCACUUAACAGCAGUUCAUAUGCUGAUGGCCUCACCUUCUUCCUUAACGACACCCAAUUGCCUUCACGUGUGUGGGGAGAAAACAUCGGUCUCACGGAGUUUAACGUGACAAAUACAACUGCAAUUCAUUUUGUCGUAGUGGAGUUUGAUACAUUUUCGAACACGGGAAAAAGGGAUCCGGUGAGUGAUCAUGUUGGAAUUGAUAUUAACUCCAUGAUAUCUGUCAAAACAGUGAACUGGUCCAGCAAUAUAAAGGAAGGAAAGCUAAAUCAUGUUUCCAUCUGUUAUACUUCUAGUUCACAAAAUCUGAGUGUUGUUCUAAUCACUGAGUUUAUGGGCGAUCGAACUACCUCCCAAAGCCUCUACUACAAAGUUGAUCUGAGAGAAUACUUGCCAGAAUUCGUUAAUAUUGGCUUCUCAGGAGCAACAGGAAGAGCAUUCCAGAAAAACAACAUUCACUCAUGGAAUUUCAGUUCAACUUUGCAACCUCCUAGUCCUGUAGAACCAGGAGAUGGAAAGAAUGGAAAGAAAACAGGAUUUGUGGUGGGAUUGAGUGUUUGUGCAGUUGUUGUAGUAUGUGGGUUGGGAUUGGUUUGGCAUCACUUGCGGAAGAAGAGGAAUAGUGGGGGAGAAGAUGAUACUGACUCUGACCCAACCAUGGACGAAGACUUUGAAAAGGGUAUUGGACUUGGGAAAUUUUCCUUCCAAGAAUUGGCUCUUGCAACCAGUAACUUUGCAGAGGAGGAAAAGCUUGGAGAGGGAGGGUUCGGUGGGGUCUAUAGAGGCUUCUUAAGGAAACUGAACUCUUACGUUGUAAUUAAGAGAGUAUCAAGGGGGUCCAUGAUUACUACUCAAAAAGUGCUAUUUGAUAGCCUUUAAUUAAUCCUUUUUAACACUUUUGAGUAGUAGUUUAGGCCUUUUAACUCAAUUGACAUGUUAAGGAUCCUUUAAAGCAAUUUUGAUCACUUUGUGUAAGUUUUGGUGUUUUUGUUAGUAUUUUGAUCACCAAAGCAAGUCAAGAAUGAGGAGAGCUAUGAGGAAUCUUGGGCAAAGUUUAGAAUUCAAUUGCCAAGAGUGAAUCCGGAUUGCAAGGAGAAAAAGCAAAGAGAAUCUGUCAUGAAGCCUAUUCUUGAUGACAGUCGUAGCAGCCACUUUUGGAGCACUUUCUGAAGUCUAAAUGAUGCAAGCUAUAUACCAUUUCAAAGCUCAGGAAGUCAACAAUCCAAUGCUUCAAACGGUGCGCGAUUUGGAGUUGAAACGAAGAAGUUGCAGCCAUUACAAGCCAGUCACUCUGAAGUGCUGCGGAAUCAACCUUUUGUUGCGAGAAUUUCGCAACACUUUUGUACAGUAAGGUGUUUCUCCUUCUGACGAUGCACGAACCAUGCCGCGAGAGGGAAGCUAGAAACUUCAAGAUGGAAGCCAACUUUGCAGCCUGGUGAAGAUAGCUCGGUCUUGCGAAAUAAUUUCGCAGCCCUCUUGGGUGUCUGCGAAAUUUCGCAGACACCACUUUUCUCCUGCGAAAUGGCUCCUGAAGCCUCCCGAAGCUUGCUACCGACAUUGGGAGAUAUUUUCCAUUAGAUUUUUGUUGUCUAAAUCCCAAAAUACUCCUUGUAAACCACCAAUUACAUGAUUCCUUAGUUUUUAAGUUAGUAAAAAGACCAAAUAUCUUUGUAACAAUUAGUUUUAUAUUUUGUUGAUAUAAAUACCUCUCGGGAGCCUGUUCUCGGGGAGGAGUUCCUUCUGUAACCUUUUGGUAAGCAAGUAAAGUAUUUUCUUUCUACUGCCUUACCUUCUCACUUUGUAUUUUCAUUUUAUUUCUAAGUUAUGAAUUCUUUGAGGAGUUUUCCCCAGAGAAUGAGUAACUAAACCUCCAAUUCCUUGGAGCUAAGGUUGCCGGGGAAGGUUCCAAGUGCAAAAAUGCAAAACUCUGUGGUUUUAGCUAAUAAUGAAGAGGAAGUGAAAUCCUUUAGUGAUUUCAAUGUUUUUAGUUAACUUAAAACACUUUGGAGUCACCUAGGCCAACACUUGGUAAGGCAAGUGAUUUCCAACCGUGGAAAUGCACUAGUUUACCCCUUGCGAGCCUCUGGUAGGUGACUUCAAGGUAGGAUUUUCUGGAAUUACCAACACUUGGUAAGCUUUUGGACUCCUAGGAGACAUCCAUUAGUUAUCUCUUGCGAGUUUGUGAAGGGAAGUCCAAGGUUAAAGAUCACCUUGAAUGGUAAGUGCUCGUGAGAGGCAUGAACCAUUGCAAGUUGUAUCAGUGAGAGAAUUAAAGUGAAAUCUAAUUGAAGGAGUCUCUGUACAUCACCGGUUAGAGAAUUGACUAUAAGUUGAAUCUCUAAUGCGAGGAAAUGAACCAUCUGACCGGAGCUAUGUCUUUUGCAUGAGGAACCACCCCAGUGAACCUAAAUCUCCAAGGAAUGCUUUUCUUCCUAAAUUAUUCCAAACUUCUGUUAAGUUAGUUAGUUUAAGUCUCAACCUUUACCAAUCAAAGUUUGUGUUUUAUUUCUUAAACUAACCGUGAAAUGAAACAAAACCAAUUCACUUGGAAUUGGUAUCCUUGAUUGCUUGCAAAUCAUUCCCAGUGAACGAUCCUUAGAGCCACUAUACUAUAGUAGCUUUGUAUUUGCUACCCUAGUGUAUGGUGUUAUAGGUAUAAAUUUUGUUGAUCACUUCCUCAAUCAAGGAGCACCAGCUGAACACAAAUCAGCUGAGACACCAAUUGGGCAUGAGUCAGUCCAAACAAGGGAUGAAGGAGUAUGCAUUUGAAGUGAAGAUCAUCAGUCCAUUGAGGCAUCAGAACUUGGUGCAGCUCAUGGGCUGGUGCCAUAACAAAAGAGAGCUCGUAUUGGUUUGUGAGCUCAUUCCAAAUGGCAACUUAAGCUCCUGUCUUUUGGAAGAAAAAACCCUGCUAACAUGGGCAAUGAGGUAUAAAAUUGCUCUUGGCUUGGCCUCUUCGUUGCUCUACCUACAUGAAGAAUGGGAACAAUGUGUGGCACAUAGGGAUAUCAAAUCGAGUAAUGUGAUGUUGGACUCAGAUUUCAAUGCCAAGCUUGGAGAUUUUGGACUAGCCAGGCUUGUUGAUCAUGGGAAAGGGUCACAAACCACAGUUUUAGCUGGAACAUGGGAUACAUGGCUCCUGAAUGUCUCAUGACAGGCAAGGCCAAUAAGGAAACUGAUGUCUAUACUUUUGGGAUUGUUGCCUUAGAAAUCUGCUGUGGGAGAAGUCCUGUGGAACCAAUAGCUAAAGAGAAGCAGAUCAGAUUGGUGGAAUGGGUCUGGGACCUCUAUGGAUUAGGAAAGCUUUUCGAUGACGCUGAUCUAAGACUAUCCAAUGAUUUUGAUGAAUAACAAAUGGAACGAUUGAUGAUUUUUGGGCUUUGGUGUGCUCACCCAGAUUGCGAUCUUCGACCUUCAAUAAGGCAAGCAAUUAAUGUCCUUAAUUUGGAAGCUUCACUACCAAGGCUUCCUUUAAAAAUGUUUGUGCCAAUGUAUUAUUCUCCUCUAGUGCUACAAACAAUAUCGGGUGGCGCCACCAUCUCUGAGAGCAGCCACACCCAGUUUUCCGACUUCUCAAACAACACAACCUCAUCAUCAAAGCUCUUUGAAUCUCCUAGUUCAGCCUCUACUCCAUCUGUAUCCCUUUUGCACUGUCAUGUGAAGUAAUUUUAAUUAAUUUAUUUAAAGAUAUUUUGGUUUAUUGAGUUAGUUCAAAUAACCAGUAGUGGUGGGCUAGAGAGUGGAUAACGUGAGCUAUUCUUUAGCUAGCUAUUGUUUAGUAAUUGUUGUUGUUUAAUCUCUAAUUUGUUGAGUUUGUUAAGUUAUAAAUUUCCUUAGUCUUGAGCAAUAAAAUCAUUAGAUGAAAAUUUUCCAAAAACAUGUCUUUGUUUUCUACUUUCCAAAUUCUUUCAAUUCUGCUCAUAUUUUGUCUUAGCAACAUAGCUCGAGGGCGAGGGAGGGGACGGGAUCAUGCCAUUAACUUAGAACAUGACAAAGUGGUAUCAGAGCUAGUUAUGGCUGACGAUCAACGACUCCAAAGGCAUGAAAAUCAGGUUGAGAACCUGAGUUCAGGUCGAGAACCUGAGUUCAGGUCAAGAAAGGCUCCUUAAGCAAAUGGAAGAACCAGUAGGGGCAAUGAACUCCCUAUUCAACUUGCCAGAAGAAGGGUCCAUCAAUAGGAAUUAGGGACCACAUGGACAGGGUGGUGCUGGGUAUGCAGGUGGACUAGUGGUUCCUAAGCUUGCAAAGCUUGAUUUUCCUUGCUAUGAUGGCUCGGAAGAUCCAACUCUAUGGAUUUGCCGCGCAGAACAAGUCUUUGAAUUUCAAGGGACAUCAUUGGAAGAUCAAGUCAAAUUAGCAACCUAUCACUUGGAAAAAGAUGCUCAAUUGUGGUACCAACAAUGGAAAAAUCAAGGUCACUUGGUUACUUGGAUGGAAUGAAGGCGGGAUUGCUAGAGAGGUUUGUUGUAACUGAAUAUGAAGAUUCCUUUGGAGACUUAUGCAAGCUUAAGCAGACAGGAACUAUUUUCGACUAUCAAACUCAAUUUGAAAGGCUUCUAGCAUGGGCCGACACUUUAACAAAUAGACAAGAAGCUGAGUGUUUCAUUAGUGGAUUGAACGAUGGGCUAAGGAUGAUGUAAGAGUCCAAAACCCUCAAAAUUUGUCUACUACAAUUAGGUUAGCAUGUACUUAUGAACUCAAAGCCCAAGAAGUGAGGCGCCCAACCAAUUCUCCUCUUUAGUUCGCAACUCCAACAACCAACGGAACACCUUAACCCCUAGUGGUGCGAAAGGCACCAAUCCAGAGAGAAUUUUACCAAUCCAUAAAUUAUCUUCAACCGAACUCUAAAGGCGCCGAUAGCAAGGGUUGUGCUACAACUGUGAUGAAAACUAUACAAUGGGUCAUAUAUGCAAGAAAUCGUUCUUCAUUAAACUAGAAGAAGAGAAUGAAGAAGCCAUAGAAGAAGACUAUGUAGAAGAGACACUAGUUAUCUCUUUACAUGCCUUGGCUAGAGUCAAUCUCCACAAACUAUGCGGAUCCACUCACAGAUGGGUAAGACUUCACUGACAAUUUUAAUUGAUUCUGGUUCCACUCAUAAUUUUUUGCAUCACAAAUUUGCCAAAAUCAUCGGACUUAAGUUGGAAAGGAGCUGUUUGUUUAGCUUGGUGGUUGCCAAUGAGGAGAGGUUGUCAAGUCCUGGGCGUUGUAAUGGAGUAAAAUUAUCCUUGCAAGGCAUCCCAAUUGAGGUAGAUUUUUUCUUACUUCCUUCAGAAGGUUGUGAUGUUAUUCUAGGAGUACAACAGUUAGGUACUCUUGGUCCAAUUUUGUGGGAUUUUGGAAGAAUGCAAAUGCAAUUCACUAUAGCUGGGUGAAAGGUGUUGCUACAAGGUUCAACCUCCUCAGAACUUCGGGCUCUUGAAUGUGAUACUAUUUUUAGAACAUUGAGGCAAAGUGAUGGUAGGGGAAUUAUCUUAUAGCUUUGUGCAAUCCGACAUGAGCCUACAAAUCAUAAGGAGUUACUAUCGGAUGCAAUGGCGCCAUUGCUCAUUGAGUUCAGUGAAUUGUUUAAAGCACCUACGAGAUUACCACAUCCACGCUCUCAUGACCACAGGAUUCCCCUCCAGCCAAGAGCAAGUCCAAUUUGAGUACACCCUUAUCAAUACAUGCAUUUUCAAAAACAAGAGAUUGAAUGGUUGGUGGAGGAGAUGUUAUCAUAGGGUAUAAUUCGUCCUAACCAAAGCCCAUUUUCCUCUCCGGUACUUUUGGUGUGAAAACAUGAUGGGAGUUGGAGGUUUUAUGUGGACUAUUGAGCGCUAAGCUGGGUUACGAUCAAAGAUAAGUUUCCAAUUCCGGUUAUAGAUGAAUUGUUAGAUGAGAUACAUGGUGCCAAAUGCUUCACCAAAUUGGAUCGUAGAUCUAGUUAUUUUCAAAUUCUUCACCAAACAGCCUUCUGAACUCACCACGGGCACUUUGAAUUUUUGGUAAUGCCUUUCGGCCCCUCUAACACCCCAUCUACAUUUCAAUCACUCAUGAAUGAGAUUUUUAAGGCUCAUCUAAGAAAAUUCAUUUUUGUAUUCUUUGAUGACAUUCUAAUUUAUAGUAGCACAUGGGUUGAACAUUUGAAACAUGUUAGAAUUGCAUUUUCCAUCUCAUCAUCUUGUAGUCAAGAAAGAAAAAUGUCAGUUUGGGCAUACACAAAUCAAAUAUUUGGGGCAUAUCAUUUGUCAAAAUGGUGUGAAUGUGGAUCUAGAAAAAAUAAAGGCAAUGAUGGAAUGGCCAAAACCAACAAUUAUCAAAGCUUUGAGGGGUUUUUUAGGACUAACGGGUUAUUAUCAAAAGUUUAUUGUAGGUUAUGGCAAAAUUGCAGCUCCUUUGGCUGACAUGUUGCGAAAAAAUGUUUUUUCUUAGUCUCAAAAAGCGGAAGAAGCAUUUGAAUUAUUGAAACAAACCAUGAUAUAGGCUCCAGUUUUAGCCUUGCUAAAUUUCCAGCUCUUAUUUUUGGUGGAAUGUGAUACAUCGGGGAAUGGAUUAGGAGUUGUUCUAAUGCAAGAACAAAGACCUAUUGCUUAUUUCAGCACUGUCUUGAAGGAAAAACACCUUUUGUUGUCCACUUAUGAAAAAGAACAUAUGACACUUGUUCUUGUGGUAAAAAAAAUGGCGACCUUACUUGCUUGGCCGUCAUUUUAUGGUCCGAAUUGACCAAUGCAACCUCAAAUUUAUUUGGGAGCAAGGAAUAAUGAUUGAACUGCAACAAAAAUGGUUGCUCAAAUUAAUGGGUUAUGACUUCUCCAUCGAAUUCAAGAGGGGUAAGAAUAAUAUGGCAACAGAUGCUUUAUCAAGAAAGGACACACAAGGGGAAUUCAAUGCAGUCUCUAGUCUCCUACCCCAAUGGUUGGAAUCCAUUAAGGUUGAGAAUCAAUCACACCUGGAGCUGCAACAAAUUCAUCACUUGCAUGAGCAAGGAGAGACUAUUGGACCAUGGGAAAAUCGAAAUGGCAUAAUAUUCUUUAAGAAACAUAUCUAACUUCCAUCUAACUCAAAACUCAUCCCAAUCAUUCUCCAAGAAAUUCAUGGCAUUGGGAAUGAGGGUCUUUACAAAAAUCUUCAUCGAGUGAAGGAGGUAUUUUAUUGGAGGAAAUGAGGAAGGUUACACUAGAUUACAUCAAGUAAUGUGAUGUUUGUCAAAGCCAUAAGAUAGAUCACCAAAAGCCAACAGGUCUUCCCCAACCAUUGCCUAUUCCUACAUAGGUAUGGGCAGACAUCUCUAUGGAUUUUAUUGAUGGCCUACCCCCUUAUAAGGGGAAGACAAUACUCCUUGUGGUGGUGGAUCGAUUUUCCAAAUAUGCACAUUUUAUUCCAAUGUCUCACCUUUACAUUGCACCAAAAGUGGCUCAAACAUUCUUUGAAAAUGUGUUUAAACUCCAUGGCAUGCCAAGUUCAAUAGUAUGUGAUUGGGACUCUACUUUUAUAAGUGCUUUUUGGAAAGAGCUUUUCAAAUUGCAGGGCACUAGCUUCAAUUUCAGCUCAUCUUACCACCCCCAAACAGAUGGCCAAACUGAAGCAGUGAAUUGGGCUCUUGAGAUGUACCUGUGUUGUUUUACUAGUUCAAGACCAAAGGAGUGGGUUCAAUGGGUUCCUUGGGCUGAAUUCUAUUACAACACCAAUCUAAAAGCUUCUACUCGCAAAACUCUCUUCAAAGUGGUGUAUGAAAAAGAGCCCCCCAACUUGCUUCCUAUUUUCCUAGUACAUCAAAAGUUGAAGUUGUAGAUAACAUGCUCCAAGUAAGAGAUAAAGUUGUAAAAGACUUAAGAUGUCAGCUCCAAUAAGCACAAGCUAGAAUGAAGACCCCUUAUGACCAAGGGAGAGUUGAGAGAGAAUUUGUUGUUGGUAAUUGGGUAUAUCUACGGCUACAACCUUAUCGACAAACUUCGUUGGCUUUGAGACAGUCACAUAAACUCUUCCCGCGAUUUUAUGGGCUAUACCAUGUGCUAGAACGAAUUGGUUCGGUGGCUUAUUGACUUGAUCGGGACCAGGAAGUAAGAUUCAUCUAAUUUUCCAUGUGUUGACCCUAAAAAAAUGGUAAGGUACAACUGAUAAAAUUGAUUAUCCUUUUCCAUUAGUAUCAGAAACAUUAGGUCACUUGCAACCUCAGCCUAUAGUAGUUCUAAAUUCUCUCAGCAAUGGGCAUAAACAUGAACUACUUUAUUUAGUGGCAGAGGCUCCUAACAACAGAUCCUACUUGGAAGGAUGAGUACCAACUUCGAAACAAAUUUCCAGACUUUGUGUGUCCUUGAGGACAAGGACGAUUCCAAGGAGGGAGGAAAUGUCAUGUGCAACAAUUUUAAUUUAUUUAUUUCAAAUAUUUUGGUUUAUUGAGUUAGUUCAAAUAACUAGCAGUAGUAGGGCUAGAGAGUGGUUAACAUGAGUUAUUCUUUAACUAGCUAUUUUUUAAUAAUUGUUGUUGUUUAAUCUCUAAGUUGUUGAGUUUGUUAAGUUAUAAAUUUCCUUAUUCUUGAGCAAUAAAAUCAUUAGAUAAAAAAUUUCCAAAAACUUGUCUUUGUUUUCUGAUUUCCAAAUUCUUUCAAUUCUGUUCAUAUUUUGUCUUAGUUACAUAGCUCGAGGGCAAGAUAGGGGACAAGGGAGGGGAUGGGAUUAUGCCAUUAACUUAGAAUGUGACAUGCACACAUGCUAAUUGGGUUGGAAACAUCGCCUCUAUGCUUUUGAAUUUGUAAUAUAUUUGCAAUUGUGGUCAUAUAUGAUUCCAGUUCUCUAUUUAUUUGACAUCUUGUUCAACUUUGUUAUAUACAUAAAGAAAAUCAUUUUAAGCAAUUUUUUAGGAUAUGAAAUUAAGUCUAUACUCAAGGAGGAAAAAAUCGGCGAAAUAUCGCCGAUAUAUCUCGUGUCGACGGGUGGCGACAUGACAAAUGGAGGAGAUAAGUCGGCUGGGCGAUUUUUCGCCAAAAAUCGCCAAAAAAAUCGGCGAUAAAUCGCCGAUAUAUCGACGACAUAGGAUAAAUCGGCGAUUUAUCGCCGAUUUUUUGGCGAAAAAUCGCCCCUCUCUCUCCAGUGUGAUCUGACGGCCCAGAUCACGCCCGUGUUGAUCCAACGCCCAGAUUUGAAUCCCAACAUUAACAAAGAGAUCCAACGGCCAGAUUGCUUCCAAAUUGUGAUCCAACGGCCAAAAUUAAUUUUAAACGGUAACUUAAGGUUCCAACGGCUAUUUUGGCCCAAAUUUCAUCUAUAAAUAGCCAAUUUUGCAUCAAUUUCAUCCAUCUUUGCUUUGAUUCUUCAUUUGCUCUCUUACUACUCCAAUUUUUUCCAAGAUUGCUCAAUUAUUCAAUCAUUUUAAGGUAUGUUUGUUUGAAAUUAUAAUUAAUUUUGUUUGCAAUAAUUAAUUCAUGUAUUUUUAAUUAAUUAGUAUGUUUACAUUCAAUUGUAAUUAUUUUGUAUAUUUUUAUUGAAUUAAUUUAGGUUAUGAUAUAUUUAUUUUAGAUGAUUAUUUGUGAUUUAAAUUCGUAUUUAGAAUUACAUUAAACUAAUUAACUUAGCUAAAUUGUUUAAUUAAUUUAAUUAACAUAGUAAAUUAUGUAAUUAAUUUAAUUAACAUGGUUAAAUAUGCUCAAUUUUUUAUAUUGUCGCGAUUUUUUUUUCAUAUUCAAUUAUGAUUAAUUUCAAUAUUUAGUAAAUUUGUCAUAAAAUUACAUUUAGAUUUUAAAAAUUAACUUAGGUAAUUUAUUUAAUUAGUUUAAUUAACAUGAACUACUAUAUAUGGAAUAUUAAAUAUGCUCAAUUUUUUAUAUUAUCGCGAUUUUUUUUCAUAUUCAAUUAUGAUUAAUUUCAAUAUUUAGUAAAUUUGUCAUAAAAUUACAUUUAGAUUUUAAAAAUUAACUUAGGUAAUUUAUUUAAUUAGCUAAAUUAACAUGAACUACUAUAUAUGGAAUAUUAAAUAUGCUCAAUUUUUUAUAUUAUCGCGAUUUAUUUUCAUAUUCAAUUAUAAUUAAUUUCAAUAUUUAGUAAAUUUGUCAUAAAAUUACAUUUAGAUUUUAAAAAUUAACUUAGGUAAUUUAUUUAAUUAGCUAAAUUAACAUGAACUACUAUAUAUGGAAUAUUAAAUAUGCUCAAUUUUUUAUAUUAUCGCGAUUUAUUUUCAUAUUCAAUUAUAAUUAAUUUCAAUAUUUAGUAAAUUUGUCAUAAAAUUACAUUUAGAUUUUAAAAAUUAACUUAGGUAAUUUAUUUAAUUAGCUAAAUUAACAUGAAAUACUAUAUAUGGAAUAUUAAAUAUGCUCAAUUUUUUAUAUUAUCGCGAUUUAUUUUCAUAUUCAAUUAUGAUUAAUUUCAAUAUUUAGUAAAUUUGUCAUAAAAUUACAUUUAGAUUUUAAAAAUUAACUUAGGUAAUUUAUUUAAUUUGUUUAAUUAACAUAGAUUUAAAUUUAAGCGUAUUUUUCUUGCAAUAGAUUUAGCAUGGCUAGUGAAGGUGGUUUUGCCGUGCCAGGGCGAGAUCCGGCUUGGAAGUAUUGUUUACAAAUUGAGGGUAAUCGAAAUGGAACAAUUUGUAAUUUUUGUGGGUUGGUAAUGAAAAGUGGAGGCAUCACACGAUUCAAGUCUCAUUUAAUGCAUAAGGACCCGCAUAACAACACCAAAAAGUGUCCAAGAGUACCGCCCGAAGUGAAAGAAGAGAUACGAUUGUUGGUGCAUGACAAACAAAAAGCAAAAGCAAAGAAAAAUGCUGAUAUUGAAGAAAUUUGUAGUCAAUUACGUGGCACAAUGGGGACGCAUCAUACACAUUUGGUAAACGAAGAUGAUGAUGAUGAAUAUGCUGAGGAUGAAGAUGUGUAUAUGUAUCCGACAGAUAUGCACCCAGAUGAGCGAGAUGCAUAUCGAUCUACAGUUCGUGCCUCGAAAGCAUCUAAUUGGGAACGUGAACAACAUGAGAAUAUUGUAGGAAGCAAACGCAAAUCGGGAGAGUCUUCUACUGGUAUACCAUCGACGAUGCGAAAAUCACAGAGUAUGUGACAUUCACAUGAUUCACCCCCUAUUGCCCCUUCGCUUUACAAGUCUUCUGCAGCAAAACAAAAAAAUAUCAAAGAUAUAUUCAAGGGUGGUGCAAUUAAAGAAACGAUGGGACGCUUAAUCAGCAAAUUCUUCAUUUAUGAGAGUGUCGCACCCGCAAAAGCAAAGUCUCAUCACUUCAAGAAUAUGAUUAUUGGUGCACAACAAGCAGGUAAUUACUAAUUUAUCAAAUGUUAUAUUGUGUUAUACUUUUAGUAAGUAUAGUAUUUUGUGACAUGUUUUACAUAUGAAGUGCAGGAAUGAGAAUUGAACCUCCAUCUCCAUAUGAAAUGAAGAACAAAUACUUGGAAAUGGAGUACAAAGAAAUGGAAGCUUAUGUGAACCAACAAAGGGAAAAAUGGAAGACAUAUGGGUGCACAAUAAUGUCAGAUGGAUGGACAGGGCCCACGAAAUUAAGUAUUAUUAAUUUCAUGGUUUAUUCUAAAGGGACCAUGGUGUUCCUUAAGUCAGUCGAUGCAUCGAACUAUAUCAAAGACCACAAGUAUAUAUAUGAGCUUUUGAAGACUAUUAUCAAAGAAGUCGGUAAGGAAAAUGUGGUCCAAAUUUUCACAGAUAAUGGGUCGGCAUUCAUGAAAGCAGGGAAACAAUUGAUGAAGAAGUAUAACUUAUAUUGGACUCCGUGUGCGGCACACUGCAUCGACUUAAUCUUUGAAGACAUCGGUAAAAGACCCAAUGUUAUCGAGGUGAUAAACAAUGCUCGCAAGAUAACUAACUUCAUUUACAAUCAUGGUUGGUUACUAGCACAAAUGAGAAAGUAUUGUGGUGGAGACAUUGUUCGACCAGGAGCUACAAGGUUUGCUACCAAUUAUAUUGCUCUUGACAGUCUUCUAAAAAAAAGGGCUGAUUUGAAAAAAUUGUUUAUGAGUGAUGAAUGGGCACAACACAAACUCAGUCGAACAAAACUUGGAUGAGAAUUGGAGCAAUUAUUGUUUGACCAUACGUAUUGGGACAGAUUGACAAAUAUAGUUUCAUUAUAUGAGUCAUUAUACGUGGUGCUUCGACUUGUGGAUUCUGAAGUUGUUCCCACAAUGCCAUUUGUGUACGAGCUUAUGCACGUGAUGAAAGAGAACCUUAUUCGUCAAGGAGCUGGAGAUUGGAUGUUCAAAAUAAUACAAGAUCGUUGGCAGAAAACACUAAAACAUCCACUUCAUGCAGCAGGUACUUAAAUACUAUAUAUCUUUAUAAGUUUUUACUUUGUAUUUAAGUUUCUUUUUUUUUAAAAAUACUAACUCUACUAAAUUUUAUGGUAGCAUACUUCUUGAAUCCAAGAUUUCAAUAUAGGCGUGGAGUUGGUAGUGAUCCGGAACUACUUCAAGUUGUCCAUGAUGUUUUUGCGAAAUUAGAUCCAACUACUGAAUCGCUUGGUCAAUUUGGAAAUGAGGUGAAUAAAAAAUUGUUAUUUUUGUCAAUAAAACAAUAAUUUCAUUCAUCAAUUUAUUUGAACGUUUACUAACAAAUUAAAUGUUGAAUACAUAGCUUGUACUUUUUCGAGAUGCAAAAAGAGGAUUCGGUGAUCGAGCGGCAAUUGCAUCAAGGUCAACCAUGGUGCCCGGUGAGUCUUUAUAGGAAAAAUUUGAUUAUUAUUAUUGUAAGUUCACCACAUAAGUAUUUAUAUGAUUAUCAAAUUCGUUGCAGCUGAAUGGUGGUUUAUGUAUGGGAAUCAAACACCUACAUUGAGAAAGUUAGCCAUCAAAGUUCUCUCACAAACUGCGUCAUCUUCUGCAUGUGAGAGAAAUUGGAGCACGUUUGCUCUCAUCCACACAAAGCAACGAAAUCGUUUGGCUUACUCUUGAUUGGAGCAAUUAGUGUUUUGUUACUAUAAUAUGAGGCUAAAGUUACGCGAUAUGGAGGCAGAAAAUGAUCGAGUUGCUGAAAAAGAUUACCUUGAUCUUCUUGACAUUUUAGCCGAGGUGGGUGAAGAAGAAGAUAAUCAGUUGUUCCAGUGGGUUAGGCCUAUACACUUGGAUGACGAAGUUGGAAAUCCUGAUCCAUGAAUUGCCGCUCAUGCUCGAGAAUUUGGAGUUAAUGUUGAACGUGUGUUGUCCGAAGAAGUUCACUCUGAAAGUUUUAGCAAAGAUACUGAUGAUUCCCUUCAUGCGACAUAUUCCCACCAAGAGAUUGACUCCACAAGUGCUGGCCAUAGUAGUAGACCUAGUGCUGCAGGUACUUCUGCUUCUGGUUACGAUGGUUCAAGAGGUGGAACUGAUGAUGGCGGUGAUAAUGGGGGAGGAGAUAUUGAUGAACGUCGACAUAGUCAAUAUCCAAUCAACCAAUUUACUUGUGAAAAUGAUUUCACACACUGCACACAGGAUGAAGACCAUGGCUCUAGAAGAGCUGGUCCAGGCAUAGGAGCUAUUGGGAGGCCUUAUAGAGGAAGAGAACGAAUGAUGGAACCAUAUAACGAGGAGUUACUUUCAGGGAGUUUUGAAUUUAUGAGUAUAGGGACUCAAUUUAGUGACUCCUCGAAUGAGGCUAACGUCUACCCUCCUCAUGUGAUGAGUUAUGGUCAACCUUCAAGUUCAACAGAUGAAGAGUAUGGUAUGUCGUAUUAUUCCCCUUCCAGACAAAUGCCAUACCAAAUUCCAUAUCAGAUGGAAGAAGGAUUUGGCGUUAACACAUGGGUGAACUUUGAGUAUCCUAUCCAUGUAGAAGCAGUAGGCAGGACUCAAGAGAUAUAUGCAUGGCAUGUUAGAAUUUAUAACCAAUAUUAUCGAGGCUCAUUGACUUGGUACCAAUAUUGUCUCCAACAGCAAGCCGGGGUUCCUUCAUCUAUCAAUCCCAUUGAACCACAUCGAAACUCAUUUUGGUACUAAAGGGACAUUGCAAUGUAAUGUGUACAAAUUAUUGUUAUUUAAUGAAAUGAAGUAUUUGAUGUGACUUUAUAAUGAGAACAAUUAUGAAAUUAACAUUUCUUAUAGAUCGACAUGAUAUAAUUACAUCUAAUAUCGCAAAUUAUAUCAUAUAUAUAUCAAAUUUUUCAAUAAAACAAUUUUAAAAUGUCUAUUAUACUUCUAAUUAUAUUAUUAUGAGGUUUUUCUUGCAUUUCCAUGAGUUUUUAACAAUUUUAAGCCUACCAAUAAUAUCCACCGAUAUAUCUCCGAUAUAUCCAAAAAUAUCUCCGAUAUAUCCGAUAUAUCUUUAAAAUCGAAUUACCGAUAUAUCCGUGAUUACCGAUAUUUUCAUCCUUGUCUAUACUAAUUUUGCAUGGUUGGAAAUGAUUGGUUAACUUAUCUGAAUUUGAUGAAUUGUGCUUUAAAUUGGUAGCAUAAGAAACUUGAUUCAUUAAGACUCCAGCUUGAUUACAUAUAUAACAGACUUUAAAUUUCCAAAGAGUUUAAAUGGCUUAUAUGAAAUAGGUAGGAACAAUAUAAUGCUAGUGCAAGCUUGUUUUCAUGAUCUGCUGUUCACUGCAUGUUAGCAUAUAUAUAUAUAUAUACUCAAGGUCUUCCAUUCCACUAACCUAAGAGAUGCCAAGAAAUCUCUAUUUGAAGUUCUUUUCAAAGGACUUAAUCACUCACCAUUUAAAGGAAUUGCUCACCAUGUGUCGAAAAAAUAAAAAAUAAAUAAACAAGAAAUCUCUAGUUGAAGCUUUAUCAUUGGAUGAAUUGCUCUUCAUUUGUUAAAAAAAUAACAAUAAAAAUAAAAUGUAAGUAAAAAAUAAAGCCUUGUCUGGAGUUUUUCUCUUUGGAAGGAUUUCUCAACAAUUGGGAAAUGUAGACAACGAAUAAGAAAACAUACUUUGAUGUUUAUUUGCUGCUAAUGAAAGCAACUCAGGGGAUGUUAUUAGGGCUUAGCAUAUGGAGUGAUUGACCAUUGUGAAUAGAUGUGCUAGAGUCUAACAGACUUAAUUUGAUGCUUGACAUGGUGGUCAUUUUGCAUUCGUCCUAAGGUUGAGCCUCGACUGAUGGGUUGAUGUGGACAUGUAGAGAACCUUUUUUGUACUAGGCUCAUUGUUUGCCUUGAUGGAACAAGGACUUUAAUUUUUUUUUUUUUAAAUGUAACUAUGAAGGAUGUUACAUUACUCCUAAUGCAUAAAGAAAAUGAUAAAGAAAAACGCACUAUGGUUAAGUUUACAAUACAAUUUUUACCUGAACUUAAUUAUAGUUGAGUUGCAUUAACAAAGAACUUAACUAGGUUUAAGUUCGUAGUCACAAUACUCACUUAAACUUAAUUAUAGUUAAGUUGUAUUAAUUGAGAACUUAACUAGGGUUAAGUUCUUAGUCACAUUUUUUACUUGAACUUAAUUAUGGUCGAGUUGCCUUAAUUAAGUACUUAAAUUCUAGUUAAGUUGUCAACUAAAAUGUUUAUAUGACCUUUAACUUAUGAUUGAUUUUCAUUUAGAAAGAGUUUACACAUUAAUUUAUUAAGUUUUAUGGACCUCAUACGGUUUGGAUAUUGAUUAAAUAAGUCAAUUACACAUAGGGAGUGUGGAAUUGAUGCUUGGAAAAAUCAAAAUCGAAAAAUACUAAAAAAAUUAAAUCAUCACAUUCUUUGUACCCUCCCAAAUCUCCACUUCUUUUGAUUUUUUUUUUAAAUUGGACCUCACAUGGCUUGGAUAUUGAUCAAAUAGGUUAAUUACACUUAAGGGGAGUUCAAUUGAUGCCUAGAAAAAUCGAAAUCCAAAAAUAUUAAAAAAUUAGCAAAGGUCUGAAGAAUGUGAGGAAUAGGGUAAUUCUUGGUACCCUUCAAAAUCUCCACUUCUUUGAACCUUAAAAAAAGAAAAAAAAACAAUUCCUCAUAUGACUUAGAUAUUGUUUAAAUAGGUCAAUUACACUUAGAGGGUGUGCAAUUGAUACCCGAAAAAAUUGAAAUUGAAAAAUAUUAAAAAAUUAUCAAGGGUAUGAAGAAUGUGAGGAAUCCUCACAUUCUUCGUACCCUCCAAAAUCUCCACUUCUUUGAGUUUCUUUAAAAAAAAAAAAAAAAAAAAAAAACCUCAUAUGGCUUGGAUAUUUAUUAAAUAGGUUAAUUACAUUUAAGGAAUGUGCAAUUGAUGCUUAGAAAAAUAAAAAAAAAAUUCCAAAAAUACUAAAAAUUUCCACUUCUUUGAGUUUUUUUUUUUUUUUUUUUUUUUUUUUAUAAUUUGAACCUCAUAUAGUUUGGAUAUUGAUCAAAUAGGUUAAUUACACUUAAGGGGUGUUCAAUUGAUGUCCAGGAAAAUCAAAACCGAAAACUACUAAAAAAAAAUUAAAUCCUCACACUCUUCGUAUCCUCCCAAAUCUCCACUUCUUUGAGUUUUUAUUUUUUAUUUUUUAAUUGGACCUUACAUGGGUUGGAUAUUGAUUAAAUAGGUUAAUUACAUUUAAGGAUUGUUCAAUUGAUACUCGAAAAAGUCAAAAUCCAAAAAUACUAAAAAAAAUAACAAAGGAACGAAGACAUUCUUUUUACCAUCCAAAAUCUCCAAUUCUUUAAACUUUUCAAAAAACAAAAACUUUCUAUCUCAUAUGGCUUGGAUAUUAUUUAAAAAGGUUUAUUACAUUUAGGGGUGUGGAAUUAAUACCCAAAAAAAUCAAAAUAAAAAAUACAAAAAAUUAGCAAGGGUACAAAGAAAGUGAGGUCACAUUCUUCGUAUCCUCCAAAAUCUCCAUUUCUUUGAGUUUUUUUGAAAAAAAAAUAAAAAAUGGACCCCAUAUGAAUUAGAUAUUAAUUAAAUAGGUUAAUUACACUUAGAGGGUGGUCAAUUGAUGUCCUAGAAAAUCGAAAUCCAAAAAUAUUAAAAAAUUAGCAAGAAUACGAAAAACAUGAAGAAUCCGCAAAUUCUUCCUACCAUCCAAAAUCUCCACUUCUUUAAGUUUCUUUAAAAAAAAGUUGGACCUCAUAUGACUUGGAUAUUGUUUAAAUUGGUCCAUCAUAGUAAGGGCAUAUGGAAUUGAUGCUAAAAAAAAAAUCAAAAUUGAAAAAUACUAAAAAAAAAUUAAAUUCCUACCUUCUAUGUACCCUCCCAAAUCUCUACUUCUUUGAGGUUUUUUUUUUCAAAAUAAAUAAAUAAAUAAAUUGGACCUCAUAUGCUUGAAUAUUGAUUAAAUAGGUUAAUUACAUUUACGGGUGUUCAAUUGAUGUUCAAAAAAAUUGAAAUCUAAAUAUACUAAAAAAAUUAGCAAAAGUACAAAGACAUUCUUCGUACCUUCCAAAUCUUCAUUUCUAUGAGUAAAAAAAAAAAUAUAUAUGUCUCAUAUGGAUUGGAUAUUGUUUAAAUAUGUUAAUUAUAAUUAGGGGGUGUGAAAUUGAUGUCCAAAAAAAUCGAAAUCCAAAAAUAUUAAAAAAUUAUCAAGAAUACAAAUAAUGUGAGGAAUGUCUCACAUUCUUCAUACCCUAAAAAAUCUCCACUUCUUUGAGUUGUUUAAAAAAAAAUUUGGACCUCAUAUGGCUUGUAUAUUGAUUAAAUAGGUCCAUUACACUAAGAGUGUUCGGAAUUGAUGCCCCAAAAAAUUGAAAUCGAAAAAUACUAAAAAAUUAAAUCCUUACAUUCUUCAUACCCUCCUAAAUCUCCACUUAUUUGAGUUUCUCAAAAAAAGUUUUUGACCUCAUAUGACUUGGAUAUUGAUUAAAUUGGUCCAUUACACUAAAAAAAAAAUUAAAUAAAAAAAUACUAAAAAAAUUAAAUCGAAAAAUACUAAAAAAAUUAAAUUCUUACAUUCUUCAUACCCUCCCAAAUCUUCACUUUUUAAAAUUUAUAAAAAAAAAAAAAUUAUACCUCAUAUGGCUUGGAUAUUGUUUAAAUAGGUUAAUUUUCACUUAGGGGGUGUGGAAUUAAUGCCAAAAAAAAAAUCAAAAUACUAAAAUACUAAAAAAUUAGCGAGGGUAUGAAAAAUGUGACAUCACAGUCUUUGUACCUUCCAAAAUCUUCACUUCUUUAAGUUUCUAAAAAAAAUAAAAAUUGGACCUCAUAUGGCUUGGAUACUGAUUAAAUAAGUUAAUUGCACUUAAGAGGUAUUCAAUUAAUGCCCUGAAAAAUCAAAAUCCUAAAACACUAAAAAUUAGCAAAGAUACAGAGAAUGUGAAAAAUCCCUCACAUUCUUCAUACCGUCCAAAAUCUUCACUUCUUUGACUUUAAAAUACUAAAAAAAUUAGCAAGGGUAUGAAGAAUGUGAGGAAUCCUCACCUCAUAUUCUUCAUACCCUCCAAAAUCUCCACUUCUUUGACUUACAAAAUUUUUUUUAGACCUCAUAUGACUUUAAUAUUGAUUAUAUAGGUUAAGUACACUUAGGGGGUGUUAAAUUGUUGCUUGAAAAAAUUGAAAUCUAAAAAUACUAAAAAAUUAGCAAUGUAAUGAAUAAUGUAAGGAAUUCUCACAUUCUUUGUACCCUCCCAAAAUCUCCACUUCUUUAAACUUCUUUAAAAAAAAAAAUUAUACCUCAAAUGGUUUGGAUAUUGUUUAAAUAGGUUAAUUACACUUAGGAGGUGUGAAAUUGAUGUUCAGAAAAAUCGAAAUCGAAUAAUACUGAAAAAUUUGUAAGGGUAUAGAGAAUAUGAAAAAUCCUCACAUUAUUCGUACCCUCUAAAAUUUUUAUUUUUUUUUUAGUUUAUAAAAAUAUUUUUGGAUCUCAUAUUGCUUGGAUAUUGAUUAAAUAAGUCAAUUACACUUACGGGGUAUUCAAUUGAUGCUUGGAAAAAUCCAAAUCCAAAAGUACUAAAAAAAUUAGCAAGGGUACGAAGAGUAUGAGGAAUCCUCAUGUUCUUUAUACCUUCCAAAAUCUCCACUUUUUUUAAGUUUAAAAAAAUUUCUUUGGAUCUUAUGCUAAAAUACUAAUAAAGGGUAUGAAGAAUACGUGGAAUCCUCACAUUAUUCAUAUCCUCCAAAAUCUCCACUUCUUUGAGUUUUUUUUUUUUUUUAUUUAAAAAAAUGGACCUUAUAUGGCUUAGAUAUUGAUUAAAAAGAUUAUUUACACUUAGGGCUGGUAAAAUUGAGGUCUAGAAAAAUUGAAAUCGAAAAAUACUAAAUAAUUAGUAAGGGUAUGAAGAAUGUGAGGAAUCCUCACAUUUGUAACUUCCCAAAUCUCCUCUUAUUUGUGAUUUUAAAUCAUUUUUUGACCUUAUAUGGUUUAGAUAUUGAUCAAAUAGAUUAAUUACACUUCAAGGGUGUCCAAUUGAUGUCUAAAAAAAAAAAAAAAAAAAUUCUAAAUCCAAAACUACUUAAAAAUUAGUAAGAGUGCGAAGAAUGUGAGAAAUCUUCACAUUCUUCGUACCCUCCAAAAUCUCCGCUUCCUUCAAUUUUUACAAAUUUUUUGCACCUCAAUUGGUUUGGAUAUUGAUUAAAUAGGUCAAUUAUACUUAAGGGGUAUUGAAUUGAUGUCCAAAAAUUUUGAAAUCCAAAAAUACUAAAAAAAUUGCGAAGGAUGUGGAAUUUCAUAUUGUUACUAAUUAUAUAUAUAUAUAUAUAUAUUUGGUAUUUUCAAUAUUUCAACCAAUAUUUUAUGUAAUUAAAUUCAAAUUAUAAGAAAUAGUUUAUUAAUACAAUUUUCAAUUAUUAAUUAGUACAUAACAAUUUUAUUUUUUGACAAUGUAUACUUAUUUAAAUUUAUUUUCAUAUUUUUUAAAAAGUUUAAUUAAACUUACAAUUCAUUGAAAUGAUUCAAUUUUUUUUUUCAUUUUAAAAAUCAAUUAUAUUGUUUUUCACUCUUUCAAUAUUCAUCCAAUUUUUUCCACAAAUAAUUUCAAAUUAAAAUAAAAUUAGUUAACUAAUUCUCAAUUUAUUAAUUAUAUAUAUCACCAAAUUAUAUUUUUUUUUACAAUAUAUAGUUUAUUUCAAAUUUUAUUUUAUUUUUCUUCACCUCUUAGGUUUAUUACUUUAUAUUACAAAAUAAAAUAAAUUACAAUAUCUCUUUCACAAAUUUGUUAUUUUUAAAAAAUUUUCAAUAUUUUCCAACUUUUAUAGAAUAAUUCCUAAAAUUAUAUAACUGGUUGUUGUAAAGAUUUUAAAUUUUGUGUUGCCUGGGAUUAUUUUCUUAACGGAAUAAGUUUUUUUAUUUUUUUAUUCACCUAACCUUCACAUGUGGCUAUUACCGUUGGUGGAAAAUUAUGGGUAUGGUACCAAAAAGGAGAAUUCAGACCCAUGAAUUCAUUGGUGUAAAAUGGUUUUGAGUUAAACUUAGUCCAUAUCACAAGAUUCAAGUUGAAAUUAUGACUCUCUAUAAAUGGAAUAACUCUCUUAUCAGAUUCAUUAGUAUAAAAUGAUCCCUUUUAGCAUAGAUAUUAUUCAUUCUAUAUUCGUUGUAUAUAGAUAAUAUUUGUAAUGACCUACUUCCUCUCUUAAAUAUUGUUCGGUAUAAAGUUUCAUAAUUUUAGAACAUAUCAACUUAAUCAAAAGAAACUAAUCACAUAUGAUGUAAAUAAUUUUUUUCUUAAUCAAUGUGAAAUGUGAAAUAUCGUAUAAAUAAUAUUCACACAAUCAUCCAUUUUCAUGAGUAUUUGGAAAUAAGAUCAUAUGAUCUAGAAGAUUGAAAAUUAAUUUUGAUACCCGUUCUUGUGUACGUGCUUUAAGAAGGCGGCGUUGACAAGUUCUUUGUAAUUGUUUUUCUUGUAUGCAACAUGUCAUAAUUUUUUUUUUUUCCUUUUUUCCCUCAAACAAAAGAUACAUAUAAAUAUCCAUAUAAUACGUCAAUACAUUGACUUAUAAUAGGCUAGAUCAUCACACUCUUAAGGUUGUAGAUGCUCAAUCAAAAAGCCAAAACUCCUAGUAAGGGUGCUGGCCGAUGAUGUUGCCCUGUGGGCUGUAGUUGCAGCUGACGAACCACCAGCCAUUGUUGCACUGCACUCUUGCACACCCUAGACUUACCGAAUUGCGCCAAACCACCUGAGUAUAAUGUCCACACUCUCCUCCAACACAUGAGUUAGAGUUAUAGUCAUAAUUAGACUUCUCUCCAACCCACAGGUUGGCAGCAUCCGUGGCGGUGAAAUCACCACUGCCCAUGGCGAGGUUCUCGCCAUAAGGACCAUUUGAAUGCACCAUGUUGCAGUCGCCACUCCUUUGGCUAGCAUAGUCCCUCGCAUAGGCCGCCACAUUGUCAUCCCAUGUCAUGGGCUCAACGCCAACGUCCGCCCGAGCUGCGUUGUGGACAUCGAGGUAGUCUUGUUGGGAG